rnacentral:lncRNA from 1 species
GAAAGGCAAGGCUUUAUGGGUUCAGUGGGGUUGAUCUCUGUGGGGUCCUGCCCAGUAGGAGCAUUAACAUGACCAACUUGAGUGCCCUUUUGCGGGAGUGGAGAGAUGCUGUAGAUGACGAAUCAAGAAAAUCUGGGAAGCCUCCGCUGCUGCUAGUAAUGGCUGUGUAUUGUCAACCCAUUUUUAACUCCGUGAGUUACCCACUUGACUCAAUUCAGAGAAAUUUGGACUGGGUUCACCUAAUUGCGUAUGAUUACCAUCUCCCCACCAAGGAAAGGUUUGCGCUCCCUCACGCAGCUUUAUUUGACCCAGCAAGCCAGAACAACACAGACUUCUGCAUCACCUCGUUGCUGACUAGAGGAUUUCCCGCAAGAAAGCUGGUUCUGGGCUUGCCCUACCAUGGCUAUGCUUGGCAGCUCGAGGAUUCGAGCGCCGAUGCCAUUGGCCAUCCAGCAGUGGGGCCUGCUGUGACGGCGGAUGGGUCAUUUGGAUACAGGGCUAUAAAAUCAUAUAUCCGAGAUUUCGGUUAUGGAGCCAGUUCUGUUUAUAAUGGUAAAUAUGUGGUGAAUUUUUUCAGAAAGGGAUCAGUAUGGAUCAAUUUCGAUGGUGUGGAGGCCAUCUGAGCUAAAGUAACUUAUGCCAAGGAAAAGGGGCUUCUUGGUUACAAUGUGUUUCAGGUCAACAAUGAUCAGAACUGGGCCCUUUCCCGAACAUGUUUGGAUCGAGAACCUCACAGGAAUUUCUGAAGGUUUUAAAAUAUUAUUGCAUUGAAAAUGUAGAACUAAAUGUAAUUUAAGGACUUAAUUGCCUUGUCAGCUCAAAAGGCCAGUGAAGAUCAGCAACACAGGCGAUGGUUCUGGCUAGUUAUGCUUAUUUCGAUUGCUAUAAUUUUUCUUCUUAUAUUUGGCCUGAUAUGCUACCUACAGAGGAGAACUUUGAAAUCAAAAGGUACGUUUUCUAAACUAUACUGGAGGAUUACUACUGUGGUAAUCAGGAACAUUGACUUAGGAAGAGUUAAAGUUCUAGAUACAAUUUUUUAAUUUUGGCUCUCGGGUAUUUCAGGUGUAAUAAGAGGAUUUAGUAGCCAAUUAAAGACUCUGGUGUGUAAAGGUGAAAGUCUUGAUAGUGGUUCUCCCUAUCUGCAAACAUUCAGUUAUGCUACCCUCAAAGCAGCAAAUGAUGACUUCUCAAGUGAAAAUAAGCUUGGAGAGGGUGCAUUAGGACCUGUUUGCAAGGUAAGAUAUAUGAGGCCAUACUUAAUGUAAUGAUUAUUAUUCUCUGUGUCAUUGCAAAUCCUAUGAAGUAUGUGUUGGGAGAACGAACCACGAUUGAGGGCCAGAUUUGGUUCUUUUGCUCUAUAACAUGCAUUUGUUGUUGUAUAAUGUGAGCAAGGAAAAUAGCUCACCCCCAAAUAUUUUUCUUAUUUCUUAUGCUCAAGAAUAUGUGGUCCUUCUCAUGUAUAGUCUGAUUUAUAAUUGAGAAAGUGAAGGUAAUGGGAACUUUUCGACCAAAAAAAAAAAAAAAACCGGUAAUGGGAAAUUGCUACCCUUACUAUGAGAGAGCAAAUCUUUUCAUAUGUUAAACAUAGGUAUGCCAGCUUUCUCUGUAGCAGCUGCCAGCUGGUUGGUUUAUACUUGUAAUUUCAAUCAUUUAGUUGGAAUGAGCUGGUGAGUAUAUCUUAUUGAAGCUACAUGCCUCUAAAAGUAGAAAGAACUGGCGUCACAGCACAACACAAUAAGCUUGAGAUAUUUAGUAAUGCAGCGUAGGUCUUCUUAAUUAUGGAUGCGAGCUUGUAAGUUUCAUCAUAGGAGGUUGGACUUGGAUGCCUUCUGCUCAAGUUUUGUUUUUCAUUUAUGUUCCAUGGGGUUAUGUGACAUAUGUCAUAGACAAAAGACUGGCUUCCAGCAUAAACAGUGAAAAGUUUUGUUGAGUCUACCAUGUUCAAGUGGAAGUCAGUUGCCCUGUUCUGACCAUCAGCAUAACUGUUGCUCAGGGCAAGUUGCCCAAAGGACAGUACAUUGCAGUGAAGAGACUUUCGAAAACUUCAAACCAAGGGCUCGAGGAGUUCAAGAACGAAGUUACGCUCACUGCCACCCUGCAACAUGUCAACCUCGUUCACCUUAUUGGAUUUUGUACCGACAGGGAAGAAAAGAUGCUGAUCUAUAAGUAUAUGCCAAAUAAGAGCUUGGACUUCUACCUAUUUGGUUCGACAUCUUUCAUGCUUCUUACGAUAGUCAUUGAGCAUAACCUGGGUUUUUUUAAGUGACAUCUAGUGUGAUUCUCCAAAAAGCUUAGAUGGGUCCCCAGUUCCGCUACAAGGGCUAGGGCAAGUAGACCCUUUUAAGCAUUUGGGGUACACAAUGGUAUGCAAUGCUCUACUUUCACUUCCGGUUCUGAUGGUCUUUAGGUUUUGAUGAUGCAGAUCCAAUAAGGCAAUAUUCGCUGGAUUGGGUGAAACGUGUUCAUACCAUAGAAGACAUUACACGGGCUUCUUUAUCUCUAAGAAUACUCGAAUUUCAUAAUAAUUCAUCAAGACUUGAAAGCCAGCAAUGUUCUGCUGGAUGAUGAAAUGAACCCCUAGAUAUCAGAUUUUGGUUUGGCAAGAAUAUUCAAGAAGGAUGACCUUGAGGCAAAUACCAGCCGAAUUGUUGGGACGUAGUAAGAGAGCUAACUAGGCCCUCCAAAUUUUUCCUCAUAGGUAUUCUCCUACUAAAAGUCUGCUGCUUAAAACCAAUUUUUGUUCUUGCAUACUGCGGGUAUGUUCUGCCAGAAUAUGUGAGGAAGGGCAUAUACUCGAUGAAGUACGACGUCUACAGCUUUGGGUACUGCUAUUGCAAAUCAUCAGUGGUAGAAGGACCUCAUGUUACUACGGCCUGAAUGAAAAUCUGAAUCUUCUUGAUUAUGUAAGUAGAAAUUAUUUGUGAUUCCAAAAUUUUCUGGACUCAAAUUUAGGAACAUGAAUUUUGACUUUUAACCAACUGGCGUUCUUUAAUUUCAGGCAUAUGAGCAGUGGAAAGACGAUAAAUGCAUGGAGUUCAUUGACCCGUCUCCGGAUGACUCUUCAUCAUCCUGCAAGCUCUUGAGAUGCAUGCACGUGGCUCUUCUAUCCGUGCAAGAGGAGCCUGGGGACAGACCCUCCAUGUUGGAAGUCUCUUCAAUGCUCAGGAAUGAAUCUUCAGCUGUGAAUUUCCCCAAUAAGCCUGCAUUUUCAAUUAAGGAGGAUGAACAUGACAAUGACAAGUGCUUGCUCAAGGAAGCAAUUCAUUCAGUCAAUGAUGCAUCAAUUUCUGAAUUGUUUCCUCGCUGAUUGUACAUUGCAUGUAUCCGAUGUUGUGAAUACUAAUACCAUAGAGAGAUUCUUUUGUUAGCUUAUUUGGUUGCCUAGUACUUUGUUUGUCCCAGUGGCAUUUUUUUCCUAAUUAAUUGUAAUAUUUUUUUUGACGUCCGUAAAUAUUUUUAUCAUUUAGAGGCAAUUCAAGUUAGGGAUGAUUGAUUCCUGAUUCAGUUCAAUUCCACCUAGGUACCGAGAACCGGACCAGAGAGACCGGUUUCUAGUUUCUAGAAUUGCAGACGGGACCAAACAGUCCAGUUCGGUUCUCGGACGGUGCAAUGAAAUCAGUUCGGCCUCCGGACGGUCCAAUGAAAGUGGUCGCUUGCUCUGUUUAUUCCUAGCCUUUGCUCGAUCACACCAUGAACUCGAGGCGUCGGUUCUCACAGUCGGCUUGAAAAGACUGAGUCAUGAGCAAAUCAGACCGCAAACCACACAAAUCCGGCAAUAUUCUUUCUUCUAUCUUAAUAUAGGUUGAAGUAAUCGGACGAUUCAGAGACUUUUGCCUGCACAGCACACAACUAGACCUAGAAUCCAGCAAGUCUCGUGAAAAUGAACGGUGAGAAACGGGAAACGUAAUUCAAAAAACGGCAAAAUAGAGAUCAUUGCCUUGAUGAGAAUCGAGAUGGAAGUAACGGAGCAAGAGAGGAGGCGAGAGUUGAGACGAUACUGCGAGAGGGAGGCAUCAAGCUCGACCGAAAGGGAUGCGACUUAGGCGAGAGAAGGCGGCGCUGCGCAGCCAUUUGAGAGUUGAGCGAGAGGGACAAGAGGGAAAGAGGCGAGGUUUGAGAAGCGAGAGAGAAAGAGGCAGAGGCAGCUAGGCACGACUAUGACUAACUCAGUCUGUAAGGGAAGGGCUGAAGAACGAGGUAUCUCGUAAGCUGCGUGAGCUAAGACGAGAUUAUUGAUUAGGGUUUAAGUUUACACUCUUAACUUUACGCUGCUAUUCUUUAAGAAAUUGAAAAAAAAAAAUUGAAAUAAAUAAAAAUAAACUGGCCAAGUCUAGGCGGUUUAGCUCCCACCAUGGAACCAGGAACCAAAUUGAAAAUCAUAGGUUUCAUAAAAUUGGAAUCAAGAACUGGACUAGCGUCACCUAGAAUUGCCUGAAAUUGGCCAAUUCGAUCCGAUUUGGGCUGCCCUAGUUUAGUCAGUCCAUCUUGCUCAAUCCUAGUUCAAGUGUUCCUUCUUUUGACUUGUACCCUAUUAAGGGAAAAAUACCAAAAAAAAAAUAUAAAUUUAUUAUACUUGUAUCCAUUUAGUUCUCAACAUUUUAAUUUGAUUAAUUUAAUUUUGAACAUUUUCACAUUGAUACUAAUUUAGUCUAUCCGGUUAAUUUAGGUUAAAAAUCAUUGAUGUGGACAUCAGUCAUUUUAUAUAGCACAAACAAUACUGACAUGAACUUUUUAAAAUAAUAUUUUUUACAAAUUUUUGAUUUUUUUUUUUUUAUAAAUUUUGUUUUCUUUAAUUUUGUAUCUAUUUUUUCAUUUUUUUCCUUUCAUUUUGGCCAAUGAGAGCCAACAAGCCCUCACUAGCCACUAGAUGGCUUAAAUUGGUUAAAAAUUAUUAACGUAAACGCCAACCAUUUUAUGUAGCACAACAGAUGCUAACAUGAACUUUUUUAUUUUAUUUUAUUUUAUUUUAAAUUUAGUCGGAAUGAGGUGACUCUGGAGAUGGAGUGGGUUCACGCCCCCAUUAAAAAGAGUUUUCGAAAGAUAAGUCAACUUACUAUUCUAGAGAAUACCACAUGCGGCCCAAGCAAUUGUUCACGUGACUAGUACAUCUAUUACUUAAAAUUAACUCGGGAUUGUCAGAUUUGGAGAACCCACAUGGGACCGACCCUUUUCAAUGAUCCAAACUAAAAUUAGAAUAUGAACUCACCCUCUUAAACUAAUUUCUCUUUGCAGCCCAUGUGUGUGUCUAUAUUUAUAUAAAGGUUCAAAUCACUUAGGUCUAUUGUGGCGACGGGGUGAGUGCGUGGAUUCAAGCCUGCAUGCCGGUAGAGCAGACUGUGCUCGGCUUCCCCUUCUACGGACGCAUUUUCCCUCGCAUAUGCCAACAACCAUAGCUACUUUGCGCCCGUCACUUGAGUUUUAAACAAUUCAAUUUUGCCACUUGAGUCUUAAACUUUUUUGCGUUUUAUCAAUUGAGUUCAUUAGCCAAUUUUCUUCCUAAAUCGCUAACGUGGAUAUUGACCAUUUUACAUGAUAUGAUCUGUGCUGAUGUAGAUAAUAUUAAUAAUUUUUUAAUCUUUUAUCAAAAAUUUUACUAAUUUUUCCCUUUUUCACUAUUAUUCUUUUCUCCUUCUUUUCUUUUCUUUUUUUCUACUUUUCUCUUCUUCUUUUUCCCUCCACCAGCAAUUGUUGAGCUAGCCAUCGAUGAGGUUGGAUGAAGGUCGACAAAGGGAAAAAGGGAAAGAGAAAAAUUAAAAAUAAAAUAAAAUAAAAAAAGAAGAAGAGAAAAGGGAAAAAUAAAAAAAAAAUCUCAAAAAUAUUAAAAUAUAAUUAAAAUUAUCCACGUUAGUGUCGACCGUGACAAGUAGGAUGGCUGACUUUCAUAUUAGCGAUUUCUAGUCAAAAUUGCCUAAAUAUACUAAAUUGGUAAAACGUGAAAAUAUUUAGAAUUUAGUUGAGAAAAUUGAAAGGGCCAAGAUUGAAUUAGCAAAAAUUAGAUAUGUUUAGGACAUUUUGGAUAAUUUUCCCUCAAUCAGGCAAUGGAAGUUUUCUAUUAUACAUUAUAUUUACCAAGUUUAGCCCUAACCCUAGCUACAUAUAGUAUAGUAAACCGAGCCAUCAUCUUUCAAAUGUCAUCUAAUCAAGUCCCUAACUCUAAAAAAGAAAAAAAAAAUCCUUAUGUGUUUACAUCAAAUUUACACUACAUGUUCAUCUAAAAUGGAACGAAAUUCUUUUUAGGGAUAUUGCAAUUCACCAUAAUUAAUAUCAGAAUGGACUUAGUCAUUUGAGGAACAAUAUUUUGUUUUUUUGUUUUUUUUUUCAAUGAAGUGCAAUAGCGUGAAGGAAAGGAAAUUCUAGCUAGGCUCUCUAUGUCCAAGGGAGAAUAAAUGGAUCUGGAUGUUGACUUUCUAAACAACACACAAACACACAACACACACACCCGCACCCACACACAUAAGUCAAGUCCGACGCCGUUUUAUUCAAUUUUAUAUUGAUCAGAUCAUCUUGCACGAAAAGGCAGUUUGCACUGGGAAAGCAAAAAAGUCUAUCCCGUCGUCAGAUGGUCAAACUAAUAUAUGUUUUCAAAGAUGUCAGAUAUAUGGUUCUACUUGGCGGUAUCCAUCCUUGGCUGUUUCCUCCCUGCAUGCUCUGACUAAAGAAAAAAGUCAAAACUUUUCCCGAUCAGUGGAUCAAAUUGAUCACAGUCUAAUUCUAAUCUCCUUCAAUUUUCAACCUGUUGUUGCAGCUUCAAGCUCGUGGUGACCUAUACGACCUCAGAGGAGACAUUAUUUACUUGUGUUAAUCGAAGUUUGGUCCAAUAAUGUGAAGGAUAGCAUCCCAUCUUACGGGAAAAUGUAUUCUUAGCGGAACUAAAGCAAGAUCCAAUAAUGUAAUGGAUUUAUAGAUUCUCUCUCUCAGACAUAAUUACGAGUUUGACAGUUGGCACAUAAACAUGUUAAGAAUGGAAAGAAAAAUAACGGAUUUCAAUAACCUAUAGAGAAAAAAGGAUUUGAAAGGACGGAGUCAGAAUGAUGUUGGGAUGCAAACAAGGGGAAAAGCAACGAAAAGAACGCAUAUAUAGAAAUAAGAUAUAAAAAAAUGUUGUUAGUGAAGAAGGAGGAGGAAUUUGUUUAUAUAAUGUACAAAAAUUUGAUGAGAUACAUGAGAAAUUUUAAUAAUCCCUACGAUCCAUUCUCUCAAUUCUGACGAGAUUGUGACUUUAGAAUCAUUUCUUUCCCUCUUAAUCCCUCCUAUUGAACUAUAUGUUUGACAUCGAGAAGCCCAACCUGUCUGUCCAAAUUGGCCCCCUAUUGAAAAUUGAACAUGUAAAUUUUCUUGUUAGGCAUGAGAUUGAAUAACAAGAUAGGCUCGAUCAUGAGUUGGAUGUGGUGAGACAGGACUUGUCUAUUUGGUCAAUCAUAUUCAUUGCCAAAAGGGAAAAAGACACAAGAAAUUAUAAACUAUACUCACUAUGAUUUAUUUAUCAAAAAUCUUUUUUAUGACAUAAAAAACCUCAAACUAUACUUAGUGUGAUAUAUUUACUAAAAAAAAUUUACGACAUAAAAGACUCUAAAUUUAUAUCUAGGUAACAUAUUUACCCCUAUGUCGAGAUUUUGUUAGGUGAUUUUCAGUCAAAACAACGUGGUUUCUAGUUAACAUAAAUUGCGCGGGCGCCAUGUUGACAUGUUUACUUCUUGACAUUAAUAUAGGCAAAUUUUUAAAUGAAAAAGUACCAAAAAAGUCUUAAACCUAUGGUAUUGGUACUAAAUCAGUCAUAAACAUUUUAAUUAGACUAAUUUAAUCAUAAACCUUUUUCACAUGGAUACCAAUUCAGUCAUUCUAACCAAUUUUGGCUAGCCGUACCUAACGUGGACGUUAGUUGAUUAGCACUAAUGUGGAUACUAGUCGAUUGAUGAAUAUUGAUGUAGCAAUUUUUAAUUUUUUAAUUAUUUUUUUCAAAUUUUUAAUUAUUUUUUCAUUUUCUUUUCCUUUUUCUUCCUAUUGGCCUUCUUCUCUUGUAGUGGCUGGCAAGCUUUCGGCGGCCUAAGCAGUGACACCGACAUGCGACACACGAUACGAUACAACAUGAUACAUUGACACGUUGUUUCUUAAAAAAUAGAAAGUUUCAACAUGUUGUACAUUAAAUAUAUAUUUAUAUAUACAUGAUAAAUUAUCAUUUUUAUUAUUAUUUUAAUCAAAUUAAUUUGAUUCAAAUGCAUAAAUAAAUAAAUAAUAACAAAAAGAGCCUAGAAUGAAUUUACACUAAAAAUAUUAAUCCACCAUUUGUUAAUUCAUUUUAAUUUGAAAAUUUCAAUUAUAUUCAAAUAAUCUAUAAAACUUGGAGGAAAAAAUAAGUAAUUCACAUUUUGGACUUGAGUGUUAGAGUAUGUCAGAAAAGAAGAGAAAAAAACUUGGAGGUGAAUUGUGUGUCACAAAAAGUGAGAGCCAGAAAAUAAAAGAAGACUUAAAUUGUUCUUGUUUCCCAUAUUAUUAUUAUUAUUAUUAUUAUUAUUAUUAUUAUUAUUAUUAUUAUUAUUAUUAUUAUUAUUAUUAUUAUUAUUAUUAUUAUUAUUAUUAUUAUUAUUAUUAUUAUUAUUAUUAUUAUUAUUAUUAUUAUUAUUAUUAUUAUUAUUAUUAUUAUUAUUAUUAUUAUUAUUAUUAUUAUUAUUAUUAUUAUUAUUAUUAUUAUUAUUAUUAUUAUUAUUAUUAUUAUUAUUAUUAUUAUUAUUAUUAUUAUUAUUAUUAUUAUUAUUAUUAUUAUUAUUAUUAUUAUUAUUAUUAUUAUUAUUAUUAUUAUUAUUAUUAUUAUUAUUAUUAUUAUUAUUAUUAUUAUUAUGUACAUAUUUACAUUUUCACCUUCAAUUUAUUGAAAAUUUUUAAAAUUGAUCCAUCGUGUGUUGGAAUUUUGAACUCGAACGUCAAAAUUUCGGACUUGAGUGUUGGCGAGUGUCAGAAGAAUUGAUUGUCAUAUUUUUUGAUAUGUAUUAAUUAAAUGUUGAAGAAUGUCAGAGAGUAUAGCAUACAUGUUGGAGUAUUUGACACCACACAAAGGGUCUUGAAAAGUAUUGGUAUUUCAUAAACGAUGGCUCGUUGGUCAGUGGGCUAGCCGUGAAGCCCUUGUUGUCAUGCCCCGAACCUUGAGCGCACGCACAUCCCUUGAUGGUCAACUAAAAACAAUUGCGACAUCCCAAGACGUGUCGCCGACCCCUUCAUUUUAAUCUUUCAUUAUGCGCAAACGGAAAAUGAAUUAUCUCCCCAUCAACAAACAAUCAAGCAAGAAAACAUGGAUAGUGAGAUGAACAACAGAAACACACAUCUACUCAGAUAUAUACAUUUUUUACAUUUUCAUAUUGGAUUAACCUACGGAGGAUCAUUUCCAAUUUACAAGCCCAACAAAGGGGCCGAUCCAUUCUCUAAGCCAAACCAAAAAUAAACUAGUCUAGGCUAACCCAACUAUACACAAAAAGAACCCUCGGGCUCGACACUCCAGUCACUUGGAUCCAUGAGACUCAGACUCCGUUGAUUCAGAGUUGGAGCCGUACGAGUCAGCUGCUGGUGAAGCGGGGCCAGGAUUCUCCACUGCACCGUUAGGAGAGUCCAGCUCCAUGGGAUCCCAGUCAGCAUCCCCAAGGCUCCUACCAGGUGGCCUGUCAAAACCUUGUAGAGGACUAAUCAACAUAUCUCCAUUCCGAAUGAACCAUGCCAAGAACCUGUGGGGUAUCCAUUGCCCUGGUCCCUCAUCCACCCAAAUGGUGGUGAUAUACUUCUCAUACAGAUAUGCCUGACCCAGGAAGCGGUGGUGUGUCACAAUAGUAUCCCAGUCCUUAGGGAUACCGAAACUCAUUGGCGGAAGUGUCAUUUUAAGGACCUGAAAGUAGUUAUACAAUGAUCAGUGAGAUAUAAAUCUCAGUGAGUCCUCCCCUAAGCCCCCGAUUAGAACACUAACUCAACUCGGGGUAUCUCUUUAGAACCACCCCACAAACUUACCAUGACUAAUAACCAACAAUCAACAAAUCACAACAGCCAGGGUCAACCACUAACUACAUAGUUGGUUUGCAUGCAACAUUACCUGGUAUGCCAUACGCUGCACGUUACAUAUUAGCACAAUACACGCAAUGCACAUGGCUAUUAGAUGAUGCAGUUCAUCAAUUACAUACGAGUUGCAUUGCAAGCGAUCUCACCUAGCCAUUGCCACACUCUACACGUUAUUGAUUCAUGAGUGCAUGCCAUAAAUAAUGUGCUCAACUCAUGCAUAGUGAAAACUAAUGAUGCCAUGAUUCACUUAUGCUCUUGCAUUUUAGUGCGCCAUCUAUCAUGCAUCACUCACCUAUCAUACCACGCCACACAAUUUUACCCCAUAAUAAGGCCCAAUCAACUCAACACUCACACAUGCUCUAGUUACUAAUGACCUACUGGCCAUAUCUAACUUUCCAAUUAGUGCUCAUCCACCUAAAUACUUGUGACAUCCUGAAAUUUGACCCCAUUUCAAUAAAGUGAAAUGAGCAUGUCGUCAAUGUGCCUAUGGUCCUUUUUUUCUGAGCUGAUCACUCACGAGUUAACUAACCUAUUGAGUGAAGUCAUUAAGGGAUGUAUCUGCAGUAAAAUCCCUAAAAGCUACUCAAUUGGUUGGAUUGGACUAAAAUCACGUUUGAUUGAUUCUAACCAUGAAAUUUAAUUUGGUUUCGGGAAUCGAAUAUUCGAGUGUGUCACAAUUCAUUUUUAGGGUCCUGUCUCAUCGUCCGUCAAAUUUUUGACGAGUCCGAAAUUUCAAUAAAGAAAUUAUCGGAGGAAAAAUUGAAGACCGAAAGAAAAUAGAAAGGGAAAGAGAAAAUAAAUAAAAUAAGAUUUAGGGUAUUAUUUUAUUUUUUCCCUCUCCCUCUCUCUUCUUUCUCUCUCUCUCUCUUCUCUCUCCUCUCUCUUCUCUCCCCUCCCCCCUUCGUGCGAGCAUCCCCACCGACUGCCCCUCUUGCUGUCUUCCACUUUGUCUUCUCUCUUUCUUUUUCAUUUUGACCAGUCAAACUCUCUCUCUCUCUCUCUCUCUCUCUCUCUCUCUCUCUCUCUCUCUCUCUCUCUCUCUCUCUCUCUCUCUCUCUCUCUAUCUCUCUCUCGACUCACUCUCUCUCCUUCUCCCCUCCGCACAUUCGAGCGAGCGAACCAGAAGCCGAAGAAGAGCAGAAGCUGUAGCUCGCCAUUGCCGCCCGUCUCGCCGCCCGCAUUGCACGCCCGUGCGACGCCGCGCACCUUGCCGCCUCCUGGUUGCGCUUGCCGUCCUCACCGGGCGCCGUCCAGCCCCGUUUGGCCUCUGCUUCGCCUCUGCCCAGCUCGACCAGCCGCCUCUGGCCACCGCCCAGCUUCGUUCGGCCACCGCCCGGCCUCCUCGGUGUCCCCCUUGCCCUCCUCCGGCCUUCCUCCCCCUUUUCAGCCCCGGAGCAGCUUCGUUUGGCCACGAGCAAUGGCUGGAAAAGUAGGUUUCCAGUCUUGUUCAAGGCCCGUUUUGGGCCGUUUCCGGGCGCCGAACCCGAGCCGUGCUUUGGGAAGAAUCGACCCUCGUGUUGUCCCCAUCAGAUUGGUCCGUUUUGCGCUAAAAUCCGGUGAGUAAUCUCACUAAUCCCUGAUUAGUUGGCUAAUUAUGCUUAAGGGUGGUUUAAUUUUAAUUAAUUAGGUUUAGGUGGUUAGAUUAGUAUGGAUUAGUGUUUAUUAGUCAAUUGUGAUGCGAAUUAGAUAAAUUGAAUAUGUAUUUAGCAAGUAGACAUGGUCUACUAUUUAUUGAGGGUAGCCUGGGAUUUUUCCCGACCCUAAUCGGGCUUCAAUUAGGCUUUUCGGGCCUAAGUGGAAUUUUUGGUAUUUAAAUAUUAAUUUUCGGAAUUAAAUUAAAUAAUUAUUUAUUUUCCAAAAAUUCAAUUGAGAUGGUUAGUGACCGGGAUAUUAUGCUGGUGACCGUGGUGAAGUCCGUUUAUUUAAUCGGGCUCUAUUUUGAGCUAAAUUGAAUUUUUAAUAUUUAUUAAUUAAAAUUUGAAAUUAAUUAAUUAAUUAAUUAUUUAUUUUUCGGAAAUUAAGAUUGAGAUAGCCGACGACCGAAAUCUCGUGCUGAUUGUCGUGGCGUAGUCUGUUUAUUUAUUUGAGCUCUACGUUGCAUGGAAUUAAAUAAAUUGUGAUGUUUUAGGGAUUUACCCUAAUUUGAUUUGAAAUUGAUUGAGAUUGAAUGAUUAAUUGGUAGAUGGCCAAGUAUGUUUAUUUAGCAUUUAUAAUGCUUUGAUGAGUUGUAAAGUGGAUGGAAUCAUGAGAGUGAACUGGAAAUACUCUGGGCUAUAACUGAUCAGACACGGUGUACGGGCCUAAGUGGUUCGGUGACUAAGGAUGUCACUGGCGAAAACGGCGCCUUAAAGAAUGCACGUACCAGUCUAGUACAUAUCCCAUCAUGGGCAUAUGUGGUUCGGUGAUUUUGGAUAUCACUGGUGAAAACGGCGCCUUAAAGAACGCACGUAGCUGUCUAUUGAAUACAUGAUUAUAGGCAUGUGUGGUUUGGUGAUUUAGGAUAUCACUGGCGAAAACGGCGCCUUAAAGAACGCAAGCAAUUGUUUAGUGGAUACGUCACUUUUGCGAACUUGACGCUGGAGAGCAUUGAUGUGGCUCUGUGACCGAAUGCCGAAGGGAGGUUAUAUGGAGUGGAAUUAAUGACCUAGAAUGAUUCGUUUGACAUGUAAUCGACUGGUUCGAUUUGUUUGGAGUAAAUGGGUGCCUAUUGUGAAUUGUGCUGAUUUGCAGGUGGGAUCUGAGGCCAAGGUAAGUCCUCUACCCUGUGCAUGUUUAGGCAGCCUAUAGUAUAAUAGUUUACUAAUCGGGCUUUAGUGGGGUAGAACUCGCUGAGAUGUAGUCUCAUCCCGGUUUGGGGAAAACAUUUCAGGACCUCGCUAAGGAGCUGAGGAGGAGGAAUCUGAGGUGGAGAACUCUGGGGUGAAACCCGAGGAGAAGAAUUUUGGAAGAAGAAGAUAAUCCUGAGAGGGAUCUUAAGUAUGCCCUGGAUGUGCUGAGAUUCUAUCUUCUUUUGAGAUCUCCAUUUUGAUGUGAAUAUAGAUAGAGUAAAAAGUUGUGAAGUACUCUGGUUUGUAUUUUGUAUAAAAGUAUGGUUAUAAGUUUCAAUAUGAAAAAUAUGGCCAUACUUUUUUAUCCCAUCGAUUUAUUGUCUGGGGAUUUAUAACUGCUUCCGCAUGUGCUUAAUAAAUGAAAGGGUCGGUGAUACAUAGUCUUGGGAUAUCGCAUUAUAAAAUCGACCAACAGAGAAGGAUGUGUGCGUGCCCGAGGAUCGGGGCGUGACAUCCCAUUUUUGUCGUAUUAGAGCGAAGUUCAAGAUUGGAGUGAUAAGGAGCGUUGAUCAUGGGAUAGUUAGUAGGAAAAGCCUUUAAAUUCUUGCUGGUGCAUGUCUGUGUUAGCUGAGUGCUAAAAUUGUUUGUUGUUUGGAUUGCUCUGUUUCUAAUUCGGUGUUGAAUUGGAAACAGGUGUUAGUUGAGUAAAGCUACACCAUGAGCAAUCAGGAGCCGAGAACUCCUGCAAAGAGGACCAGUAGGGCCCUUAUUCGGGGUAGAGCUCUGACUUGUGUUGGAACACGAGGCGGACGUGGUCGAGCGCCAGCAUAGGCUAGCGAGAGUGGAAUGAUUCCACAUGUCGUAGCUGUUGGGGUAGUAGCCCCUAAUGAUCCUAGGGUGGAUGGGAUCUUGCGUGUUCUGGAAGCGAUGGGUACUAGAAUGGAUCAGCAAGCCGCUACUGUUGAAGCUGCUGCUCAGGCCGCCGCAACUGCUGCUGCUGCCGCCGCCACCGGAGUUACCCCUGUUGCUGCACCUACAAUCGCACCUGCUGUUGCUCCAGCCGCCGUGAAUGUAGAAGGUCCACCGGAGAUAGUGGUCGCUACAAGACCAAUUCAUAAGUUGGUGGAGCAUUUCCUAAGGUUAAAUCUGUUGUUGUUCACCGGGUUUGGAGAUCCUGAAGCUGCUUCUUCAUGGGUUCAGAAGCUCGAGAAGGCGUUUGCACUGCUGAUGUGCAAUGAGGCUGAGAAGGUAAUGUUAGCAACUUACCAGCUGGAGGGAGUUGCGGACACUUGGUGGAUGACUACUCGUGAAAUGAUCUUUCCAGAAGGCGCUGUUCAGGACUGGAACACUUUCCGUGAAGCCUUCAAUGAUAAGUUUUUCUCUGAGACUGCUAGAGAGGUGAAGAUGGCCGAAUUUCAACGUAUUCGCUAGGGUUCCCUAUCUGUUGAUGAGUAUGAGGCGAAGUUCAAUGAUUUUUCGCGAUAUGCCCUCGAGUUAAUUGAGAAUCCUGUGAAUCGAGCGAGGAGGUUUAGAGAUGGAUUCAGACAGGAUUUGAGAAAUGCCUUAGUCCUUCUGGAUCUGAAGACUUAUAAUGACAUAUAUCGGAGAGCUCAGAAGAUUGAGAAAUAUCAGAACGAUAAAGCUGCCUCAUCUGGAUCGAGGUUUAGCUCUCAUAGAGAUAACAUCCGCCAAGGAAAGAGGCCGAUGUUUGGAAAUAGAUUCCAAGGCCCGCCCAACAAGAAAAGUGGAUUUAAUGAGCCGGUACCCAGUAGUGUUGGUGUGUGUCGCUUCUGUGGGAGAAGACGCGGGACAGGACCGUGCCCAGCUAGGACGGGUGCAUGUUUCGAAUGUGGCCAAUAGGGCCACAUAGCCAGAUAUUGUCCAAAGAAGCGAAGAGGACAACCUCAGUUGCCGCCACCGCCACCGAUGAGAUAGAUAGGAGGGUAUGCCUCUCAGAAUGCACCGCAAUGAGGACAGCAGAGACCUCCAGUUCAGGGCACUGUGUACGCGAUUACCUAAGGUCAGGCAGAAGCUGCGCCUGGGGUGAUCACAGGUACGGUCUCGCUCAACGAUCAACCUGCUUAUACUUUUUGAUUCGGGAGCAACCCAUUCCUUCAUUGCCGAGCAAUAUGUUAGGAUGCUAGGGUUGAGUCAUGUAUUGUUGGAGUCGGCAAUUUGGAUAUCUACACCCUUGAAAGAUAAAGUUAUUGCUGCUUUGGGAUGUUUGGGGUGCAAGUUAGAGAUUGGUGAGCGAGUGGGGAAAAUUGACUUGUUAGUCCUAGCCAUGUAUGAUUUUGAUUUGAUAAUUGGCAUGGAUUGGCUCACCAAGCAACGAGCUAAAGUGGACUGCUAUCGCAAGGCGAUUCAGUUUGACCCGUUAGGAGGUAAGAGCUUCAAGUUCGUCAGGAAUCGAGGAGGACCUUCGAUUUCCCUAAUUUCGUCGCCGGAAGCAGCUCGUCUAUUAGACGAGGGUUGCCGAGGGUACUUAGUGACUGUCGUGGAUACGACAGUUGAAGAGUUGAAAAUGGAAGAUAUUUCAGUAGUAUAGGAGUUUCCAGAUGUCUUUCCAAAAGAAUUGCCAGGGUUACCGCCAAAAAGAGAGAUUGAAUUUGUAAUUGAGCUAGCACUAGGGACAGAACCGAUCUCAAAGGCACCUCAUCGAAUGGCGUUAUCUAAGUUGAAGGAACUGAAGGUGCAGAUACAAGAAUUACUGGAUAAAUGAUUUAUUCGUCCUAGUGCAUCACCUUGGGGAGCACCAGUUCUAUUUGUUAAGAAGAAAGAUGGUUCGUUGCGUUUGUGCAUGGACUAUCAGCAGCUCAAUCAGGUAACGAUCAAGAACAAAUAUCUAUUGCCGAGGAUAGAUGACUUGUUUGAUCAACUGCAAGGAGCGUCAAUAUUCUCAAAGAUCGACUUGAGGACAGGAUAUCAUCAGCUGAGGAUUAGGAAGGAGGAUAUUCCUAAGUCGGCAUUUCGUACCCGGUAUGGUCAUUACGAGUUUACAGUGAUGCCGUUUGGGUUGACAAAUGCUCCAGCUGCCUUUAUGGAUUUGAUGAACAUAGUGUUCAAGGAAUAUCUGGAUCAGUUUGUGAUUGUGUUCAUUGAUGACAUCUUCGUCUAUUCGAAAAGUGAUGAAGAACAUGAGAAUCAUCUGAGAUUAGUGCUUCAGACCUUAAGAACUCAUCAGUUGAAUGCUAAGUUUAGCAAAUGUGAGUUUUGGCUGACUCGUGUUGCGUUCUUAGGUCAUGUGAUUUCCAGAGAAGGAAUCUCUGUCGACCCGAGCAAGAUAGAAGCCAUGAUCAAGUGGCUGAGACCGACAAUAGUGACAGAGAUCAGAAGUUUUCUGGGGUUAGCAGGUUAUUACAGACGGUUUGUGGAAGGGUUCUCAUCAAUAACGUCGCCUCUAACUAAACUCACGAAGAAAGAAUAGAAAUUUGUAUGGUCAGACAAGUGCGAGUGUAGUUUCCAAGAGCUGAAGGAAAAGCUGACUACUGCAUAUGUGCUGACGAUUCCAUCUGGUCCUGGAGGAUUCGAGAUCUAUAGUGAUGCGUCAUUCAGGGGAUUGGGUUGCGUGCUGAUGCAACAUGGCAGAGUUGUUGCAUACGCUUCCCGGCAGUUGAGACCUCAUGAAUUGAAUUAUCCGACGCAUGACUUAGAACUCGUAGCCAUCAUAUUUGCGUUGAAGAUUUGGAGGCACUACUUCUGCGGGGAAAAGUUUCAGAUCUUCACGGACCAUCAGAGUCUCAAGUAUUUGUUCUCUCAGAAGGAGUUGAACAUGAGAUAGCGCCGAUGGAUGGAAUUGCUGAAGGAUUACGACUGUGAUAUUCUAUAUCACUCGGGAAAGGUGAACAAGGUCGCCGAUGCAUUGAGUCGGAAGUCUUCAAUAGCGCAAAUCUUGGUUAAGAAGUGGAACUUAAUCGAGAGAGCUCGGGAUUCGGAAUUCAAAUUUGAGGUAGGCCACCUUUCAAGUUUUAUGGCCACCCUUAGAAUCAAACCGGAUGUCCAGGUCAGAAUCAAAGAACUCCAACCGACAGAUCCAGAUGUACAGAAAAUUCUUCAAGAGGAUACCGAUAAAAGAAAGGCCGAUUUUCAAGUUUCUAAUGAUGGGGUAUUAAGGCUCCGUGGACGUUUGGUUGUACGUGCCGAUGUAGAGCUUAGAGAAAAUUUUUUAUUUGAAGCACAUCGUAGCAACUACAACAUUUAUCCUGGAAGUACCAAGAUGUAUCAGAAUUUGCGUCAACACUAUUGGUGGUCAGGUAUGAAGGAGGACAUUGCCAAGCAUGUGGCCAAAUGUUUGACUUGUCAGCAAGAAAAAGCCCAGCAUUGCAAGCCGGGAGGACUUCUGCAACCUCUUGCGAUCCCAGAGUGGAAAUGGGAGCAUAUCACGAUGGAUUUUGUGACUGAACUACCAAGGAGUCAGAGGGGUAAUGAUUCGAUUUGGGUAGUAGUCGACAGGCUGACAAAGUCGGCUCACUUCAUUGUAGUUCAAAAGGACCUCAGUCUUGAUAGGCAGGCAGACUUGUAUGUGCGUCAGGUGAUUCGUAUGCAUUGAGUGCCGGUUACGAUAACAUCCGAUAGAGACCUAAGGUUUACCGCUGCUUUUUGGAAGAGCUUGCAGAGUGCUUUAGUUACAAAGCUUCAGUAUAGUACAGCAUAUCAUCCUCAUACGGAUGGCCAGUCUGAAAGGACAAUUCAGACUCUUGAAGACAUGUUGAGAAGAUCAGCUUCAUCUGGUGGAAUUCGCCUACAACAACAGUUAUCAGCAGAGCAUCAAGAUGGCUCAUUUUGAAGCGUUGUAUGGCAGAGCGUGCAGAACUCCAGUAUGUUGGGAUGAAGUCGGAAAGAGGAAGAUAACAGGCCCAGAGUUGGUCCAGUAAUCAGUAGAUGCCGUGGCAGUGAUCAGAGACAGAUUAAAGAUCGCGCAGGGCAGGCAUAAAAGUUAUGCAGACAAGCGUCGAAGGUCUUUGGAAUUCCAAGUUGGUGAUCACGUUUUACUAAAAGUGUCACUAAUGAGGGGAACUUCGCGCUUUAGUAAGAAAGGCAAGCUGAGUCCGAGGUACGUAGGUCCGUUUGAGAUUCUUGAAAGAAUCGGAAACCUAGCGUAUCGUCUUGCAUUGCCGCCAAGAUUGGCGCAAGUGCAUGACGUCUUUCACGUGUCGAUGUUAAGGAAGUAUGAGCCUGACCCGACCUACGUACUCAAUUUUGAGGAAUUGGACGUGGAUGAUCGUGUGUCAUACGUUAAAAGCCCAGUCCAGAUUAUCGAUCGUAAAGAGCAAGUUCUGCGUACAAAGACCAUUCCGUUGGUCAAAGUGGUCUAGCAACACCAUGGUACUAAAGGAGCGACUUGGGAGACUAAAGAGUCAAUGAGACAAUUGUACCCCCACCUUUUUGAGCAAAGUGUGUAAUGAUUUAAAUUUCGAGGACGAAAUUUUUAUAAGAGGGGAGGAGUUGUGACAUCUUGAAAUUCGACCCCGUUUCAAUAAAGUGAAAUGGGCACGUCGUCAACGUGCCUAUGGUCCUUUUUCUCUGAGCUGAUCACUCACGAGUUAACAAACCUAUUGAGUGAAAUCAUUAAGUGAUGUAUCUGCAAUAAAAUCUCUAAAAGCUACUUAAUUGGUUGGAUUUGACUAAAAUCGCGUUUGAUUGAUUCUGACCAUGAAAUUUAAUUUGGUUUCGGGAAUCGAAUAUUCGAGUGUGUCACAAUUCAUUUUUAGGAUAUUGUCUCAUUGUCCGUCAAAUUAUUGACGAGUCCGAAAUUUCAAUAAAGAAAUUAUCGGAGGAAAAAUUAAAGACCGAAAGAAAAUAGAAAGGGAAAGAGAAAAGAAAUAAAAUAAGAUUUAGGGUAUUAUUUUAUUUUUUCCCUCUCCCUCUCUCUUCUCUCUCCUCUCUUCUCUCCCCUCCCCCCUUUGUGCGAGCAUCCCCACCGACUGCCCCUCCUGCUAUCUUCCACUUUGUCUUCUCUCUUUCUUUUUCAUUUUGACCAGUCAAACUCUCUCUCUCCUCUUCUCUCUCUCUCUCUCUCUCUCCUUCUCCCCUCUGCACAUUCGAGCGAGCGAACUAGAAGCCGAAGAAGAGCAGAAGCUGCAGCUCGCUGUCGCCGCCCAUCCCGCCGCGCGCACCACACGCCUGCGCAACGCCGCGCACCCCGCUGCCUCCUGCUCACGCCUGCCGUCCUCGCUGCGCCGUCCAACCCCGUUCGGCCUCUGCUCCGCCUCUGCCUAGCCCAACCAGCCGCCUUUGGCCACCGCCCAACUUCGUCCGGCCACCGCCCGGCCUCCCCGGUGUCCCCCUUGCCCUCCUCCGGCCUUGCUCCGCCUUUUCAGCCCCCGGAGCAGCUUCGUUUGGCCACGUGCAGUGGCUAGAAAAAUGGGUUUCCAAUCUUGUUCAAGGCCCGUUUUGGGCUGUUUCCGGGCCCCAAACCCGAGCCGUGCUUUGGGAAGAAUCGACCCUCGUGUCGUCCCCGUCAGAUUGGUCCGUUUUGCGCUAAAAUCCGGUGAGUAAUCUCACUAAUCCCUGAUUAGUUGGCUAAUUAUGCUUAAGGGUGGUUUAGUUUUAAUUAAUUAGGUUUAGGUGGUUAGAUUAGUAUGGAUUAGUGUUUAUUAGUCAAUUGUGAUGCGAAUUAGAUAAAUUGAAUGUGUAUUUAGCAAGUAGACAUGGUCUACUAUUUAUUGAGGGUAGCCCGGGAUUUUUCCCGACCCUAAUCGGGCUUCAAUUAGGCUUUUCGGGUCUAAGUGGAAUUUUUGGUAUUUAAAUAUUAAUUUUCGGAAUUAAAAUUAAAUAAUUAUUUAUUUUCCAAAAAUUCAAUUGAGAUGGUUAGUGACCGGGAUAUUAUGCUGAUGACCGUGGUGAAGUUCGUUUAUUUAAUCGGGCUUUAUUUUGAGCUAAAUUGAAUUUUUAAUAUUUAUUAAUUAAAUUUCGAAAUUAAUUAAUUAAUUAAUUAUUUUUCGGAAAUAAAGAUUGAGAUGGCCGACGAACAAAAUCUCGUACUGAUUGUCAUGGCGCAGUCCAUUUAUUUAUUUGAGCUAUACAUUGCAUGGAAUUAAAUAAAUUGUGAUGUUUUAGGGAUUUACCCUAAUUUGAUUUGGAAUUGAUUGAGAUUGAAUGAUUGAUUGGUAGAUGGCCGAGUAUGUUUAUUUAGCAUUUAUAAUGCUUUGAUGAGUUGUAAAGUGGAUGGAAUCAUGAGAGUGGACUGGAAAUACUCUAGGCUAUAACUGAUCAGACACGAUGUACGGGCCUACGUGGUUUGGUGACUAAGGAUGUCACUGGCGAAAACGGUGCCUUAAAGAAUGCACGUACCGGUCUAGUACAUAUCCCAUCAUGGACAUACGUGGUUCGGUGAUUUGGGAUAUCACUGGCAAAAACGGCGCCUUAAAGAACGCACGUAGUUGUCUAUUGAAUACAUGAUUAUAGGCACGUGUGGUUCGGUGAUUUGGGAUAUCACUAGCGAAAACGGCGCCUUAAAGAACGCACACAAUUGUCUAUUGAACACAUCGUUGUAGGCAUGUGUGGUUCGGUGAUUUGGGAUAUUACUGGCGAAAACGGUGCCUUAAAGAACGCACGCAAUUAUCUAGUGGAUACGUCACUUUGGCGAACUUAACGCCCGAGAGCAUUGAUGUGGCUCUGUGACCGAAUGCUGAAGGGAGGUUAUAUGGAGUGAGAUCAAUGACCUAGAAUGGUCCGUUUGACAUGUAAUCGACUGGUUCGAUUUGUUUGGAGUAAAUGGGUGCCUAUUGUGAAUUGUGCUGAUUUGCAGGUGGGAUCUGAGGCCAAGGUAAGUCCUCUACCUUGUGCGUAUUUAGGCAGCCUAUAGUAUAAUAGUUUACUAAUCGGGCCUUAGUGGGGUAGAACUCGCUGAGACGUAGUCUCAUCCCGGUUUGGGGAAAACAUUUCAGGACCCCGCUGAGGAGCUGAGGAGGAGGAAUCUGAGGAGGAGAACUCUGGGGUGAAACCCAAGGAGAAGAAUUUUGGAAGAAGAAGAUAAUCCUGAGAGGGAUCUUAAGUACGCCCUGGAUGUGCUGAGAUUCUAUCUUCUUUUGAAAUCUCCAUUUUGAUGUGAAUAGAGAUAGAGUAAAAAGUUGUGAAGUACUAUGGUUUGUGUUUUGUAUAAAAGUAUGGUUAUAAGUUUCAAAAUGAAAAAUAUGGUCCUACUUUUCUAUCCCAUCGAUUUACUGUCUGGGGAUUUAUAACUGCUUCCGCAUGUGCUUAAUAAAUGAAAGGGUCGGCAAUACAUAGUCCUGGAAUAUCGCAUUAUAAAAUCGACCAACAGAGAAGGAUGUGUGCGUGCCCGAGGAUCGGGGCGUGACAAUACUCAUGCGUGCUCCAAAUAAUAAUGACCUCCUGACUAUAGCUAACUUUCCAGUCAGCGAUCAUCCAGAACUCCCGCCGGGCUACCGAUAAGAAGAUCGGGCUUUAUCCUGUCCCAUCAGGCACGGCUACAUCCAGAACUCCCAUUUCGACGGUUUCCCAGAAAGGGACAUCGGUCCAGAGUCUACUGCGACCGGCUUCCAACUCCUGCCAGGUAUCGCCCCCAAACUCCCAUCGGGUGACGAUUCAAUUUCUUUUCACGCAAACUCACUAUUAAGACUCGCUUCUUAUUUAUGAGCAUUUAACCAAUGCACAAUGUUUGCAAAUACAAUUUCAAAUCAUUUUUCCCUAAAGGCGGUCCAUUCUAGUGUCCCUCGGACAAAGCCUAUUUCCCUUUUUUGUGAAAUUCACGCAAUUCAUGCAGAUACUCAUGCAAUUAUACACUCAAAUCACCUCAUAGGAUUAAAAUACAUGAAAUUAGGCAUUUUUUAAUUUUCGGGUGAAUAGUGUUUCGUGAACAGUAUCGUGAACAGUAAAAUUCCAGAAUUUAAUAACUAAUAAAUUAAAUCCAAAAAUCAUUAACAAUAAUUAAAUUUAACAACCAAUAAAUUAAAGCUAAACAAGCCUAAUUAAGCACAUAAACCACAUUUAAGCCAAUAAAGUAAGAUUAAAAUAAACUAAUCUUAUCCACUAACCUAACCACCCAUCUUAGGACUAAUAUAGCUUAAUUAAAUCUCCUAAACUAGAAUCAACACUAAUUAAACCAACCUUAAGCAAGUUUAGGCACUAAUCAAGAGAUUAUGAGCUAAACUCACCUAUUAAGCGGGCUGGAGAUACGGACGCGGAAACGAUGACGGUGGCUACGCAUUGGGACCUCUACCACGACAAUCCAAGAUGUUUCUAGGGCUAGAACAGCAGCCACAGCCUCCGCUUCCCUUUGAAACUUUGAAAAACAACACUAUCGGUGGAGAAACGGAGAUGGGCGGUUGAUCAGAGCUCUGACGAGGGGUCGGUCAGCAACCAGCAGCACCUAGGGGUCAAGGGGGACUUGCUGGUGGCUGGGCUAGGUGAAAGCUUGGUUGAAAUAGGAGAAAACGGGCUGGAAUCGCGAAACAGGCCAGGCGAACUCUAGGCAGUCCGGCGAGCGGUGGCUUCUCGCCGGCAUAUGGGUCAGCCGGCAGCUUCGUUCAGCGAGCGGUCAGGCUCGUCCGUUUGGACUGGUUGUGCUAAGCAUGGUAGUGGUUGGAACGAAGGUUAAUUCGUCCGGAAAGACUACUUUUAACUCAGAUUUUUGGAGAAAAGUCAGUUAGAGCAAAACAGGGCCAGACGGUCGGACUAACGCUGGCUUCUAGCCGGCUGGUGGGUCAAACGGUGACUCCGACUGGUAAACGGCCAAGUUAUGGUGGACGGUCUGGGACUCCUGAAGACAAUGGUGGGUGGCACGGGAGUUGAUUCGUUCGAGAAGCCAACAAUCAACUCAAAUCUUUGGAGGAAGGUCUGUAGGAGCAGAAACUGGAAUAGAGGGAGAACGAGGGAGAGAGAGAGCUCGACGGUUUGGGGCUGAUGGAUGAGAGAGAGAGAGUGAACAUAGAGUUGAAGUCUUCUCCAUCAAGGCUCAUCAAUGCUUGCUCCAACUCCCCAUGCAAGUCCUCUCAUCUUCUCUCUCUUAAUUUGCCCUUAUCUAAUUGCUUUUAGGGGCAAUUUGGUCAUUUCCACAUUGCACAAAUUACCAAUCUGACCUUGGGUUGAAAUUAAUGUAUGAGCCUAAGAAAUGGGCUUGGCUAUGAAUAGAAAUGGGCUUGGGAAUUGAUUGGGCUUGAUUGGGCUCAAAUGGGCUUAAGGUUUGGUAAUGGGCUUGGAAGGAGGAAUAGUGGAUUGGGCCCAAUGGACUCACUUGCUAGCCUUAGGCCCACCAUGGUGGCUGUCCUACCUUGGGCCUGAGGCCCACACUAGCUUGGCUCGGCCCACUUCCUCAUGGGCUCGCUUCCUUGGUCUGAAAAUCUCUUUUCCAAGUACUCGGCUUAACUGGCGCUAUCGACUGACAAAGUAGCUUCAUCCAAAGUCCGUCUUGAACAUUCCUGAUAAUUUGAAGUCCAAUCUUGGAUUCUCAUGCCAUGUCAAUUCCGCCCUAAUGCCACUUUGGGUACAACUCAGACUGACAUGUGGCUUUGAGGAUUCACACGUAACUGACUCGUGUCAAACCACGUUCAAUACAUCUCGACACAUGGACAUCCUUGACUACAUGAAAUUGCGGAGGAUAGAUUCUUAUUUCAAAAUACACGAUUACUGAGGAUCAACUUAGGAUCAUUCACAGGUUCAAUAACAAUAAACGGAAUCAAUUGUCAUUCCAUUAUAUUUUGUCCGUGGAUCGACUUCUAGUCGUCCUCGAAAUCGGCCUGCCUAUCUACAAGAUCGUCCUCAUGUAAGUCUUACUGUCAAGUUGUUUUCCCAGGUCAAGUUCUUUAGUCGUACGAGUUCUGUCCUCAUUAGCCUUUCCCCUCAAAGUUAGUAUUUCAGGAGUGAUCAAUUUCGAGUAAGAUCAACCAAUAAUACAUUGACGAAAUUCACGUUCAUUUAUCCUAUAGAGGGCUCGAAUUUCAGGAUGUCACACUUGCCGACUAGUAAUGAGGGUCCCGACCCUUGGCCAUCGCUAGCGAGGGCCUUGUGGCCCUCACUUGGCCUUGCUAGGGUUGUGGGCGAGGAUUUUGCCCAGAUAUGGGCAAGGUCAACCUUGCCAUGGCCUAGCCAUUGGCGAAGGCACCUUUGCUAGUGAUUGGCGAGGCUUAUCGGCCAUUGCAGGAUAAGAAGGCCAAGAGGAAGAAGAGGAAAAGGAAAAAAAAAAAAGAAGAAGGAAAAAGGGUAAAAGUUAAUAAAAAAAUGUUUAAAAAAAUAUUUAAAAAUUGUCACAUUAGUAUUCACCGAUUGGCCAAAAUUGACCGAAAUGACUUAAUUGAUACCAAUGUAAAAAAGAUUUUGAUUCAAUUGAAAGGUUUAUAACUGAAUUGAUACUAAUGCCAUAGGUUUAUAACUUUUUUGAUCUUUUCUCAUUUUUAACUCUUAUAGACAUAAUGUUGAUGAAUGAUAAAUGUAUCAUAUGUAUAUGAAUUUGAGAUUUUUGGUGUUAGAAAAAAAUUUGAAAAAUGAAAAGUCUACAGCCACGACCAGGACGUAAGGCAACAUUAGACUAGUCAGCGUAGCGAUCGCAUUCUAUUAAAAAUGAGUCAUCUCUCAGGGGCCCCACGUUGCAAGACCCUCGAUGAAGGCGAACCUUGACCAACCGUCGAGGAACCAACCGUUCUAUACUGAUCUGACUGAAGAAGCGACGACUCUCGAGUUCUUGUUUCCUACGCAAGGUCUGAGAAAGACCAAUGCCUGAAGAAGCAAUGGCACUUUUGAGUUCUGGUUUCCUACGUAUACCCGAUUGAAGGCCCCAGCAAAGCGGUCUUCUUCCUCCUCCCGUAAAUCUCAAACCGCCCACUUCCACUUUCACAUUCUCUUCCAAGCUGUCUCUCAUGGCGGGCGAAGGCAAAAUCGCCUCUUUCUUCAUCUUUUUCCUCUGUCUCCUAUUCUAAUUUGAAUCUGGACAACCAAACGUAAUAAUAAGGGGAUUUGCCAUCCCACCUCAUCUUAAUCAGCUCAAUGAAAAAGGCAACCUAUUGUAUCUCUGUUAGUUACGGCAUCAACAAGAAACUCAAACGAGCUCCUCACGAAACAAUGCGGGAAACCUACAGAGUGACAUCAACAGACUGGCAAGACAACGAUAGAUAUGGUCGACAUCAGAGGGAUUGUUUGGAUCUAUUCGUGGAUGGACUGGUUUCCUAGACAUUUGCAUUGAUUCGCACUUUCACAGUCCACGAAAGUUAGUGAUUGCUCCAUAUUGCGGUCCCUCAAAUCACCGUCGGAGUUCUGUGCAUGAAGCACGGUCAAUUGUUGAGAAAACGACCAACAUUGCCCGUUCCCCACGCAUCAUAGUUGACGGAGUCAACUGCCAUCCUUGAGACCCACUUCAUCUCGAUUAUUGAAUUGUGUAGAUCUUACAUGGGAUUCACAUGAUCUAAUUGUUGAGAUAGAGUGGGUUCACAUGCAUUGGAUGCAUGCGAUGCAUACUCCUUAAAUAGGGCCUUUGAAAGAUGAAGUCAUCAAAUGAGCCUGCUCAAAUAUGUAACAUUACAUUAUGGAUCGGAUAAUUUGAGUCAUCGAAUCUAAAGAAUACCAAAUGUAGCCCAAGCAAGCAUUUCACGAACCUAGUGCAUAUAUUAAAUUAAAAUUAAAUGGGGAUCAUCAAAUUUGAAGGAUCCAUAUGGGCUAAAGUACAUCACAAGUGCCAAAAUUUGGCAUGAGUAGACAUUUAAGUGUCAAAGUUCCAAAAGAUUACCACUUUUUUUUUUAAAAUUUAAAAUUGGGAUACUUAAGUGCCCAUUCCGGCGAUGUGUAGCUUGAAAUCUCACAUGGCAUUAUUUUAAGAAUAAAUUGGUCUACGUGGCUCGUUAGAGUCACCUACUUAGCAAUGAAUGUGCCAAACGUUGUCGUUUUACCCCAAAAUUGAUUUUUAAUAUAUUAAUUAAAUUAAAUUAAAAACUAACUUUAAAAAAAAGGAGCAGUAGCAAAUCAGUAAGGGCCUCUACAACUCUUGCUACUACUGCCGCCACAAAGUUGCUAGAAAGGGCUGGUGAUGAUGGGCCAAGGGUCAGCCGGAGUCGCCAGGCCCCAACCAAUGGCUAGCAACCCUAGCCAACCACUAACGAGGGCCUAGAUUUGGGGCGAGGGCUCGUAGCCCUCCCCAAAAUUUGGUGUGGACCUUGCCCUAGCUAGUGGCGGUCCUUGGCCCAAUUGGGCGAGGGCUGACGACUCUGGUCGACCCUUGCCCCACCAUCGCUGGCCCUUUUCGGCUAAUUUGUUGCUACUCCUUUUUUUAAUUUUAUUUUAAAUUUAGUCUUUUAAUUUAAUUUAAUUAAUAUUUAUAUUAAAAAUAAAAUUUUGGGGGCAAAACGACAUCGUUCUGGGACAAGCUAGCCACGUUAGCACCAUGUGGAUAAUUUUUUUUUUUUAAAUAAUUGCCACGUUAGUACCACAUGGAUAAUUUUUUUAAAAAUAAUUGCCACCUCAACAAAAAAAGUGCAACAUUAGUAUUUUGAUUGUAAUUUAUUGCUGUUCUUGCUGUUAGCACUUAAGCGUUCAUUUUUUUCUCCGAUUUUGACAUUUAAGUAUACAUUUUGGAAAUUUUGGCAUGUCCACUAGUGUCAAGUUUUGGCAAUUGGGGUGUCUGACACUCAACUCAUAUGCGAUCCAUCAUUUUUGAUAUCUCAAACUCAUUUUAGAUUAUGAACAAUCACUCCUACAUUUUUGAGGGCAAAACGACAUCGUUCUGGGACAAGCUAGCCACGUUAGAACCAUGUGGAUAAUUUUUUUUUUAAAUAAUUGCCACGUUAGUACCACAUGGAUAAUUUUUUUUAAAAUAAUUGCCACCUCAACAAAAAAUGUGCAACAUUAGUAUUUUGAUUGUAAUUUAUUGCUGUUCUUGCUGUUAGCACUUAAGCGUUCAUUUUUUUCUCCGAUUUUGACAUUUAAGUAUACAUUUUGGAAAUUUUGGCAUGUCCACUAGUGUCAAGUUUUGGCAAUUGGGGUGUCUGACACUCAACUCAUAUGCGAUCCAUCAUUUUUGAUAUCUCAAACUCAUUUUAGAUUAUGAACAAUCACUCCUACAAUAAUUUCUCCUUGCAGCGCAGACGUUUGUGUAAUCUAUCAUGAAAAAGAGUGCAGAAAAGACUUUCCCCAUCUUAAUUGAUAGGAUCAGAGCACAGGAAGGAGCCCUAUUCACAUGAAAUUUAAGGAGCCCUAUUCACAUGAAAUUUCUUUGUCACGAUCAUCAUCCCCGCGCCAUUAAACUUGAGCCCAACAUGCGUAUGCAGUCCGAUAAAUCCUGUAUAAAGCCAGCUAAAAAAUGUACAACCUCCUCCGUGUAACUCACAAAAAAUGGCUUCCAUCGGAAAAACCCAUCGGUCGUAGACUCGUAACCCUCCUGUUUGCUGGCGGCGUGCGUAACAAAUCGAUCGCGGACAACAUUGCCUCCAGGGCACGCCGGUCGAGCUCCCGGAAGUCUUUCAUUGAUUCCUCCUUUGCCCUGGCUCGGUCGAACGGCUUCCAUGGCCUCACCUUGAUUGGGAGCCCCCAGAUACCGACGAGAAGAUGGCCAACUUGGGAUUGCUCAUCCAGGGGUGGCGGGCUGCGGUAGCUGCUGAGGCGGCCAGCUCGGGCAAGGACACUUUGCUUUUGUUGGCGUCAGUCCAUUACUCGCCGCACCACUGGUCUAAUACAAAUUAUUCGGUGGCCGCCAUGGCGGCGAGCAUGGAUUGGAUCAAUGAUUUCUAUGCACCCGGGUGGUCUCCAACCACAGGACCACUUGCUGCUCUUUACAAUCCAGGUAGGGGUGGCAACUUUGACUUUUUUUGGGGUUGUAAACUUUGACUAUUCUGUGGUACAACGAAAUUUCCUUAAUUUUUUGUAUCAAGACUUGAAAAUCCUCUUACCUCAACGUCAAGAGAAUUACAACACAAUUUCCCAUUCAAAGCAUAAAGUGUUAUUCCACGAGUAAUUGACAUGAAUUUUGUUCUUUAUUUAAAAUCCUCAAAUUGUUCUCAUUAAACUUGUAAUUUUCUUGAUAUUGAAACAGUCGAUCCUUUACAUUCAGGGAACGGUGUAAGUUAGACCACGCGGUAAGCGUGUGGAUUCAGGCCAGCACGCCGGCAGAAAAGAUCGUGCUCGGCAUUCCAUUCUUUGGUAGCGCAUUUGCUCUCGUGGUAACAUCAACUAAUUUUUCUAUUACUCAAAAUAGAUCAGUGGUUAGGAAAUAGAUUUGGAAUUAAAAAAAGAAUUAUAAAAAAUAAAAAUAAAAACCUAGAUCUCUAUUCACAGGAACAAAAAGAGAAAUACAACCACUUAAUAAAAAACAAAAAAAGCUUAUCAUAACCUAAUGCUCGUCUCUACACAAUCGACACAAGGUUCGGUCUCCUAACUCAAUCCGAGUCCCCUUUUUUUUCGGAAAAAAUGAAAAAUAAAACAAUUCUAAGAUUGAGGAAAAAAUAUAAAAAUUAGAUUUUGAGUAGUUUUACUAGAUAUCAAUCCGAGUCCCCAUUUUGAGUGUUAAUUCUAGUUCAGAAUUAGUUUAGAAAAAAAAUGUGAUUUUUUUUUUAUGAAAAUUGGAUUCAAAAUUGAAUAAGCUUUUAGGGUUUUGCUAUAUGGAUUUUUCAAUGCUAUUUUUUUUUUUUUUAAGAGACAAUGCUAGGUCACGAAAGUUUGGUGACUUUGGUCUUCUUCCCUUAAGAUUCUAAUGGAGACAUCCUUUAAGAUCAUUUGUAAUUCUUAAUAGAAAAUUAGAUGGCUUCAAAUAAGUCUUUUGCAUUACCAUUUGUCUUGUGUUAUGGCAGUCGAAUAAGUCUGUGCUCCAUGGAUUUUUUUAUGUCAUUUGCUUGAAGAUUUGAUGAGUUUGUGCAAAUAAGUACACCAAAGAUCACCUCUACCCUCAAGUGUUCUGCCAUUGCCCAUUCUACCAGGGAAGUUGGCUCUUCUUCUUAUAGUUAAAAAGGUUCAAAAGGUCUAUGCACCUGUUUAUUAUAAUGCCCAAAGGUUUACAAUCAACAUCCUCACAUUGUGAGUUAUAAACUAGUGGGACUCUUUAUUGCUAUUUCCAAUCAUUCAUCUUUGACUCCAUAUUAAGUUGUAUUUUCUAAUACAAUCUUAGAAUAUUUUGAUCAAUUAAAUUCUUACAAAAGUCUAGUUUUAUUUAAAUAUGAAUUGUUAAGCCUCCACUAACAUUUUUAUAAUUAAAUGAAAAAAAUUGAGAAUAGAAAUUUUUAGGGUCGUAGCAAAUGCAUUUAUGUUUUUUUAUCUAUUCUGAGAAUUUUUUUUUGUUCAGUUACCAAAAGCAUUCUUAUACUAAAAAACUCAUUCGGGGAAUUAAAAAUAGAAAAAAAAACUAUUUCUAAACAAAAAUUGCUCCUGAAAAUAGAAAUGUUAUUAAACGUACACUUAUUAGAUGAACUAAAGCAAGAUCCAAUAUUGUAAUGGAUUUAUACAAUCUAACAUUAAUAUAGGUUUGAUAGUCAGCACAUAAACACAUUAAGAAUGUAAAGGAAAAGAAUGGAUUUCAAUAACCAAUAGAGAAAAAGGAUUUGAAAGGAUUGAGCUAGAACGUUAUUGGGAUGCAAAUGAGGGGAAAAGCAAUUAUAAGAACCAUUUAGAGAUGAAUUUGUUUAUACAUGAAAAACUUUAAUAAUUCCUUCCGAUCCAUUCUCUCAAUUCUGACGAGAUUGUGAUUUCAGAAUCAUUUAUUUCCCUCUUAACCCCUCCAAUUGAACUAUAUGUUUGACAAAUACUUCAGAUCAAGAAGCAAGCCGACUUGUCUUUCCAAUUGGCGCCCUAUUGAAAUUUUUUCUUAAGGAUGAUAUUGCAUGACAAGAGAGGCCCGAUCAUCGGUUGGAUGCUGUGAGACAAGCCCUGUCUAUUUGGUCAAUCAUAUUCAUUCUCAAAAGGAAAAAAAGCCAUAAAAAAUUUAAAUUAUAUUUAAUGUGACACAUUUAUUCUUUUUUUUUUGUAACAUCAAAAACCUUAAACUAUUUCAACCGAGACAUAUUUACCCUUCGUUAAUGUUCUGUUAAAUGAAUUUUCAUCCAAAAUAACGUGAAUUUUAUUUUAAUUAAGUCAUGUGGAUUAGAAGUGAGCAUGGUUUUAAGGUGGAGCUUGAAAGUUGAGAAUUGGAUUAGUGAAAACUUGUCCAGUUCCAAGUUUCAAGUUCUAAAAUAUGUAGGGUAGGUUCUAAGUUUUAAAAAUUAAGGAUCCUAUUUCGACAAGUAGGUUCUAAGUUUUAGGUUGGUGGAACUUGAAAUUUGGAACUUGUAAUUUAGAACUUGCAAUAAUUUUUUGUGUUUUUCUUGACUUAUAUCUUUGUGCGAUUCUGCAGUAUUCUAUAACGUUUGAUGAUAAGUGUAUAAUCUGGAACUACUAUAUGAGUUUCCAUUUUAUGACAGAAAUUUUUACUUUGUUAAUAUUUCAAAUUUUUGAGCAUUUAAGUAUUAAUUAUUGUUAGUGAAUUGUCAUAAGAAGUGAUGAUUAUUAAAGUUGAUAAUUCACCGUAAUCGCUCAAUUAAUAAUACAUGUGAAAUUUGGGUAUAUCCUAAAAUUGACUUUGGAACCUGUAACAAAGUAAGUUCCAAUAUAUAUAGAAUAGGUUAUAGAUUUCCAAAAAGUAAUGAAUUUAUUUUAAUUAGUAGGUUCCAAGCUUUAGAUGAAAUCUAUACAGAACCUAUAAUUGCUCACCCCUAACGUAGGUGUCAUGUCAAUAAUAUUUACUUUUUGAUGUCUAUAUAAGCAGUUAUUUUGGUUUUAUUGAUUGAAUUUUGAAAUUUUUAGUAUCAUAGAAAAAAAAAAUUUAAACUAAGUAUGUCUGUAUAUAAUUCGAUUUUUUUUUUUUUUUUAGCUUUUUAGCUUUCCCAAAAUGAAAAGUCCACAGCCACGACCCGAACGGAAGGUACCGGUAGACUCAAAAGAAAAGACAGCGUAGCGAUGGCAUCCCAUAAAAAAUGAGUCGUCUCUCAUGCGCCACGUUGCAAGAAUUCGCUGAAAGUGAACCUUGACCAAACAUCAGUCCAGGAACCAACGAGGAAGCAACCGUCGUCGUACACUGAUCUGGCUGAAGAAGCGACGACGCUCGAGUUCUCGUUUCCUACGUACUGUCUGCAGAAGCAAUGACACUUGGAAUUGAGUUCUAGUUUCCUACGUAAACCCGAUCAAAGGUCCCAGCAGAGCGGUCUGCUUCCUCCUCCCGUAAAUCUUAAACCGCCCACUUCCGCUUUCACAUUCUCUUCCGAGCCGUCUCUCAUGGCGAGCGAAGGCAAAAUCGCCUGUUUCUUCGUCUUUUUCCUCUGUCUCCGCCCAUCUUCGGAGGAACGAACGUGGGUCAAGUCCGCUUACGUUUAUGACGGCAGUGAUAUCCGGCUUUCGGCCAUCGAUUCAUCUUUGUUCUCUACCCUCAUAUGCGCUUUUGCUUACAUCGACUCUUCGACCCAUCAGCUCUACGUCAAUUCCUCCACUGAGUACUUCUUCCACACCUUCACGGACAGCGUGAAAUUCGAGAACUCUUCGAUCACCACGCUGUUAUCAGUGUGGGCAGGCCGAGAGGAUCCUUCAGCUUUCGUUUCGAUGCUCGGUGAGUCUUCUUCAAGAAGGUCCUUUAUCGAGUCUACCAUAGAAAAGGCAAGGCUUUAUGGGUUCAGUGGGGUUGAUCUCUGUGGGGUCUUGCCCAGUAGGAGCAUUAACAUGACCAAUUUGAGUGCCCUUUUGCGGGAGUGGAGAGAUGGAGUAGAUGCCGAAUCAAGAAAAUCUGGGAAACCUCAGUUGCUGCUAGUAAUGGCUGUGUAUUGUCAACCCAUUUUUAACUCCGUGAGUUACCCACUUGACUCAAUUCAGAGAAAUUUGGACUGGGUUCACCUAAUUGCGUAUGAUUACCAUCUCCCCACCAGGGAAAGAUUUGCGCUCCCUCACGCAGCUUUAUUUGACCCAGCAAGCCAGAACAACACAGACUUUUGCAUAACUUGGUUGCUGACUAGAGGAUUUCCAGCAAGAAAGCUGGUUCUAGGCUUGCCCUACCAUGGCUAUGCUUGGCAGCUCGAGGAUUCGAGCCCCGAUGCCAUUGGCCAUCCAGCGGUGGGUCCUGCUGUAACGGCGGAUGGGUCAUUUGGAUACAGCUCCAUAAAAUUAUAUAUCCGAGAUUUCGGUUAUGGAGCCACUUCUGUUUAUAAUAGUACAUAUGCGGUGAAUCUUUUCAGAAAGGGAUCGGUAUGGAUCAAUUUCGAUGAUGUGGAGGCCAUCCGAGCUAAAGUAACUUAUGCCAAGGAAAAGGGGCUUCUUGGUUACAAUGUGUUUCAGAUCAACAAUGAUAAGAACUGGGUCCUUUCCCGGACAGGUUAGGAUUAAGAACCCCACAGGAAUUUCUGAAGGUUUUAAAAAAUUAUUGCAUUGAAAAUGUAGAACGAUAUGUAAUUCAAGCACUUAAUUGCCUUGUCAGCUCAAGAGGCCAGUGAAGAUCAGCAACACAGGCGAUGGUUCUGGCCAGUUUUGCUUAUUUCGAUUGCUAUAGUUCUCCUCAUAUUUGGCCUGAUUUGCUACUUACAGAGGCGAACAUUAAAAUCAAAAGGUACAUUUUCUGAACUUCACUGGGGGAUUACUAUAAUUCUCUGGUAAUCAGGAACAUUGACUUAGGAAGGAUUAAAGUUCUAGAUAUAAUUUCUUGAAUUUUGGUUCUCAGGUAUUUUGGGUGUAAUGAAAGGAUUUAGUAGCCGAUUAAAGACUAUGGUGUGUAAAGGUGAAAGCCUUGAGAGUGGUACUCCUAAUCUGCAAACAUUUGGUUACGUCACCCUCAAAGCAGCAACCGACGACUUCUCAAGUGAAAAUAAGCUUGGAGAGGGUGGAUUUGGACCUGUUUACAAGGUAAAAUAUAUGGGGCCAUACUUAAGCUAAUGAAUAUUAUUUUCUGUUUUAUUGCAAAUCCUAUGAAGUAUGAACCAUGAUUGAAUGCCAGAUUCGGUCCUUUUGCUCUAUAACACGUGUUUGUCGUUGUUUAAUGCAAGCAAGGAAAAUAACUCACCCCUGAAUAUUUUUCUUACUUCUUAUGCUCAAGAAUAUGUCUUAUUUCUUGUUUAUAGUCUUGACUUAUAAUGGGAACUUUUCGACCCAGAAAAAACUAAUGGUACUGGGAACUUGCUACCCUUACUAUGAGAGAGCUAAUCUUUUCAUGUGUUAAACAUAGGUAUGCCAGCUUUCUCUUUAGCAGCUGCCAGCUGCUUGGUUUAUACUGGCAAUUUCAAUCAUUUGGUUGGAAUCAGCAUCGCACGACACAGCACAAUAAGCUCGAGAUACUUAGAAAUGCUGCGUAGAUCUUCUUAAUCAUGUAUGUGAGCAUGUAAGUUUCAUCGUAGGAGGUUGGACUUGGAUGCAUUCUGCUCAAGUUUUGUUUUUCAUUAAUGUUCCUUGGGGCUAUGUGAUUAUGUCAUAGACAAAGCACUGUCUUCCAGCAUAAACAGUGAAGUUUCGUUGUGUCUACCAUGUUCAAGUGGAAGUUAGUUCGCUGUACUGACCGUCAGCAUACCUGUUGCUCAGGGCAAGUUGCCCAAGGGACAGUACAUUGCAGUGAAGAGACUUUCGAAAACUUCAAACCAAGGGCUCGAGGAGUUCAAGAACGAAGUUAUGCUCACUGCCAGCCUGCAACAUGUCAACCUCGUUCGCCUUCUGGGAUUUUGUACUGACAGGGAAGAAUUGAUGCUGAUCUAUGAGUACAUGCCAAAUAAGAGCUUGGACUUAUACCUAUUUGGUUAGACAUCUUUCAUGCUUCUUAAAAUAGUCAUUGAGCAAAACCUAGGUGUUUUUAAGUGGCAUAUAGUGUGAUACUCCAAAAGGCUUAAAUGGGUCCCAGUUCUGCUACAAUGGCUAGAGGAGGCAGACCCUCAUUAAGCAUUUGGAAUACACAAAGGUAUGCAAUGCUCUAAUUUUGCUUCUGGUUCUGAUAGUCAUUAGGUUUUAAUGAUGCAGAUCCAAUAAGGAAAUAUUUGCUGGAUUGGGUGAAAUGUGUUCAUAUCAUAGAAGGCAUUACACAGGGGCUUCUUUAUCUCCAAGAAUACUCAAAUUUCACAAUAAUCCAUCGAGACUUGAAAGCCAGCAAUGUUUUGCUGGAUGAUGAAAUGAACCCCAAGAUAUCAGAUUUUGGUCUGGCGAGAAUAUUUAGGAAGGAUGACAUUGAGGCAAAUACCAACCGAAUUGUUGGGACCUAGUAAGCGAGCUAACUAGGCCCCCCUUUUACCUCACAGAUAUUCUCCUGCUAAAAGUCUUCUGCUUAAAACCAAUUUCUGUUCUUGUAUACAGUGGGUAUGUUCCCCCAGAAUACGUGAGGAAAGGCAUAUACUCGACCAAGUAUGACAUCUACAGCUUUGGGGUACUGCUGUUGCAAAUCAUCAGUGGUAAAAAGAACUCAUGUUGCUAUGGCCUAAAUGAAAAUCUGAAUCUUCUCGAAUAUGUAAGUAGAGAUUAUUUGUGAGUCAAAAUUUUCCAGGCUCAACUUUUGGAACAUGAAUUUUGACUUUUAACCAGCUACCAUUCUUAAUUUCAGGCAUAUGAGCUGUGGAAAGACGAUAAAUGCAUGCAGUUCAUGGACCCGUCUUUGGAUGACUCUUCAUCAUCUUGUAAGCUCAUGAGAUGCAUGCAAGUGGCUCUUCUAUGCGUGCAAGCGAAGCCUGGGGACAGACCCUCCAUGUUGGAAGUCUCUUCGAUGCUCAAGAAUGAAUCUUCAGCUGUGAACUCCCCCAAGAAGCCUGCGUUUUCAAUUAACAAGGAUGAAGAUGAAGAUGAGGAUGACAAGUGCUUGAUCAAGGAAGCAAUUCAUUCGGUCAAUGAUGCAUCGAUUUCUGAAUUGUGUCCUCGCUGAUUAUACAUAGCAGGUGUCCAAUGCUGAGAGUACCAACACCAUGGAGAGAAUCUUUUGUUGACUUAUUUGGUUGCCCAGACUUCGUUUGUCCCAGUGGCAUUAUUUUCCCAAUUAAUUUUAAUAGUUUUCGACGUCUAUAUUAUCAUCGAGAGGCAGUUCAAAUAUUCCUUCUUUUGUCUUGUAACCUUUUGAGGGGAAGAGUACCAAAAAAAAAAAGUCCUAAAACUAUUUCAUUGAUCCAAUUUUGUCUUAAAUUUUUUAAUUGGACCAAUUUAUCCUUAAACUUUUCACCUUGGUACCAAUUCAGUUCGUUCAGCCAAUUUAAGUAGGAAAUCGAUGACGCAAAUGUCGGCCAUCCUACGCGGCACAUCUGCCAUUGAUGUGAACAUUUUUAAAAAUAUUUAAAAAUAUUUUGAAUUUUUAUUUUUAGCUAUUUUGUUUUUUCUUUAGUUUUUUCCUCCAUUUCACUAGAUGGCAUAAAUUAGCCCAAAUUCAUUGACAUAAACGUCGACAAUCCUACAUAGCAUAACGGACGCUGAUGUAGACAUCUUUUUAUAAUUUUCUAAUUUACAUGGAAUGAGGUGGUAAUUCACAUGGCCUGAUCGAUGGGAUGGAGUGGGUUCAUGGUCCAUUAAGAAGCUGUUAUCACAUAAAUUUUGACUCAAUAUUUAGGAUUAAAAUUGUAUAGAAAUUAGGGACCAAUUCGAUCAUAGCAAAAAUGAUUUUCGCAUCACCUAGGUAUUGCAUCCAUUAAGUUUUACUUUUUAUUUUACCUAUUUUUGAAUAAGUAGAAUAUUUAAAAAAAAAAAAAAAAGAGCUUGGAAGAGAAAGGGGGAGGGGGGGGGGGGGGGGCUCAAGGGCUGGGCUUUUGCCCCAACCCCUUUGCUUUUCUCUUCCUUGCGGAUGGGCCCGAGCCCAUUCACCCUCAUUCUUCCCUAGGCUUGGCCCCCCGUCACCUCCGCCUCCGCCUCCUUCCCCUUCCUUCUUCUUCCUCGAGCCGCACACCACAUGCGCGGAGGCCGACGAAGGCGGAGUACGCCCUAUGGCAAAGAGAGGAGGGUAGGCCAGCGACGGAUGGGAUGGCAAAGUAGGCUUCUUCAAUGCUACCCAACUGAGGAGCAAAGCAGACUUGCUCUACGAGUUGCCGCCCAACUGAGGAGCAAAGCAGACCUGCUCUGCGAGUGGACAGGGAGGGGACGUCUGUUGGCCUUCGAAGCGGUAUCCUAGGAUCAAUGUAGCUAGAAACCUAAACAUGUAGGAGGAGAAUACGAAAAUUUGUGUACCUGAUUUGGAAUCCAUCGUUCUUUAUGCGGAAUGACGACGAUCCAACACUCAAAUGACAAGCCGACGCUUAGGUUCUUUUCCUCUAUGACCCUUGGUUCCUGGCUCGAUGAGACCGCCACUCACAGCUUGCCUUAUGUGAGGUGAGAAAAAGUUCAUGGAAGAAUGAGGGCUAAAGAAGGGACCUUAACACUAUUUAUAGAAUUUUGGACGGGCUCUCUCAUCACAGACCAGGUUCAACUCGACCCACACAAGCUAGGUCCAUAUUUGACUAUUAAGAAAAUCUUAUGCCUUACCUUAUUAGACUAAUCCUGUAAAACGGUAAAUUACUAUCUCAAUUAAUGUAACCCAUAUUAGGAAAACUCUUACAUUCUCCUACUUGGGCUAUGUUUGAGACUGUACUAUAUGUGGACACCUUUAUGUUGGUCUAGUGACAAUUCUUAAUAGUCAAUCAUAUUCCAUAAAGUCUCAAACAUUGAAUCAUGAUAGUAACUGUUUGUACUCACAUAGAACCUUCUAUGGUCACAAGUGCUUUCAACUUUAUUGAUAUGGUUUCAAUAUGGUUGUGUGACAAAUGGAUAACACCUCAUAAAGAGUAAUACCUUAUGUGUUAUCUCCUUUAUCGGUCACUAUUCUCUUACUUUAAGUGUCACUGAAAAUUGGAUGUGGCACUAGAGAAGAUCCUUAUGGUUCUAAUGAACCCACAUAUGUUUUUUUUAUAUGGUUAACCUUUCUUUAUGUGUAAUUAAGACAUAUGUUUAAGGCUGAUAAUCAGAUGCCCCCAACCUUCAUUCAAGGCUUACAUAAUACCUUGAGAUUUCCAUUACAUAUAAUCAACUCAAUUUGGUGACCACACAUUCAUAAACACUUUAUUGAAUGUGUAACAUAUAUAAGCUUUAUUAGAGCAAAAUCAAAACAACUCCCACUAAACAACAUCAUUCAAUGAUGCUCCUUAGCCUAUGUUCACAACAUGUUGUUCAAGUACACAAGGACGAAAAUCUUUAGUUAGUGGAUCCACAACCACAUCUUCUGUGGAAAUAUACGCUAUUGUAGCGUCACCAUUCUGUAUCAUUUCUUUAUGGCCAAAAAUAUGACUAUCACAUAUCUAGACCCCUCGAGACCUUUAUUGUUGUUCAAAAACAACAUUGAGAAAUUAUUGUCUCGAUACAACUAUAUGGAUCUAUUAAUGAAAUCAAAUAUGGUCAACUCCUUAAUGAGAUUCUGAAGCCAGAUAUUUUAAGUAACAGUUGAAAAGCAUGAUACAGACUCCGUUAUACGAUAGAGGAUAACAUAGAUUUUUGUUUAUCGCUAACACUACACUUUCUGCUAAUAUAAAGAUAUAUACUGUUAUCAACUUUUUGUCAUCCUUAUAGCUAGUAAAAUCUAUAUUCAAAUACCCUACUAGCUCUAGAUCCUAAACAUGUUUUUCAGCAUAAAGUUUCCUUGUCCUUUUUAGUAUCUCAAAAUCUUAUUGGCAGCAAUCCAGUGAUCAUAUCCUAGACUUGACUGAUAUUUGCCUAAAAGUCUUGCUGCAAAAACAAUAUCUAGCCUAGUGCAGACUUAAACAUACAUGACACUUCUAAGUGCACUAGCAUAAAGUAUAUCUUUCAUUUGGGUUUUCCCAAGAUUUGAACAAGGAUAAUGCCAGGGAUUCAAUCUACCAGCCCUAAGUGAUUUCUAGUUCAUAAUUCUACCUACUUAAUCUUUCUAAAACACGAUCAACAUAUGCAAUUUGAGAUAAAUCUAACAUACAACAAUAAUGAUUCCUAUGGAUCUUAAUGCCAAGGACAAAAGAUACCCCACUAAGAUCUCUGAAGUUAAAAUUCCUUAACAACAUAUGCUUUAUCUUAUACAGUGAUCCUAUAUCACUACUUGCAAGCAAGAUAUUAUUUUACAUAGAUUGUGAGAAAACUAAAUAUUCUCCCACUAACCUUGCAGUAUAUACACUGAUUUACUUUAUUCUCAACAAAACCGAAUGAAGUGACAACACUAUGAAGUUUCAAGCACCAUUGUAUACAAACUUGCCAAAGACCAUAAAUAAAACUCUUUAAUUUUACACACAAGCUUACCUGAAUCAUUUGCUACAAAACCUUCGGGUUAUACCAUAUAAACGUAUUUAUUGACGUAUCCAUUGAAAAACAAAUUUUUAACAUUUAUCCAAUGUAAUUCCAUAUCAAAAGGAACUACUAAUACCAUAUUCACUAUGAAAUAGUCUUUAAAAAAGAAUAAACUUCUCUUUGAGUGAAACCUUUCACUACUAGUCAAAACUUAAACUUCAUAAUAUUUCCUUUGGAAUUUCAUUUAGUCUUGUACACCUAUCUGCAGCGGAUGAGCUUGUGACCCUUAGCCAAUUCAACAGACUCCAAAACACUAUCAUGUUUUAUAAAUUGCAUCUCGUCUUUCAUCGUAUCUAACCAUAGAUCUAACUGAGGAUAAGAAACAACAUCUAUAUAUACAAGUCACUAAAUCGACCAUACAAUAGAUAUCGUAAUCAUGCUCUUACAAAUAGAUUAUAUAGUCCAGUGGUAUAACUGAACAUCUUUCCCUAGUUAAUUUCUUAAGUGGAGCUACCUGUUGAUACCUGAUCUUUAGUUGACGUAUCAUUAAAAGGUAACAAAUCGAUAUUUAAGUUUCUGAUCACGACGGAGCCCUAUCUCUUGACCAAAACAUGUCGUUUUUCAUUUCUUUCUUUUGCAUUGUCAUUUUUAAGCAGUUUUAGCUUAUUUUCAAGAAAAACCUGAAAAGUCAAACGGUUAACUUUCAGGUUGACUUUUUGAUCAACUCUUUGACAAAAAGUCAACCCCGAGUCAAAAAUUGACUUUUUAACAAAAAAAAUUCCACUUAGCUUUAAUUUCACCAUUUUAAAAUCAAUUUCUUGAAAAUUCAAAGAUUUGACUAAAAAAUCAAUCUUUUGGGAAAAGUCAACUAAAUUGUUGACUUUUGGUCAAACUUUUGACCACAAAAAUAAAAAUAAAAAAAUCCGAUCGAACCUGAAUUUAGGUCCAAUUUUAAUAUUAGGCUUAGAUCAUUUUUUACCUAAGCUCGAGCACUUCAAUUCAAGGUCAAUUUGAAUAUGAUAAGUGAUCUUACAUAUCGGUAGCUCAUUAGAUAGGGCAAUUGUGAUACUAAUUGAGUUCACUUUUAGUUAAUUUGUAAUUUUGCCAAUUGAAUUGCAAAUUUUAUCAUUUUAGCCCUUUAGGCCCAAUUCAAAGCACCCACGGUUUUGACUCAUUUUUUUUCCACAAGAAUCAUUCAAUUAGGUCAAUAAAAGACCUUUAGAUCACGUUCAUAAGGUUUGAUUAGCUUAAUUGUAUCUUAAUUGAUCAAUUUCUUCAUAAAAAUGAUAAAAUUCAUUUUCAACUUGGUCAUUUAGGGGUCAAAUCGCAUAAUUUUUUUUUUAUCCACAAGGGUCCCAAGUGGACAAAACAGCAAGAGUCGAACCAAACCGGUCAAGAACUGGUCAAAAUCUGAUCGAACUGGACCGAAUUGGUCCGGCCAGUCUUACCGACCGCCGACGGGACUAACCGAUUCAGGCCCUUGCCGGCCGGUUCUUGGUCUCCGGCCACCGGUUUUGGAACCCUCUCAAUUCCAAAUUCACUUCUACUCCUUCAAUUUCCCAAAAUUUUACAAAUUGGUCCUUGAAUUUAGUUAAAUUGUAAAUUAAUCCCUGAUUAGACAUUUUGAUGCAAUUCCCGAUUUUGGCUUGGUUUUUGCCAAAAAAAAAAAACCCACUAGAUCAAUUACCCAACACCUCGAGAUUAUGAUGGAGCCUUUGAAAUGGAUUUUUGACCGUUGGAUCGAGAUUUUGACCGUCAAGUCGAACCGACGGCCAAAAUCACUUAAUGUGAGAGUAUAUAAAUGAAAUAUCUUCUGUUUUCAAAAAGGGGGGUUCAUUUUGCAUGAAAAUUUUCUCUCUCCUCAGCCUCUCUCUCUCUCUCUCUCUCUGUCUCUCUCUGUGUCUCUCCCCCUCUUUCUUUGGUCCCUCUAAACUCCCGCUUAAACAGAUCACACACACUCUCUCUGUAGUUUCAGUUCAUCUCAUGGAUCGGUCUCGUUCUAAGCUCGAACUGGUGGUCGUCGGAGCUCUCAAGCAUUCAAGUUGUUGAUGAUCUGCAGUAGUAAAGGUCUUUGACCUUACUGUGGACAAAGGAGGUUAGAUUGGUGGCUAGAUCUUCACUAGCGGCCCGAUGUUUGCCGACGAGUCAAGGCUGGUCCAUUUUGGAUCGGUUCUUCCUUUUUUCCUUGAGCCAGUGAUUCGAUUGAUCCUGAUCCGAGCCGUAGUGACCUGAUCUACAUUCUUAGAGUCUUGAUCAUGAUCCAGUGGCUUGAUCCGAUUGAUCGCGAUAGAAAUUGACAAAGAUCAUAACGAUGGUAACGAUUCGAAACUUGAAUUCGAUGAAGCAAGAUCGAGUUAGUCGAUCAAGGCUAAGAUUCAAGAUUAGAAGCUUUUACAUGCUUAAGAUCAAUGAGUAUGAAUGCUGUGAUGAUUUGUUGAUGAUUUGAAUGAUGAUUGUGAUUUUGAGCCUAAUCUGUGAUUUCUGUAGGUUUGUACAUAGGUCAUUGUUUUGGCUGAAACGAGAUCCACUCGAGUCCUCUUAGGAUUAGAUAAUAGACAUCCCGAGCUUCGAAAUGAUAGGUCAUACACCCUAAUUAAGCGUCAUUUGACCCUAAAAAAACACCUCAGAAGAUUAACGAUUCUAUAAUAGUUUAGGUCUUUUUUGGGUUCUGAUUAGGUUCCGCCUUUUGACUUUGUUAUUUUUAUGCCAAUUUUCGUGAUCAUUUUUUGACAAAAUUUUCUUCAUGAGUUUUGUUCCAAAUCAUCUCGUUCAUCUUUUGUAAUUUUUUUCAUGAUUUUUGGAUGUGUUCAACUAGGUCAGAUCUACUCAGAUUUAAGCUUAGGUCAAUCUGUUCCAUAUGGAUAUCUGAUUUUGCCAUUUUUGUGCUGAUUUUUUUGUUGAGUUCUGAAACAAAUUUCCUCAUGAAAGUUGGUUCUACAGGUGUUUUGCAUGUCCUAUAUUUUCUUUUUUCAAAAUUUUUAGACAUGUUCAGCUAGGUCAAAAUUGCUUAGAUCUGAACAUAGGUCAGUCUGUCCUGCAUUAGUUCAAGAUUUGUUUUGAUAAAUUUGAGUCCAUAAAUGCAUCUAUUUGAUCUCAAAUCUUUCAUUAAAAUUGAAAUACAUGAUAUAUAUAUAUAUAUAUAUAUAUAUAUGUUCAAUUGAUGCAUGCUUUGCAAGGUUUUACAUUAGCUAAGUGAGUCAAUUGCAUGCAUUAGAGUAAAAGGUACUACAACAAUAUAUGUUUGACAUAUAGUUUGGUCUGUUUUUCCACGGCUCAUAUGAUCUUAAUUGAGUUUCGGUCUCUUCACAAGAAAUCUUCAUCAUCGUAUGAUCUGUAUGUGAGAUUUUUGGUAGGAUUUAUGCAUGUCUUGAGAAUGGCUGAAAUCAUGCUUGUUCUGUAAACUUAAUACUUAAAUGAAAUCUUGUCAUAUGUGCACGUUUUCAUGCUUGUUUAAGUCAUCUAAAGAUCAAAUCUUAUGAUUAUGCCUUCUCGACGAUUGAACCGCAUGUUGCAAGAUUUGCAUACAUGUUUAGAUCAUGUCAUUUGAGUUUCAUCUUGCACAUUAAAUUGUCUCACAAAAAGUGUUCAUCACACUUGGAAUUCCCAAGCAUAUCAUUAGGAAUCAUGAAUCAUCUCAUAAUGUCAUUUAAAUUGUUUGACAUUUUGUAUGCCGACUUAAGAUUAGAUGACUAUCCAAACUUUCCGUUGCAUCCAAUCCUAAGUCCCGUGUGAUUUCUUCAUGCCGUUUGGGCAUUCUUUGAGUGAUUUUAAGGUUUUUUUAAUGAAUGCUUAUGUUCUGUUUUCUUAAUUACUGAUGCGCACACUUUUAAAGAUCUCGACCUUAGGAUACCAAAUUAACCUAGUUUGGACUCGAGCUCUUCUAGGAAGACGUAGGGUACACUUAGAAGUUUCUAAUGCCACUAAUUUCAUGCUAAUCGCUCAUCUUUUGGACUAUUUUCCAUUUUUUUUUCAAAUCUAAAUUACAAUCUGGACAAGGGGUUAAAUUCGGACCCCUAUUCUAACCCCUAUUUGGACAAACCUUUGAUAUUUUUGUUUCAUUUUUUCUAUUUGGAAUUUAAACUUGGCAUCUUAAUAAAAAUUUCUUGUCAUCAUAUUGGCUAUAUUGUGUGAAAAUUUGAAAAUUUUUAGACAUGUUUUGAUAGGACAAAUCUUUGUGACAUUAGCUGAAAGUCCUGUUGUUUUGACAAAUUUCUGAUGUAUUGUUACUUGUUGUUUGAUUUUUGUAAAAUCAUGUAUAGAUUGUUUAAGAAUUUUUUUUUCACAAAAGUUGUUUAUCAUUAUGUCAUGCAUGUUAGAGAAUUUUUUCAUUGCCAAAUUAUCAUUAGGUAUUGCCCAAUUUUGCUGUCCUUACACGUUUGUUCUGAAAUUUCCUGAUAUAAAUAUGACCGUGAUUGUUUAGUUCUGCCUUUUAGGUUAGUUUGUGCAUGAAAUUAUGACAUGCCAUCUUCAUGAAAAUUGUUCUAAAUAUUUUGAUCUUUGUUGUUAAACAAUCGACUUUUUCAAAUUGCAUCUUUCAAAAAAUGCUUUAGUACAUGUGAUGUUUCUCAAAAACAAUUUAUGAAAAAGUUUUUCUCUAAAACUCGAUUUGGCUUAAGGAAAAAUCGUGAUUUUGACCAUAUUCAAAAUGCUUGCGAUGCUUGUGAGUGCAUUUAUGUGAGGCUGGGGCUAGUCUUGGUAAUUGAAUGUGUUCCAUAGCCUAUAUAUUCUUUAAUCCUAAAUAUUUUCAAAUCUUUUUUUAAAAAUCUUGAUUUGAUAUAGUGAAAGUCAUGGUUUAAAUUGUAUUCAAAAUGUUUGCGAUGCUUGUGAGUGCAUUUAUCUGAGCCUCGGGCUAGCCUUGGCAAUUAAAUGCCUUUCAUAGCUGAGACAUCACUUUAUCUUAAAACUUUUCAUGAAUGAUUUCGAAAUAUAUUUUUUGAAAUAUCACAUGUACCCCUCAUACAUAUAAUCCCGUCAUGAUUAGAAAUUGCUUGUGUUUGUGAUUGUCGCAUGCCCUUGGUAAUAAGUGACCCGCCGACAGUUCACUUUUCUGCUUGAUUGGUUGAGAAAUAAGGUUCAAAAGACCUGCAUGCAUGUUAAAAUUUUUACAAUGCAUGUGACUUUUAGAUGAAUGGUAGGGUCGAUGCAAGAUAUCGAUAGAUAACCCUGGGAUCACAUAAUCGCUUGAUUAGGAGACUUAUAAGAGUUAUUGGCCAUGCGAAAAUACAAUUGGUCAACAAUUGCUAUAAGUCACAAAAAUGGAUUGGGUAAGUGUCUUAGUGGGAUCAUUGCAUGAAAGACAAAGGCCAAUCCCAAGGCACCAAAAUUUUAACUUUCAUUUUACACUUCCUUUAAACGAUUAAUCUCAACAUGAUGUCUUGUUUUUUUAUUGUUUUGAUGUGUAUGCUUGUUUUUUUUUUUUCAUUGUAUGCACCUAGUUAUAAGUUUCUUAGAUUAUGUUUAAAUUAGGACCCCGAAAAUGGAGAAAGUGCGAAGAUGGUGGAGGUUGAUGUCCAUUCGGACCAUUAUCAUAUACUAUUCGUUUCUCUGACAUAUGUCUUGAGUUCCAUUUGUUGUAUAAAAAUCGACGAGUUGUGGGUUUUCUCUCUUUCUCUCGUUUUUUUUAAUUGUAGUUUUCUUUAAUAUUUUCUAAGAUUGCAUGGUAGAUUUACUUCUUUCUUUGAUUGUUUACUUACUAUCUCGUAAUUUCAAUUCCAUUGAUUGCUUUCUUUUCUUGUUUUUCUAGAAUUAGAAUAUAAUGAAAAUGGCCAACCACGCAUGAUUGCGUAGUUUAGGACUAGUGAUCUCGAAAAUGUAAAAAGAAAAGUAUGGACAUGUUAGAAAAAUACAACAUAUUGUUUAUGUACCGAAAGAGGGCUAAUAGAAAUAUUAGCAUAACCCAAGUCCCUUAAUUUAGAUAUUUGGUUGCGUAGGAAUUGAGGGAACACUCCUAAUCCUCGAUUGGGUUUUUUAGCCGACCCCCAAAAUAAGGCAAGCGGCGACUCCCGUCUUAUUUUUAGGUUGUCAUAAACAACUAGACUGUAUAAAUAAACCCAUCAUGCGGGGUAUGAAUUUCGAUGAAACUCACCAUGGUUUAGCAUACUCGAUAUGGGAGUACCCCAAAGGCUGAAGCGAUGCCAUCCUUAUGGGCGAGGCGUAUUGUCAAGAGGGCUACCAUGAUAAAGGUACCCUUAAAUCCGAUAUCCACACCCGACCCCUUCUUUUAAGGUGUGUCGUCCGUGUGGGUAUGGAUCGUGACAGUCACUCCACUGUCACACAAGGUACGAGCUUGGGAGAGCUCGCGAUCUCAUGGAGGGAACUCACGAGAUCGCUUGAUCUGAAAGGCAAGGUGAUGACGUCUUUUGGAACGCGAGCUGUGAGAGAACUCUCGUGAUCAAAUACCCCUAAAUCAGACAUUUUCCCAUUUUCUCUCCUCGUGAUGAUGAGGGAUCAAGAGCGGUGAGAUCGGGUCGUGACACUACCACAACCAUUUCAUCUUGUACCUGAGAGGUUUGACAAACUUUAUCAGGAAUUGUAUCAAUAACAACAUCUCGAACCUUAACAAGCUUAGUCUCUGGUGUAAAAGACUCCAUAGUUGUCUGUAUAGGCAAAGACAAAGACUUAGUGGUCCCCACUGUAUUAUUAUCUUUAAUAGUUUAAGAACAACUAUCCUUUACAGCUAUGUUGAAUUCUAGAAACUUUGUUGUCUGUAAUUCCACAAUUUUUAUACCUCCACUAGGAUCAUAAACUGAUAUCCCUUCAAAUGACUUGGGUAAAAUAUGAAAUAGCACCGAGGGGUUCUGCAGUCCAACUUACUUAAUGUUGGAUCAUAUAACCUUACUUUUACAAGACAAUUCAAACCUUAAUAUGGUUUAAGUUAGAUUUACGUUUAGCCCGUGACUCAAAAUGAGUCAACGUAACAUUUUUGGUAAAAAUUCAGUUUAAUGCAUAUUGGGUUGUUUCACCCCACAAAAAACCUAAUAAAUUAGUCCUAGUAAUCAUACUCAUUACCACGUCCAUUAUGAUGUAAUUACGCCUUUCAGCCACACAAAUUUAUUCAAGAUUUUCGGGCAUAGUAAACAAAGUUAUCAUCCUAGAAUUUUUCAAAGGAUUUGACAAAUGACCCUUUAAGUUAUCCAGUAUUGCCAUACUUAUCAAAAUGUUCACCAUUGUUGUCAUAUCUAACAAUCUUUAAGACUCAUCCCAACUGUUUCUCGACUUUAGUCUGAAAGAACUAGAAUCUACUCAAAGAUUCAGACUUUUCUUCGAUAAAAAAUGUUGAAAUGAAAAUUUCUAUAUAAUGUUACCAUAUAUGGUCCAUCAAUAUCAGUGUGAAUGAUCUUUAACAGAUCAAGACUUCAGACUGUAGUUUUCUUGUUUAUCUUAAUCAUCUUGCUUCUACAACAGUUUACACAAGUUUUGAGAUGACAAUUUUUUAAGAGUAGACAAAAUAUCAACUUAUCAAUCUUUCUACUCUUUCUCUAGACAUAUGAUCAGGAUGUUUAUGCCACAAUAUAUAAGAUUGUUCUUUAGGUAAAGAUCUAUUGAAAACAACAUUUUAAAUUGUAAAAACGAUGUACAUAUCAUUGGGAGAUCAACACAAUUAGUAUAAUUGAUCUGACAUAUUGCAACACCUGACUUUAUUUGACUUGGAAAACAUAGAAAUUGAAAGAGCUAGUAUAAACACCUAGAGGGGGGUGAAUAGAUGUAAAAAUAGAGUUGUCUAAAAAUGCAGUAAAAAUAUUUUUCUUUUAAACCGAGUUUGUUUGACAAUAGACUUUGAUAAAGAUUCAAACUUAAAUAAUAUAGCGAAACUUAGAAAAAUAUCACAGCAAAUAAAUUAAAGGAAUUUAGGGAAGAGAAAAUGAACACAAGAUUUACAGUGGUUCGGUUUAGAUUAAGCCUACGUCCACUCUCCCACAUUGACAGCCUUCUGGCUGGUUUUCACUAUGAAUCAAAAGAGAAUUACAACAAUAUAACAUUGACUACUCAGUAAAGAGUUUCUUUUUCUCUCACUAAGUCACUCUUUAGUGUUUCUCUCUCUUUCGAAUAUACGUUUGAGCACUAUUAAGGAAGAACAAGUGAUUUGAGAAGCUUCAGACUUUGGAAUUCUAGUUUUCACGCUCUCUCACAAAUGACUCGAAAAACCUCUUUAAAUACCCCCAUGUCUUUGCAACCGUUAGUACUAUCCAGAGAAAUUCUUCCAAUCAAUCCGUUGGAUAGAAUCAAUCAAAGAGAUCUAGAGCCAUUUGAAGAUUGAGAUGAAAAUCCAAUGAUCUUAGUCGCCCAUACAAUCAUAACUUGGUUUCCAUAAAAUAGAUUCUUUCCAAAUAAACUUGACUUCCAAAUUGAUUUUACCAUUCCGUGAUUGCUUUUAUCAAUAAUAUCCAAAAAGAUAAGUGAGAUUUCCUACCAGAAAGCCAGAUAUAUCUUGUUCGUACUAAAUCCUUGAAGGAAGAAUAAUAAUCCCGAGUCUGAUUAUUUCUUCGUUCUUCACUCGAGUUCAAUCUGGGUCUUUGUCAGAGUGAGGUAGACUUCUGAUGUAAGGUAGAUUUUGAUAGAAUUCCACAGAAGUCUAGUAUUCCUCGAAAUGUGAAUAAGAAUAGAAAUAGAAAGUUUUGUCAACUUCAAAAUCUAAUAUGAAUUUUCUCAACAAUCUCCCCAUUUUUUAUGGUGACAAAACUUUCAUGCAGAUUAAAAUAUUAUAUCCUACAAAACAACACUUCAGAAGUACAUGAUAGUAUAUAAUAAGAACAAAAUAUUAUAGAAUUGAAUAACAUAUAAUCUGCAUCCAUAAAACACAUUAGUCUUAACAGUUUUGCAACAGCAAAACAAUUAGAGUUCAAGCACCACAAAAGUUCAAGCCACAAGUUUAAAAGUUCAAACCACACAAAAAAAUCAAAACAAGAACUUUAAAUUUUCUCUCACUCUCCCCCUUUUGUCAUCAGCAAAAAGAUAAAGUCAAUUAGGAAUAAAAAAAAGUGAAUGAAAAGAUGAUCAGGGCUAUUUUGGAAUGCGAACAAGUUGGAAAUCCUUUAGUGACUGCACGGUCUCCUCAAGCUUAUAUAGGCACUGAUAAUAUACAUUCUCCACUUUGGCUACAGUCUACGAAGCUUGUUGAUUAAGUGUUUCAACCUGAGUGUCAAGAGACUAUAUCUUGCCUGUAAGAAAUUCUGAGGUAGAUCCUAAAACAACAUGUAACUUCUAAAUCUCAAACUCCAUAGCAUAUUGUUGUGCCUCUAUCUCCAAAAGGAGUUCUACUAGCCUUAGAUAGUUUGCAUCGGGUUCGGUUUGGGCACAAGCUUUAGCAAAAUGAAUUUGUGGAGCAUCCAGAAGUGAAGGAACAUCAACUUGAAAGUGUGCAGUUUGUUGCUUACCUUAACUUGGAGUUUCCUCUUCAAUUUCAACUUCAGGGAAAUGAGAUGUAAAUACAUCUUCUACAUGUGCAAGAGAUCUACUAAUACCAUCACUAGUAGUAGGUGCAACUAAUAGAGUUUUCUCAUGUUCUCCCUCUGUUUUGGUGCCUUUAGGUUGAGACGAAACUUCUCCUUCUUGUACCUUCUCCUUUCCAGCACGAGAUCCCUUUUUUGGUUCAGUCUCCUCUACUUCAAGUGCAGCAAUGUCCCUGUUUUCCUCAGUUUCCUCCAAUUAUGGUAUUACACCAGCGUCUCCUUCUGAGUCUUCAUCCUCAUCUUCCUUCUCUUCAGAUUGUUCAGCAUCACUUUCUUCUUCUUCUUCUUCUUCUUUUUCACCUUAUUCUUCUUCUAGUCCUUAAAAAUCAACAGAACCUUGAAGAUUGCGCAAAGCGAUGGCAGAAAUUGUCAAAUCUUCAUCUUCCUCUUCAUUAUCCUGCAGAAUGAUAGAUUUCUUCUUCUUUGAUGUCUUCAGGACAACAUCCUUUCCCUUGCGCUUCUUUGCAGCAACAAAUCCUUCUUUGAUUUUGCUAGAUGAUUCAUUUUUCAAAAGAUCCAAGGGUUUAAAAAGAUCUUUCAGCCUCAUCUUGGAAAUCAUUUUCAUUCCUAUUUCUAUAGGAGCAAGAGUCAUUGAUCGAAGUUGAGAAGGUAGCGGAAUCUGAAAGUGUCUGAAUAAUCUCAUUAUCAAGGCAGAGUAGGGCAAUUGCUCUUUUUUCCUUUUAUCAUUGUUCUGUACAUGUGUAAAAAGAUAGUAUGUGGGAGAGAAAAAGGAACUCCAUUGCAAAUUGCCCACAUUAUCUUUGCCUCAAACCUUGAAACAUCAGUCUUAGAAGUAGCUUUGGAUCUGAUGCAAUUGAUCACUAUCUUAUCAACAGAAUGUUUGAAGCAGGCAUACGAGAGUAAGUAAUACUCCCACUCAGAUUUCUGUCUUUCACAAAAAAUCUAGUAGCUUGAUUGAUGGAUACAUUUAUGGGUAAAAAACUACUCCGUUCUACACCUAAAAUGUUAGCUAGAAGAUCCAAAUCUACAUCAAACACUCUAUCACAUACAGAAAACUGAGUAUGAGUUUGAUCCAGAAAUGACAGAUUUGAGUAAAAAUAUGCUGUUAAUUCAAGAUAUGCUUCAGAUGUUUCUACACAAAAAUUCUCAAAUUGAAGUUUGGCCAACUUUUCCCUCAAGUUAACCUUUAUAGAAUCCAGAAAGUCAAAGUCUAUUGUUUGCGAGUUUAUGACCCCUAUAUUCAGUAAUCUUAGCCACCACACCCAUCUUCGGUUGGAAAUUUAUAAAGAUUCUCUCACCAUCAUAAGGAAAAUUCAAAAAUUCAUUUUGUCACGCCCCGAUCCUCGAGCGCAUGCCCAUCCCUUUCUGGUCGAUAAAAACUAUGUGACUUCCCAGGUUGAGUCGCCGACCCUUUUCUUUUAUUGCACAUGAGGAAGCAAAUAACAAAUCCCCUGACAGUAACUAUCUUGGGAUAGAAAAGCAGGACAUCACAUUCACAAACAAACACACUUUUAUAAACAUACUGAGUCUUUUACACAAGUCUAUAACCAAAAGACUAGAUCUCAAAAAGAGGCCGUCCUAUCUGACCUACUCUUCAGGUCACCUCAGCUUAGCUCCAAGUCCUCCCUCUACGGUCCUGAAAAUUUUAAGCCCACGACGGGGUGAGAUAUAAAUCUCAGCGAGUUCACGGUCUAAAUCCUGAUUAGGAGGGAAAUACACCGAGAAGUGUCCUAACCACACAACCACUCAAUUGGCACAGAGGACUUACCUUGCCUCAGUUUCCUUUCCUGCACGUCAGUAUAGUUCAUAUCGCAAUGCAUAUAAUCAAUGCAUAUAACAACCGGAACACCUCAUCAAUUCAAUUAAUCACCGGGGUCCUGAUUAUAAGGCCAAACCGUUAUGACACGUCCCAUUUCAUGUCACACAGUUUGGGUCUCAUAAUCGGGUGCAUCAAACUCAACAAUCAUGCGUUCCAAUUGUUAAUUACACCCCUCAAGGGUACGGCCAACUCUAUUGGCGGUCUUCUGGCAUUGCCAGGCGUCGUCUCACCUCAUUUUAGCACGGCUACGUCUCUCAAUUAGACGGCUUCCCCGAAGGGGCGUAGGUCCAGAAUCUACUGCGACCCGAGUCCCAAUGAAUGGGUAACAUCCGACUUAACAACCUAGGACGGUUUCUCUUAACUAGCACACGACCAAUCAAUCUCGGCCCAGGACACUGUGCAUUGCACUCAAAUGUCUCAAUUAAAAUAGUGAACCUGGUCUAUUUUAUUCGUAUUAGAAAUACACGAUAAAAUAGUCGUGUGUGGGUACACGGUCAAUUCACACUAGAAAAACUGAUAUCCUCCAAUUUAAAAUCCCACUGGUUUAUAUAGUACAUAAAAUCAUUUUCGGUGUUAAAACCCGACACUCGGGAUUUUCUGAAUAAAUAAUGAAUUUCACAAAUUUUGGAAUUAAAUACUCAAAAUUCCAAUCAGCACUCAAUUUGCACAAAUUAACAUCAAAUUGCAGAAAUUGAACACACCAUUACAAUCAGCACGAAAUUCCGGUCACCAAGGCUCUGUUUGUUUGUGUUUCUUUUUUUUUUUUUUUGAACACUUUUUCUGUUUUUUUGUUCCUAGGAACAAAAAAGGAACAGAAACGCGUUUGGGUGUGUUUCUGUUCCUUUUUUGUUCUUUUGUUCCCAGAAACAAAAAAGAAACAGAAAUAAGAAACAACAAAUUUGUGUUUCUUAUUUAUGAAACACAUUUGAGGAACACUUUUCUAUUUUCUUCUUAUUUUCUUCUUCUUUUUUCUUUCGCUAGUCGUCGGCCUCGGCCAUGGCCGGCGACCAGCCGACGAGGGCCGGCGGCCUCGCCCAGCCACGGCGAGGUUCGCCGUCCCCCGGCGAGGCCGACCUCGCGCUGGGCUGGGCGAGUCGGCGUCGCCUGGCGGUGGCCCGGCGAGGCCACCGGCCCUCGUCGGCCGGUCGCCGGCCAUGGCCGAGGCCGGCGACCGGCCAAAAGAAGAAAAAAGAAAAAAGGAAAAAGAAAAAAGAAAAAAGAAAAAAGAAAAAAAUAGGAAAAAAUAGAAAAAAAUAGAAAAAAUAAAAGAAAUAAAAAAAUUAUACAAAUUUACCAAACGUGUUUCUAUUUAUUUUUUAUUCCCGGAACAAGUUUACCAAACGAGUUUUUUUGUUCAAAAAUUGUUCCCCGGAACAGAAACACUUUUUUCUAUUUUUGUUCCCUGGAACAAUUUUUAAACAGAAACGCAAACAAACGCACCCCAACUAUCCCGGCCUAAUUUCCGGAAAAUAAUUAAUAAUUAAUAAUUAAAUAAAUUAUCGAGAAUUAAAUAAAUUACAAACUAAAUAAAUUUAAAGCAUUUAAUUGAAAUAACCUAAAUUAACUAAACUAAAUAAUCUAACUAACAAUUAAAUCUAACCAUCUUAUUUAAUUUAAUCUAAGUACACUAACUAAAUAAACUAACUAAUUCCUAACUAAUCCACCUAAAUAAACUAAUUACAUUAACUAAAUACUAACUAUAUACUUAAUCUAACUAAGCCAUCCUAAGCCUAAUCAACAUAAUUAAUCCACAAAUUAGCUAACUAACACACCUCUAAGUGUCAUUAGCCCACUAAUAAAGGAUUAGAAUGCAACUCACCGGUUAUGCCCGAAAAUCGGCUCACGGCCAUGGCGGUGCAACGGCGGCCAAGAUCCGGGCUCACGGCGAGGCCGAGAGAGAUUGGAUCGACUGAAAAACCACAAAAAGAAACUCACGAACUCGGUUGAGUUCAUUGGAAUCCGCUGCUGGCUUCGGUCUUGGUGGACUGAGCGAAGCUAGCGUUGGCAAAUCGGCAAAGAAGAAUUCGGUGGUCUUCAACGGGCUGGUCGUGCGGGUGAUGGACUGCUCGCUUGAAGCUGGACGUGUGGGCUUUGAAGUCAACAAUGGAGGCCUUCGGUUGGGGUUUUGACCGAAGCAAAUGGAGCUUCGGACGCGUGGGCUUUGGUGCGAGGAGAAUUUCACGAGGAAGAUGGCAAAUGGUGGGGUGAUUUGGUGAGUGGAGAAGUAAACGUGAAAUGAAAAAGAAAUGAGAAGGAAGACCGAAGAUGGUGGGGUUGGCUUCGGCCAGUGGCAGAGAUAGAGAAACGAAGGGAUGAAGCUACAAAGAAGAGGAAGAUUGAAGCUGAAGACGUCGCAUGAAGGGAAGGAGGCGGUGGACAGGCGUGCGAAGGAAGCUGCAGCUAAGGAAGAAAAAGUCAAAGAAAAUAUCUUGAUCCUUUAAUGCUUGGUCCCCCCUUUGGUCUUCAUGCAUAUCACCAUGUCCCCUUAUUCUUUCUAACAAAUAUAAUCCAAAAAUUAACCCAAUUGAUGCUAAAAUCAGUCCUCAAACCAUAGCUCCGAAUUUCACUGAUUUUAGAAUUCAAUUUCAUCAUCAAAUUCUCAAUUUCGAAGUCCAAUUUCAUCGAAGAAAAAUCCCACACAUGUCCAUAAAUUCCCAUCACCUGGUAGCUCGGCUUAAAAGUCGAAAUUUCCUUCAAAUGAGCUAAACCGAAUUUCCAUUUGAUUUCCGAAUCGAUUUUCCGUAAAAAUCUCGGAAUCUCCGAAAAUUUUUUGGAAAGUGAGUCGAUGUUCCUAAAAUGAAUCGUGACACAGCAGAACUUUCAAUUUCUAAAAUCGAGUUCAAUUUCGCAGUUAAUUUCACUCUGACGUGAUUUUAGCGCGUCCCAAUCUACUAGGUAGCUUUUAGGAACUUUUAAUGCAAUUGACUCGUGGUCGAUUAUUUUCGAGCCACAAUGUACAUCUUCGACACAUUGGCUACUCUCAAUUGUCGUGAAAAUCUCGAGAUUUCAAAUACGGACACAAGGUACAAAAAUGACAGAAAAAUCGGUCUAAUACCGUUCGACAGAAAUUUUGCAAUUAGGUGGAAUCACCCACGCACUAAUCACAUGUCUCUAUCGAAUCGACCUAUCUCCGGUCUCUGAUCCAUUUUAACGGUGCUGUAAUGACCCUUGCAGAUUAGCACGGUUGAGCAGUCGAUUCCCGGUCCAAAUUCUCAUGUCUAUUGUGUUUAGAUUCCUUAACGGCUUCACCUGAUAAACUAGUUAACUCGUGAGUGGCCAACUCAGAGAAAAAGGCUAUAGACACGUCGAUGAAAAGCCCAAUUCGUCUCAUCGAAAUCAGACUCGAAAAUCAAGAUGUCACAACUCUUCCCCUCUUAUAAAAAUUUCGUCCUCGAAAUUUAAACCUAUUACACAUCUUAAACAAAAAGGUGGGGGUACAUUCGUCUCAUCGAUUCUUCAGUUUCCCAAGUUGCUCCUUCAGUGCCGUGGUGUUGCCAGACCACUUUGACCAAUGGGAUGGUCUUGGUGCGCAGAACUUGCUCUUUGCGAUCUAUAAUCUGAACCGGGCUCAGCUUUCCUUUCUUGCCAAAGCACGAAAUACCCCUCAUUGGUGACACCUUCAGAAAGACGUGAUCACCAACUUGGAAUUCCAAGGGCCUUCGACGCUUAUCAGCGUAGCUUUUCUGACGGCUCUGAGCGGUCUUUAAUCUGUCUCUGAUGACUGCAACUGCAUCCACUGAUUGCUGAACUAACUCUGGGCCUGUAACUUUUCGUUCCCCAACUUCAUCCCAACACACUGGCGUUCUACACGCUCUGCCAUACAACGCUUCAAAAGGAGCCAUAUGAAUGCUCUACUGGUAGCUGUUGUUGUAGGCGAACUCAACAAGAUGAAGCUGUUCCUCCCAGCUUCCCUUGAAAUCCAACACGCAAGCUCGUAACAUGUCUUCGAGGGUUUGAAUUGUCCUCUCAGACUAGCCAUCCAUCUCAGGAUGAUAGGCCGUACUGUACUGCAGCUUCGUUCCCAAAGCACUCUGCAAGCUUUUCCAAAAUGCAGCUGUAAACCUCGGGUCUCGGUCUGAUGUAAUCGUCACUAGCACUCCAUGCAGACGAACUAUCUGUCGCACAUACAACUCUGCGUGCCUGUCCAAAUCAAGGUCCUUUCGGAUUGCAAUAAAGUGAGCCGACUUUGUCAGUCUGUCGACCACUACCCAAAUAGAGUCAUUACCUCUCUGACUCCUUGGUAAGCCCGUCACAAAGUCCAUUGUGAUAUGUUCCCAUUUCCACUCGGGAAUCUCGAGAGGUUGUAGAAAUCCUCCCGGCUUACAAUGUUGAGCUUUGACCUACUAACACGUCAAACACUUGGCGACAUGCUUGGUGAUGUCCGCCUUCAUACCAGACCACCAAUAGUGUUGACGUAGAUUCUAAUACAUUUUUGUACUACCAAGAUGAAUGCUAUAAUUGCUACGAUGAGCUUCUGAUAAGAUCUCUUCUCUAAGCUCUACAUCGUCAGGUACACACAAUCGUCCUUGGAACCUCAGUGUUUCAUCAUCAGAAAUCUGAAAGUCAGGUUUUCUCUUAUCUACAUCUUCUUGUAGGAUCUUCUGAAUUUCUGGAUCUGUUGACUGAAGUGUUUUGAUUCUAACUUGCACUUCCGGCUCAAUUCUGAGAGUGGCCAUAAGAUUUGAAAUAUGGCCUACCUCAAAUUUGAAAAUCAAAUCUCUAGCAUUCUCAAUCAAAGUCCAUUCCUUAAGUACCAUCUGUGCAACUGAAGAUUUCCGACUCAGCGCAUCUGUGACUUUAUUCGCCUUUCCAGGGUGAUAGAAGAUAUCACCAUCAUAGUCCUUCAAGAGUUUCAUCCAGUGACGCUGUCUCAUAUUCAAUUCCUUUUGAGAGAAUAGAUACUUGAGACUUUGAUGGUCAGUGAAGAUCUGGAAUCUUUCUCCACACAAGUAAUGUCUCCAAAUCUUCAAAGCGAAAAUAAUUGCUGCGAGUUCUAAGUCAUGCGUCAGGUAAUUCAAUUCAUGAGGUCUCAACUGACGGGACACGUAUGCAACAACUCUGCCAUAUUGCAUCAACACGCAACCUAGUCCUCUAAACGACGCAUCACUAUAGAUCUCGUAUCCUCCAAGACCAGAUGGUAUAGUCAGCACAAGUGCGGUAGUCAACUUUUCCUUAAGCUCUUGGAAACUAUGCUCGCACUUGUCUGUCCAAACAAAUUUCUCUUCCUUCUUCAAUAGUCGAGUCAAAGGCGAAGCUAUAGUUGAAAACCCUUCCACGAACCUUCUGUAAUACCCUGCUAAACCCAAAAAGCUUCUGAUCUCUAUCACGGUUGUCGGUCUUGGCCAGUUGAUCACUGCUUCUAUCUUGCUUAGGUCCAUGGAAAUUCCUUCUCUUGAAAUCACGUGACCUAGGAAAGUAACACGAGUCAACCAAAACUCGCACUUGCUAAACUUAGCAUACAGCUCAUGAGUCCUUAGAGUCUGCAGUACCAAUCUUAAAUGCCCUUCAUGCCUCUCUGGACUUCUAGAGUACACUAGGAUAUCGUCGAUGAACACGAUCACAAACUGAUCCAGGUAUUCUUUGAAAACUCGGUUCAUCAAAUCCAUGAAUGCAGCUGGAGCGUUUGUCAAUCCGAACGGCAUUACAAUGAAUUCAUAAUGGCCGUAUCGAGUAUGAAACACUGACUUCGGAAUGUCUUCCUUCCUGAUCCUCAGCUGAUGAUAUCCCGUCCUCAGGUCGAUUUUAGAAAAUAUCGACGCUCCUUGCAACUGAUCAAACAAGUCAUCAAUCCUCGGCAAUGGAUACUUGUUCUUGAUCGUCACCUGAUUGAGUUGGCGAUAGUCAAUGCAUAGGCGCAACGAACCAUCAUUCUUCUUCACGAACAGAGCUGGUGCUCCCCAAGGCGAUGCACUGGGACGUAUGAAUCCCUUAUCCAACAAUUCUUGCAUCUGCACCUUCAAUUCUUUCAACUCUGACAAAGCCAUCCGGUAAGGAGCCUUAGAGAUCGGCUCUGUCCGGGGCUAACUCAAUCACAAACUCUAUUUCCCUUUCUAGUGGCAGACCUGGCAAUUCUUUCGGGAAUACAUCUGGAAACUCCUGAACCACUGCAAUAUCCUCAAUCUUUAGCUCCUCAACUAUCGUAUCCACGACAGUUGCCAGGUAACCUUGGCAACCCCCAUCUAGCAACCGGGUUGCCUCUAGCGACGAGAUUAAAGAAAUCAAGGGUCCUCCUCGACUCCCAAUAAACUCGAAGCUCUCACCCUCUAACGGGUUAAACUGAAUCGCCUUGCGAUAACAGUCUAGCUUAGCUCGUUGCUUGGUGAGCCAGUCCAUGCCAAUAAUCAGGUCGAAGUCAUACAUGGCUAGGACUAUCAAGUCUAUCUUCCCCUCUCGCUCACCAAUCGCUAACGUGCAACCAGGACAACCCACUAUAAUUAAUACAUUAUCCUUUAACGGUGUCGAUAUACUAACCACCGACUCCAAAAACUCAAGAAUCAAUCCUACCAACUUAACAUACUGCUCAGCUAUAAAUGAAUGAGUAGCUCCAGGGUCAAAUAAAGCAUAAGCAGCGUGGUUGUUCAACGAGACGGUACCUGUAAUCACAUUAGGAGUAUCCUGCACCUGUCCUCUGGUGAUAGGAUAUGUCCUUCCUUGAGCUGGAGGUCGGUUAAAUUUGCCUUGCUCUGCAUUCGGUGGCGGAAGUCCUCGAAUUUGACCCAUCGGUGGCGGUGGCGGCAACUAUGGUCCCAUCUGUCUCCUGGGACAAUUCUUGGCCAUGUGACCAUGCUGGCCACAUACAAAACAAGCACCUGUCCUAGCUGGACACGGGGCUGAUCCGUGUUGUCCUCCGCAGGAGCGACACGCUUUGAAUUGACUCGGUGACUUUCCUAUCCCACCUCUCCUGUUGAGUGGAAUAGGAUAUCUUCCUCCAGUCAUCGGUCUCUUCCCAAACCGAUUUCCAUCUCGGUUCGAACUAAACUGCGACCCAGAUGCAGCAGCUUGUUCAUUCUGGUCUCUCUCGAUCAUCUGGACCCGUUCAUACAGGUCGUUGUAGUUCCUCAAAUUCAGUAGUAUCAGUGGACUUCUCAGUUCCGGCCUGAGUCCAUCUCUAAACCUUCUAACUUGGUCUAUCGGAUUUUCAACCAACCUAGGGGCGUACUGCGAUAGUUCAGCAAACUUCGCUUCAUACUAAUCAACUAUCAUCGAGCCUUAGUGAAGGCGUUGAAAUUCUGCCAUCUUCACUUCUCUGGCAGUCUCAGAAAAAUAUUUGUUGUUGAAGACUUCGAUGAAGGCAUUCCACUCCAGAACCACACCUUCAGGAAACACUGUUCCUUUGGUGGCUCUCCACCAUGUGCCUGCUAUCCCUUUCAGUUGGUAGACGACAAGAGCGACCUUUUCUGCCUCGGUGCACAUCAGUAGUGCAAAGGCAUUUUCCAACUCCUGGACCUAGAGGGCUGCAGCCUCAGGAUCUCCCGCGCCAGUGAACUUUGGCGGGUUCAACUUUAAAAACUGUUCCACCAGAUUAUGCAUUGGCCUCACAGCAGCCAUGUUCCCAGGUGGAACUUCAGCAGGUGCGGUAGCGGCGGUAGCAGCAAUAGCAGCAUUGGCAACGGCAGCAACAGCAGCUGUAGCAGCGGUGGUAAUGGCGGCUACUUGAUUAUGGGCUUGUUGAUCCAUUCGAUUUCUCAUUGUCUCAAGCACAUGCAUGAUCCUGUCCACUCUUGGAUCACCAUGAGCUACUACUCCAGCACCAACUGGAGGUGGUGCAGUUCCACUCGCACUGGCCUGAGCCGGCGCUUUACCUCGGCCACCCCGGGCACCGGCUCUUGUCGACGUCCUGGCCUGAGUAACUGAGGAUAAGGUCCUCUGCCUAGAAGUUCUCGGCUCCUGAUCACUCAUACUGUAGAUCUUCUACAACACCUAUUCCCAAUUCCAUAUAGAAUUAGAAACUAAGUGAUCUCACAACCAAUUUAGCAAACAACUAUCAAUCACAUGCAUCAGCAUGAAAAUAGAGGUAAUUCCUACUAACUAUCCCAAGAACCCAUCGCACCUUAUCACUCCACUAUUAACCCGCUCUGAUACCACUUAAUGGGGAUGUCAUGCCCCGAUCCUCGAGCGCAUGCCCAUCCCUCUCUGGUCGAUAAAAACUAUGUGACUUCCCAGGUUGAGUCGCCGACCCUUUUCUUUUAUUGCACAUGCGGAAGCAAAUAACAAAUCCCCUGACAGUAACUAUCUCGGGAUAGAAAAGCAGGACAUCACAUUCACAAACAAACCACACUUUUGUAAACAUACUGAGUCUUUUACACAAGUCUAUAACCAAAAGACUAGAUCUCAAAAAGAGGCUGUCCUAUCUGACCUACUCUUCAGGUCACCUUAGCUUAUCUCUAGGUCCUCCCUCUACGGUCCUGAAAAUUUUAAGCCCAAGAUGGGGUGAGAUAUAAAUCUCAGCGAGUUCACGGUCUAAGCCCUGAUUAGGAGGGAAAUACACCGAGAAGUGUCCUAACCACACAACCACUCAAUUGGCACAGAGGACUUACCUUGCCUCAGUUUCCUUUCCUGCACGUUAGUAUAGUUCAUAUCGCAAUGCAUAUAAUCAAUGCAUAUAACAACCGGAACACCUCAUCAAUGCAAUUAAUCACCGGGGUCUUGAUUAUAAGGCCAAAUCGUUAUGACACAUCCCAUUCCAUGUCACACAGUUUGGGUCUCAUAACCGGGUGCAUCAAACUCAACAAUCAUGCGUUCCAAUUGUUAAUUACACCCCUCAAGGGUACGACCAACUCUAUUGGCGGUCUUCUGGCAUUGCCAGGCGUCAUCUCACCUCCUUUGAGCACGGCUACGUCUCUCAAUUAGAUGGCUUCCCCGAAGGGGCGUAGGUCUAGAAUCUACUGCGACCCGAGUCCCAAUGAAUGGGUAACAUCCGGCUUAACAGCCUAGGACGGUUUCUCUUAACCAGCACACGACCAAUCAAUCUAGGCCCAGAACACUGUGCAUUGCACUCAAAUAUCUCAAUUAAAAUAGUGAACCUAGCCUAUUUUCUUCGUAUUAGAAAUACACGAUAAAAUAGUCGUGUGUGGGUACACGGUCAAUUCACACUAGAAAAAAAUGAUAUCCUCCAAUUCAAAAUCCCACUGGUUUAUAUAGUACAUAAAAUCAUUUUUCGGUGUUAAAACCCGACACCCGGGAUUUUCUGAAUAAAUAAUGAAUUUCACAAAUUUUGGAAUUAAAUACUCAAAAUUCCAAUCAGCACUCAAUUUGCACAAAUUAACAUCAAAUUGCAGAAAUUGAACACACCAUUGCAAUCAGCACGAAAUUCCGGUCACCGACUAUCCCGGCCUAAUUUCCGGAAAAUAAUUAAUAAUUAAAUAAAUUAUCGAGAAUUAAAUAAAUUACAAACUAAAUAAAUUUAAAGCAUUUAAUUGAAAUAACCUAAAUUAACUAAACUAAAUAAUCUAACUAACAAUUAAAUCUAACCAUCCUAUUUAAUUUAAUCUAAGUACACUAACUAAAUAAACUAACUAAUUCCUAACUAAUCCACCUAACUAAACUAAUUACACUAACUAAAUACUAACUAUAUACUUAAUCUAACUAAGCCAUCCUAAGCCUAAUCAACAUAAUUAAUCCACAAAUUAGCUAACUAACACACCUCUAAGUGUCAUUAGCCCACUAAUAAAGGAUUAGAAUGCAACUCACCGGUUAUGCCCGAAAAUCGGCUCACGGCCAUGGCGGUGCAACGGCGGCCAAGAUCCGGGCUCACGGCGAGGCCGAGAGAGAUUGGAUCGACUGAAAAACCACAAAAAGAAACUCACGAACUCGGUUGAGUUCAUUGGAAUCCGCUGCUGGCUUCGGUCUUGGUGGACUGAGCGAAGCUAGCGUUGGCAAAUCGGCAAAGAAGAAUUCGGUGGUCUUCAACGGGCUGGUCGUGCGGGUGAUGGACUGCUCGCUUGAAGCUGGACGUGUGGGCUUUGAAGUCAACAAUGGAGGCCUUCGGUUGGGGUUUUGACCGAAGCAAAUGGAGCUUCGGACGCGUGGGCUUUGGUGCGAGGAGAAUUUCACGAGGAAGAUGGCAAAUGGUGGGGUGAUUUGGUGAGUGGAGAAGUAAACGUGAAAUGAAAAAGAAAUGAGAAGGAAGACCGAAGAUGGUGGGGUUGGCUUCGGCAAGUGGCAGAGAUAGAGAAACGAAGGGAUGAAGCUACAAAGAAGAGGAAGAUUGAAGCUGAAGACGUCGCACGAAGGGAUGGAGGCGGUGGACAGGCGUGCGAAGGAAGCUGCAGCUAAGGAAGAAAAAGUCAAAGAAAAUAUCUUGAUCCUUUAAUGCUUGGUCCCCCCUUUGGUCUUCAUGCAUAUCACCAUGUCCCCUUAUUCUUUCUAACAAAUAUAAUCCAAAAAUUAACCCAAUUGAUGCUAAAAUCAGUCCUCAAACCAUAGCUCCGAAUUUCACUGAUUUUAGAAUUCAAUUUCAUCAUCAAAUUCUCAAUUUCGAAGUCCAAUUUCAUCGAAGAAAAAUCCCACACAUGUCCAUAAAUUCCCAUCACUUGGUAGCUCGGCUUAAAAGUCGAAAUUUCCUUCAAAUGAGCUAAACCGAAUUUCCAUUUGAUUUCCGAAUCGAUUUUCCGUAAAAAUCUCGGAAUCUCCGAAAAAUUUUCGGAAAGUGAGUCGAUGUUCCUAAAAUGAAUCGUGACACAGCAGAACUUUCAAUUUCUAAAAUCGAGUUCAAUUUCGCAGUUAAUUUCACUCUGACGUGAUUUUAGCGCGUCCCAAUCUACUAGGUAGCUUUUAGGAACUUUUAAUGCAAUUGACUCGUGGUCGAUUAUUUUCGAGCCACAAUGUACAUCUUUGACACAUUGGCGACUCUCAAUUGUCGUGAAAAUCUCGAGAUUUCAAAUACGGACACAAGGUACAAAAAUGACAGAAAAAUCGGUCUAAUACCGUUCGAUAGAAAUUUUGCAAUUAGGUGGAAUCACCCACGCACUAAUCACAUAUCUCUAUCGAAUCGACCUAUCUCCGGUCUCUGAUCCAUUUUGACGGUGCCGUAAUGACCCUUGCAGAUUAGCACGGUCGAGCAGUCGAUUCUUGGUCAAAUUCUCAUGUCUAUUGCGUUUAGAUUUCUUAACGGCUUCACCGGAUAGACUAGUUAACUCGUGAGUGGCCAACUCAGAGAAAAAGGCUAUAGACACGUCAAUGAAAAGCCCAACUCGUUUCAUCGAAAUCAAACUCGAAAAUCAGGAUGUCACACAUUCUCUGCUGUUCCUUUUGGUGCCAAUCCUAACCUUUCCAUCGUUCUCAAAAGUAGAGUUUCAUUUCCAUAUUCAUUGUCUUUCAUGAAGUUAGUGAUAAAGUCCAUAGGAUUUCCACCCUGUUUCAAAAGCAUAUAAUGUUUGAAAAGUACCUCAGGCCUCUUUACUGAGAUGGGUGUUGCCUCAUUUAUAACUUCCUCAUCUGUAGAGUGACGAGGAGUACUUCGGGGAGAAUCUUCUCCAAUCAUAUCAAAAUGAGUUGAUGCUUCAGGCAUAUUACGAGGGCUCCGACUAGUGAUGCAAGAAGAUUUCCUCUAGAACAAGAUUGUUGCAGAUUUGGAGGACUUCGACGACAUGCUCGAGUUGAAGAGAGAAAGAAGUUUGCAGAGUUUUUCUGCAAAAAAUCGAGAGAGAGAUGGGAGUUCGAGAAUUAGGGUUUGAGAACACUGUGUUCAAAAGAAAUAAUUCACAAAAUUUAAAGAAAUCGAAAUGGGGCAAAUGAAUCGUCACAAAGAAAAAUGCCUUUUCGGAAAACAAUUUAAAAAGAUAGCUACCAAAAAUUUGAAAUGUAAUCCGAAAAAUCUGCAAUAAAAUUGUCAUUUCCAAAAAGAAAAAGGGCAAGCGAUGAUUUGGAGUCAAUCAUACCUGUUUAUUUUUACGUGCCAAAAAUAAAAUACCUAGAUUGGAGAGAUUUCCAUACUAAAGUAACUUCCUUAAGUUGAAAUGUUGAGUCUAAUUAACCGUAGACUUUAGUCGAGAGGAAUGAUGAUAUUCAGCUUGUUACGAAUUGAUUCAAAUAAGCUUUUCUCCAAUAGCUUUGUAAAGAUAUCUACCAGUUGAUUCUUUGAAUCAAUAAAUUGAACAUUAAUCUCGUCAUUCUGUACAUGAUCUCUUAUGAAAGGAUGACGAAUCUCAAUAUGUUUUGCUUUCGAAUGAAGAAUUGGAUUUCUAGUAAGGUUGAUAGCACUUGCAUUGUCACAUCUAAUUUCCGUGCAGAAUUCUUCAAUUCCGAAGUCUCUUAGUUGUUGUCUAAUCCAUAGAAUUUGUGAGUAGCAACUUCCAAGAACAACACAUUCUGCUUCUACUGUAGAUAGAGCCACAGUACUUUGCUUUCUUAAAAACUAUGAUAUCAGCAUUUGUCCCAGUAAUUGACAUGUGUCAGACGUACUUUUUAUGUCGACUCUACAAUUGGCUAGAUCAGCAUCAAAAUAACCAAGUAAAGUAAAGUCUCCUCCUUUUGGAUACCACAGACCUAGCUUUGGAAAAGUAUUAAUAUAUUUGAUGAUACAUUUAACAACACAUAUGCACACACUAAAUAGAAUGUCAGGUCUAGAGGCAGUGAGAUAAAAAAGAGAACCAAUAAUGCUUAUGUAUAACUUUUGAUCUACUUUCUUUCCUCCUUCGUCCUUGUCGAGCUUUGAUGAGCUGGACAUGGGAGUUUCUGUUCUUUUGCAGUUCUCUAUUCCAAACUUCUUGACAAUAUCUUUGGCAUAUUUCUCUUGGUGAAUGAAUGUUCCUUUCUUUAAUUGUCUUAUUUGCAAUUCUAUAAAGAAGAUCAAUUUACCCAUCAUGCUCAUUUCAAAUUCUUCCUGCAUAGAUCUUGAAAAUUCCUUGCAUGGAUUUUCGUUAGGAAAUCCAAAGAUUAUAUCAUCUACAUAAAUCUAUACAAGUAGAAAAUCUUUUUCUUCUCUUUUUAUAAACAAGGUUGUAUCCACUUUUCCUUUCUCAGAGCCAUUAUUUGUUAAAAACUUACUCAACCUUUCAUACCAAGCUUGACAUGCCUGUUUUAGACCAUACAAUGCAUUCUUCAGUCUGUAGAUAGAGUAUGGUUUUCUUGCAUCUUCAAAUCCUAAUGGUUGUUCCACAUAUACUUCUUCUUGUAUGAAUCCAUUAAGGAAAGCGCUUUUGACGUCUAUCUGGAAUAACCUGAAUUUUUGAAAAUAGGCAAAAGUAAAUAAUAAUUUAAUUGCUUCUAACCUUACCACAGGUACAUAAGUCUCGUCGUAGUCUAUCACUUCUUCAUGUGUGUAACCUUUUGCCACAAGCCCUACUUUGUUUCUAAUUACUUUACCUUUUUCAUCCUUAUUUCCGAAAACCCACUUUGUUCCAAUCACACAUUUUCCUUUAGGCUUAGGAAUCAGCUCCCACACAUUAUUAAUGUUGAAUUGUCUAAGUUCUUCCUACAGAGCUUCUAUUGAGCUUUCGUCAGACAAUGCUUUUUCUACUCCUUUUGGUUCUAUUUCUGAAAUAAGUGCUACUGCACUAGAAUCUUCUUUUCCUUUGGAUCUGGUGCAGAUUCCUUCAUCUAAUUUGCCAAUGAUGAAUUCUUUGGGAUGACUUGAUUUAUGCUUCCAAUUGCCAUUUGAUUUGACAUUCUGUUAAUCAUCCGUUUCCUUUUAUUCAUCUAGUUCUGCUUGUUGAUGUACUCUAGAAGAUUGAAGUUCUCCGAGGGAAUUAGACUUUAUCGAGUCUAGAACUGGUUUAGACUCUUCAAGUUGAAUCUGAUUUGGUUGACUCUGCAUAUUUUCCUGAAAUCUGAUGUUCAUUGAUUCUUCUACAGAUUGAGUCUUCUUGUUAAAGACCCCUAUAAGAUUUACUUGACAUUGAAUAGCCAAGAAAAAUUCAUUCAUCCGAUUUUUCUUCAAACUUUCUAGAUCGAUCAUUUGUGUUCUUCAAGAUAAAGCACUUACAGCCAAAAACAUGAAAGUAGGAGAUGUUAGGCUUAUUCUCUUUAUAUACUUCAUAGAGAGUCUUCUCUAGGAUAGGCCUUAAAAACACCAUGUUGAUUAUAUAACAGGUAGUAGAGACUGCUUCUGCCCAAAAUUGAGAAGAUAUUUUGCUUCUAUCAAUAGAAUUCUGGCCAUUUCUUGUAAAGAUCUAUUUUUCCUUUCCACAACUCCAUUUUGUUCUGGAGUAUAUGGAGAAGAGAAAAUAUGUUGAAAACCAGAUUCAUCACAGAAGUUUGCAAAAUCCUAAUUUUCAAACUCACCUCCAUGAUCUAUUCUUAUGCUUGAAAUAGCAUAACAUUUCUCGUUCUAAACUUUCUUGGAAAACUUUGAAAAAUAAGAGAAAGUUUCAAACUUAUUUGCCAAAAAGAAUACUCAAGAGAAACGUGAAUAAUCAUCCACAAUUAUUAGAUAAUAUUUCUUUCCACCAAUACUCUGAGUUCUUGUUGGUCCAAAAAGAUCUAUAUGGAGAAGCUGCAAACACGACUAGUAGAAAAUUGAUUUACUGGUUUAAAGGAACUUCUUACUUGUUUUCCUAAGAUAUAAGGAGUGCACAAAUCAGACUUCUGAUAAGCCAAAUUUGGAAGCCCUCGAACCAACUUCUUGGGAGAAAUUUUGGCAAUCUAUUUCAUAUUUACGUGACCAAGCUUUCGAUGCCAGAGACUUACUUCAUCUUGAAUUGAGAUAAGGCACUGAGAAUUUUCUGGAUUUAUGUCCAGAAGAUAUAUAUUGCCAUGCAUUCUCCCAGUAAAGGAUUGAGGGAAAUCUUGACUUAUUCUAGAACAAAUACCUUCUUGAAAGUUUAUUCUGAAACUUGUAUCACAAAGCUGACUUAUACUGAGAAGAUUGUAGUUGAAGUCUUUUACCAAGAAAACAUUGUUGAUAGUCAGACUUCCGAUCCUGAUUGUUUCAUAUCCUAUAAUCUUCCCUUUACUGUUUCCACCAAAAGAAACAUUUCCUCUUUUUAAUCUUUCAAGCUUCACAAAGCAGCUUGAGUCUCCUGUCAUAUGCUCAAAACAGCCAUUAUCCAAAUACCAUUUGAUUUUUCUUUUAAUAGUGACUUGCAUUCAGAAGAAAAACUCAAACUUUUUUUGGUACACAGAUUUUCUUAGGUCUAAGAGACUAGCGUUAAAAAUAAUCUUUGUCCAAUUCUUCUUAAUUGGGCUCUAAACUUUGGGACAUUCAUUUUCAAAAUGUUUUGAGCUGUUGCACUUAGAACAUUCGAGAGUACUUCGACCAACAGGUUUUACAAACACUUUUUGAAAAUGAUUUUUGUAAAAUGCCUUUACGAACACUUUAGGAAAAUCAAUUAAAGGAAUAGUUUCAUUAUUUAUACCCAAAUCUGAUUUGUCAAAAUAGCAUAUUUGAGCUGUAAGAGUUUUCUCCAAUUUUUCUGAUCCUCUGGAAAACCUUUUUGAAAUAUCUGAAAUAUCCCUUUUAAAACCAACAUUUUCUUUUAAAAGAGAAUCAGAAUUUUCUUUCAAAUCAUCAAAACUUCUUUUCACACUUUCAAACUUUUCUUUCCAAUAGAUUUCCUAUUGCCUGAGCUUAGAAUUUUCCUUUUUCAGUUCGAAAAUCCUUUUAAGAGAGGAUUUAAGAUUGAGGCAAAGUUCAUUUAUAUACAUAGAAACUUUAACAGGAAUUUCUAAGUGACUAACCUCGAAUUCUUUGUCAGAAUCUAAAUUAGUGUCUGUUUCUGAUUUUGAGUCUGACUCUGAGUGAGCCAUCAAACAUAUGUUUGCAAAUUCCUCUUCAUUUUCUUCACAUUCAGUGUCACUCCAAGUUUCUACUUUAAGAGCUUUCUUAUACUUCUCAGACUUCCCUUUGUUCUUUUUCAACAAGAGAUAGUUUGGUCUGAUGUGCCCAUUUUUCUUACACUCGAAACAUAUUAUGUCCUUGCUAGUUUCAACAUCUUCCGCUGGUCUUUUCUGGGAAUUUUGCAUGCUUUACUUCUUUCAAUUCAACCUUCUUCCCUUUCUGUUUAGUUUUCUGAAUUUCUUUAUCAUAAGGGCCAACUCCUCAUCAUCCAUAUCAUCGUUCGAAUCUGUAUAAUCAGAAUCAAAGUUAGACCUUAAUGUAAUUGAUUUCUUACAUUUUGGAUCUUCUUUAUCAUUAAUCUACUCCACUUCGUAUGAUUGAAAUGUGCCUAUCAGUUCGUCAACUAAUAGAGGCAUGAUCCUCUAAGUCUCUCUUAUUGAAGUCUUCAUAUGAUUCCAGUCCUUUGAAAGUCCAUGUAGUAGUUUGUUGACUUUCAUUAGUCUAAAAAUUGGUUGAUUUUGAUAGGCUAGGCCAUCCACAAUUUUCCACAAUUUCUAUAAAGCGACUGGACAUAUCACAAAUAGAUUCUCCAGGCUUUAUUUUGAAGGAUUCAUAUUGUUUAAGUAGAAUAUUUAUCUUUGUCUCCUUCACACGAUCAGUCCUCUCAUAAGUGACGUAAAGUCUGUCCCAAACUUCUUUUGCUGUUUCACGGGAGGAGAUUAUGUUGUAUUUAGUGGGAGACAAGGAACAAUAUAAGGAAUAAAUUGUUUUUGCAUCAAGAGCCUAUUUCUUGGCAAUUUCCGCUUGUGUAGAUUCAUAAGCAUCUUUUUCAAUCACUUCGUUCCCUUUGUUUGAAGCCGAUGUUGCUUUUGGAUUGAUUCUUCUUUCGACAACAUCCCACUCCAGGGGAUCUCUGAAUCUGAGUAAUGCCUCAUUUUGUUCUUCCACACAUUAUACUCAUUUCCAUCGAAAUAAGGAGAUCUGGUAUUGCUCUAUCUUUCAACCAAUCUUGGAGCCAAAAUACUAGUCAUAAAAGAUCUUUAACUUAGAAGUAACAACACUUCAAUAAAGUAAGCACACACGGCUCCAAUACCAAUUGAAAAAGCUAGUAUAAACACCUAGAGGGGGGUGAAUAGGUGUAAAAACAGAUUUGUCUAAAAAUGCAAUAAAAAUAUUUUUCUUUUAAACUCAGUCUGUUUAACAAGAGACUAUGAUAAAGAUUCAAACUUAAAUAAUAUAGCGAAACUUAGAAAAAUAUCACAGCAAAUAAAUUAAAGGAGUUCGGGGAAUAGAAAAUGAACAUAAGAUUUACAGUGGUUUGGCUUAGAUUAAGUCUACGUCCACUCUCCCACACUGACAGCCUUCUAGCUGGUUUUCACUAUGAAUCGAAAGAGAAUUACAGCAAAAUAAGACUGACUACUCAGUAAAUAGUUUCUUUUUCUCUCACUAAGUCACUCUUUAAUGUUUCUCUCUCUUUCGAAUACACGUUUGAGCACUAUUAAGGAAGAACAAGUGAUUUGAGAAGCUCAGACUUUGGAAUUCUAGUUUUCACGCUCUCUCAUAAAUGACCCAAAAAACCUUUUUAAAUACCCCCAUGCCUUUGCGACCGUUAGCACUAUCCAGAAAAAUUCUUCCAAUCAAUCCGUUGGACAAAAUCAAUCAAAGAGAUCUUGAGUCAUUUGAAGAUUGAGAUGAAAAUUCGAUGAUCUUAGUCGCCCAUACAAUUAGAACUUGGUUUUCAUAAAUAGAUUCUUUCCAAAUAAACUUGUCUUCCAAAUUGAUUUUACCGUUCCAUGAUUGAUUUCAUCAAUAAUAUCCAAAAAGAUAAGUGAGAUUUCCUACCAGAAAGCCAGAUAUAUCUUGUUUGUACUGAAUCCUUGAAGGAAGAAUAAUAAUCCAGAGUUUGAUUAUUUCUUCGUUCUUCACUUGAGUUCAGUUUGGGUCUUCGUCAAAGUGAGGCAGACUUAUGAUGUAAUGUAGACUUUGAUGGAAUUCCACAGAAGUCUAGUAUUCAUCAGAAUGUGAAUAAGAAUAGAAAUAUAAAGUUUUGUCAACUUCAAAAUCUAAUAGGAGUUUUCUCAACAAAAACAACAUUGUUCUAUACUUCAAAAGAGUGGCCACACACUUCUAGACAUGAUAUGGAAACUAAGUUCCAUCUAAAGGAAUAUACAUAAAGUGUUUCUCAAAAUUAAAUGCAAGCCAGAAUCCAUAAUCCAUAGUCAAAACAAUUCCUUCCACUAAAUUGACGUUAAAUGUUGUUUUCCAUUAUGAGUUAUGAUUCAUCCUAAUUUGGUUUCCUUAGAUUUAUGAAUCCCUUUAUGGUAAACAACAUAAUUUGUUGCACUGCUAUCUAGCCACUAAGAACCGAAUGAGGCUUUUGGUAGACAUAUGAUUCAUAAAUAAAUGCCAAUGAAUCAUUAGCUCUAGACAUAUGCUUAGACAACCAAGUUUUAUAUUCAUUACAGUGUUCCUUAUGUGUCAUUUCUUUUCCACAAAGGUAGUGAAUAACACCAUUUCCCUUAAAGGGUGCUAUCCUGAGAUUAGAUUGUCAAAAUGACCGGUGGUUUCAUGAAUUAUUGUAUGAGUACGAUUUUGGACUUCAAAUUUACCAUCCUUAGGACGUAAUCCUUAACCUCAUUAGAACCAUCAUACCUUGUGUUGAAGAGUCAUUAUAUUUAUCCCAAUCUCGGUAAUAGACAAGACACAAUUUCAAACUACCAAGGCUUUCAUCAUCCUUUUAGCAAUGCGGUUAGCUGGUAAACUAUUUUCAAGUGUUCCUAAUGGAACGCCUCAUGGAUAACAAAUAAAUUCAAUUGCCAUUUUCCCAAGCAACAAUCAAUACUUUCUAGUUCCAUAUCACCAAUAGUGAUAUUGCCAGCUUAUUUUCAGUAAAAGCAAUAUGAAUAUCUACCAGCUUUAUCCUUAAUAGAAAAUCCUCUUUUUCAUUACUUAAAAUUUGACCUAGUAGGAACCUCAAUCACAACGAAGUUGCCAUUACAAAGAAUGUAAUUUAAUAACAAGCAAUUGGCAUCAUGUGAGUAUUAUGUAACUUGAAAAUCUUAUAAGUACACAUCUUGAGAGAUACAUGCAUUAUCAUAUAAAUACCUUUGAGUAGAAUACAUGACAUGCAAUUGCACACUCUCCACAUGAUAGUGGUCGUGAGAAUAUAUUCUAACAUUUUUCGAAUUCACCACAUUUGGGUGUAUAAACCACUAGGGUCAGCCACUCAUCAACUAUAUGCUGUACAUGCAUUCCUCCAUGAACUAACACACAAUUACCUAUUUUGGGAGUAUAACUACGUAUUAAAACAUGAGACAUCCCAUCACAAUAUGAGACUGAUAUUUUUCAAACGCAGUUAAAUGUGCCACUUUGGCAGUCACAACACAAUUGAAUCAUUGAAACUCUCUCAUACCAGAGAUAUAAACUUUAUGACUCACAUUGACCUUAUACAUGCGAUUUUAGACCGAAUGAUAGGGGCAAUUCAUCACUAAAAUCACAUGCUAUACCAAUCACAUUGCUCUAUUCGUUAAUACAUGCUGAACCUUAUACAUGUUAUCAAUGAAUCAGUGCUCUACACAAUCUUUAUGUGAUGAUAUACAUGUGAGUUCACAAUGUAUUUUUGAAACCAUAGGGAAAUACAUGAAAAAUAUGCAAAAAUACCCCGAAAAAUCACGUACUUUAAGGGUCCACAUGCAUUUUCACAUCCAUAAAAUUAUCAAACAUAAAUAUAUAUAUAUAUAUAUAUAUAUAUAUAUAUAUAUAUCACAGUGUAGAGAACUUCAAUACGAGCACACCGACGUAAACCACGUGCCAAACAGACUUCACACGAGCCCUCAUGCGCCGUUGGAAUGCGCGGCGCGUGAGUUGUACCCACUUGCCUUUUGAGCCGGCUUGAAACCAGCUUGACCAAGUUUGACUAAUCAGAUCAGUCAACAGUCCGAUUGGAAACCGGUUCGACCGAUUAACCAAGUUGGAUUAAUGGUCAACAUGGGUCGGUCAACCCGGUCAAAUCGGGUCGAGUCAUUCGAUCAACCUAGGUCAAGUUGACUCGCCAGGGAGUGACAUCAGCGCGCCAAAUGACAUCAUCCAUGACAUCAUCAAGUCAAGGUGUGCCGCCUGUUGGUGGGGUGACGUCAUCUGACGUCACCAACUGCGUUAGCCGGUCAUGCGCUGGACGCGUGGGCGCGCGUGAGGCCUUGUGGUAGCACGUGGCACUGACUCGGAGCACUAUCUUAGCGCGUGGAGGCAGGUGAAGCAAUUUUUGACCUCGUUUGGAGGCGUGCAACCCACCAAAUUGCUCGUUUUGGCUCGUAGAAUCCAUAUAUGUGAUCAAAAUCCACUUUCACUGGACUAAAAUUCACAAAAAUAGGCAAAACAGUCCAAAGGUAGGUGAAAUCUAAAAUGCUCAUUGCCGGCGCAUUUGACCUCUGCUAGAGGUGUGCCACUCACUAAAAUGCUCGGUUCGACGAGACGAAUCCGAAUAUGUUUUCAAAAUCAUGUUUUAACAAGCAAAAUUUCCGAAAACUGGCCAAAUGUAACAAUUCGAGUUCUAGGUUACAAGGCUCUGAUACCAAAUCUUGACUGUCGAAGUGGCAUCCCAAGAUCAACGUAGUUAGAAACUCGAACAUAUAGGAGGAUAAUAUGAAGAUUUACGUACCUGAUUUGGAAUCCAUCGUUCUUUAUGCAUAAUGACAACGAUCCAACGCUCAAAUGACAAGUCGAUGCUCAAGUUCUUCUCCUUUAUAACUCUCGAUUCCUUGCUCGAUGAGACCGCCACUCACAGCUUACCUUAUGUGAGGUGAGAGAAAGUUCAUGGAAAAAUGAGGGCUAGAGGAGGGAUCUUAACGCUAUAUAUAGAGUUUUGGAUGGGCUCUCUUAUCACGGGUCGGACCCAACUCGGCUCACACAAGCCAGGCCCAUAUUCGACUAUUAAUAAAACUUUAUGCCUUACCUUAUUAGAGUAAUCCCGUAAAAUGGUAAAUUAUAAUCUCAAUUAAUGUAACUCACAUCAGAAAAACUCUUACAAUAUCGGCUUGGCCGCACCAAGGCCGGUCGAAGCCUCCGUUAACUGGCCUCCUCGGCCUAUCGAGCCCAGUUGAGGACAGAUCGAAGGAGAGAGAAAAAUCGAGAGAGUAAGGGAGUUUUGAGAAAGUGAGAUCUGCAAGAGUGAGAUCUGAGAGAGCGAGCAGAAAUAGAGUUUAAGGGUUGGUGAGCGCUCCCCAGCGAAAUCCAGUGGGUGAUGUUUCGCUUCUCUUCUUUCUUUAUUUGUCCUGACUUGGGGUCGGUCGCCUAAGGAUCUCGGCUUGAAGGUGCACGAGGCAGACGGACGUAGACCAAUGCUCAAGCUUGUCUGCCCUCUGACGUUGUGAGCCGGGUAGGGACUCUCAGCCAAUUGCGUUGUUUUUGCACACACGCCCUAUUUCAGGCUCGCCAGAUGGGCCUACUGUUGUUUGGUUCUCUUUUGCUGUUAGGUCCCUAUUUAUCCUUUGCUGUCCAUCUCAGUCCUCGCCCAAUGUCCCUGUUGAGCUUUUGUUCGUUCCUCCGCCGAUGCACGCCAUGUGCUCGAUGGAAUGUUUAAGUUAGAUGCACAUUUAAGUCCUUUGUUUAUGGUCGAGGCUUGUUGCGUUUUAUUCAUGCUUGCAUUGAAGUAGAGUCUCGCUUAUUUAUUGUAUGCUUAUUUUGGCAUUAGUUUGAGUUUCGAGCGGGCUUGUAAACGCCUCUUUAGCCACGUCCUCCACGUGUUCGAUGAAAUGUCUAAUUGGAAGGUGUGUUUUCAUUCUUAGUCCUUCGCCCACUUUUGGUGUUCAUGGUUUGUCAAACGCUUUUUGAUAGAUUCCUGUUGAUGUCCUUCACUUUGUAUGUUUUAGUUUGGUCCUAUUUUUGUGCAUCAUGUUUCCGCAAGUGACCAAUCCUUGGCCGGUAAUGAGGAAAGGUGGUGGUAGAUGCGGCCACGCAUGGCAGCUAGACACGGCUUGUAUUGAUGCUUGAGUAUUUUUAAAACCAAACAUGGUUUCCUAUAGGGCGCAAAUCAACAGAGCAUUCUCGGUUCAUGGGGAGAAGGAAACCAGCACUGGUGUUGGAAAUUCUUUUGUGAAGUGGGCGUAGGAAGAACGAAAAGGAAAAACUGAAGACGAGGAAGAUGUGAAUGGUAAUAUUUUUGUUUUUGAGAAUAAUUUUUUUCAGAAGUAGUACUUUUAUAUUUCUACUCUCUAAACAAUUUUUGAGUAAAACAAUGUGUUUGGUGAAUACAAACACAUUUGAAUGUCGCCAACCGUCGAUGCUCGCCGCCGCCGACACUAGCCGAUGACUGCGCUAGCAAUGGUCGGGCGGUCGGCGGUGGUAGUGGUCGGGCGAUUGCCGACAGUUGAUGGUCGCCAGUUGGCAAAUGGCAACCCGCAAGGAGUGACAAGACAAGGAUGAAGAAGAAAAAAAAUGAGAAAAAAAGAAACUUAUUUUUAGAAAUUGUUUUACUUUUUUCUGCUUCUUGUUUGUGUUCCAAAUCAAUUUUCUAGGAAAUAGAAUAAUUAGUUAACAUUAUCAAAUGAAUUUUCAUUAUUUUACAUUCCAGAGAGCAAAAGAAAAGAAGAAUAAAGGAACAUAAAUGUUUUCAUGCUCUACCUAAUUUAGCAAGAGCUUUAGGCCUAAUUCAGUCAGUUUUAGGAAAUUCAGGUUCAAUUCUAGUUAUAAUGAGGCUAUUUUACAUUCUUGGGUUGAUCAGAGGAGAUUUUUUGUGUUGGGCCUAAUUUUAUAAAUAUAUUUAAAAGAUAUAAAAAAAUAAAAAAAAUAAUUUAUAUUUUCCAAAAAUCAAAUAAAGCUUAAAAAAUAGUUUUUGAGUUAGCUUUCUUCAAAAAUACAUAAAAAAAAACCCCCCUAAAAAGAAAAUCAAAUCACAAGGUUUAAAUAAGAUUAGGUUUCGGUUAGGUAUUAGUAGAUUAAUUGGUGUGCUCAAAUUCCGGUUCUCGUUUUUUAGAUUGUGCGAAAGUAAAAUAUUUCUUUUAAUAUUUUACAAGGAUUUCUAACUAAUUUACCCCAUAUUGAUUAGUGGUGAUUUUCAAAUGAAAAUGGCUUGUAGGUUAAAAAUUUGGAUAAUAAGUUACAAAUUGGAAAUUGGUGGGCUUGGGAAAACUCAGACUAAGCCUAGAUUUGGGAGAAGUACACUAUCAGUGUCAUAAGUUGUGUACGGCGCUCACUUUAGUGCCAAAAGUUUCUGUCAUAUUACUUAAGUGCCAAAUCGGAGAAAAAACGAUCACUUUGGUGCCACCGGCGACAGAUUCCGGCCAAAAUGAUUACGUGGCUUUUAUAUUUAUAAAAAAAAAAAAGCCGACGUGGCUUAAGAUUCUCCACGGUGAUGGCAUAAAAUGACGCCGUUUUUAUUUCUUCAUAAGAAACGACGUCAUUUUAUACCAUUCCAUGUGGAUACACGUAAGAAAUGACGCCGCAUUGCUCUACAGCCAAAAACGGUGUCGCUAAAGAAGGAGUAAAAUAGGGUUCGUAUACGGUUUUCGCUCAACGCUGGCCAUAGCUCGCUCACCCACCGUCGUUUGCUCACCCGCCAUUGCCCGCCUGCCGUCGCUUGGCCACCGCUGUAGUUGCGCCGUCGUUCACGGUCGUUCGCUGGCUACGUCCCCAACUCUCACUCACUUAGGUUUGUCAUGUUCUCUACGUUGGUUAAUUUAGUGAAAAAAUUAGGGUUUCGACGAGCAAAUUAUGGCGCGAAGGGCAAAUUGAGGGCUCAGCUCAAGGGGAAAAUAGUGGGGAAAAUGGUGGGGAUCUCACUUUUAUGGGGACAGAAUAGAAAAAUUGAGGGUUUUGUCGUUCAUUCGCUUUUUGUUAUGGGGACCAAAUAGAAAAACAGGGCGUGGAAGGGAAAAUGGGGGCUCAACUCAGAGAGAAAUAGUGGUAGGACCGAAUUUAUUUAAUUAAUUAGACCGCUUCUGUGGGGACCGAAUGUGAUUGAAUUGAAAAAUGGGUGAUGGGGACCUCACUUUGUUUAUUCAAUUCGAUUUCUUUUGUUUCUAUAAAGGCACCGAAUUUGGGAGAUUAGUCGCAUUUGUUUCUUGACAACAAAACGACAAGGACCCGCAUGUGAAGUUGCCGAUUUUGUCAUGUGGUCCCAAAAAGUAAUAACUUUUUUUUUCAUUAGGUGUAGUAUCGACAUGGACGCAAAUCAGGUAGGCGUCAUUGUUUGCUAUGUUGGAAAGUUUGUUAUCGGCACAGAGAAUUGGAAAUAUACUGUAUAUGUCAAUGUUCGGAAGCCAUCAUUUAUUGAUUUUCUAAGAGAUUUGGUGUAUUUUUUACGAUGCUGUGGCAUCCCAAAAUUCAUAAUGACCUCUAGUUACAUUAAAGUCUAUGAAUAGGUGAUGGAAGUGCCAUUAAGUUAUUUUAUAGCCAUUUAAUCCAUAAUUUGCAAUAAGAUUUAUGGCCAAGCUUUUAAUGGAUAAUUAUGUGAUAGGAAAGAAAAUUCUAUCAUUGGCCAUGUGUUUUAUAAAUUGGAAUUUACGGAUUUAUGAUUUCAAGUUUUAUGGUCAUAUGAAAUUAUAAUUUAGUAUUUAUAUAAGUUGGGAUUUAAGGUAAAUUAUUAAAAGUAAAAAUGGACUUAUUUAAGAAAAUUUUGGGCCAUUUAAGCUUGGACUUUAGGCCCAAGUGAGAUGGGCCUAAAGUGGGCCAAGAGGCCCGGCCCAUGAAGCCCAUUGGGCUGCCAACGCAUGGAGGGGAGGAGUGAGGAGCCGCAUGGCCUCCAAGUGUCUUCGGCAAAGGAGACACUUGUCUCCUUCUUAGGGACAAGUGUCCCCCAUGCAAAUUGAGGGUGCAUGCAAUUUAUAUAGCAACCAAAGAGAGAGAGAGAGAGAGAGUGGCUGGUUUUGAGAGAGUGAGAGAGAGAGGGAGUGGCGAGAGAGAAGGGGGAGCCGAGAGAAGGAGCUGUCUGCCCGUCGCCGCCCGCACGUCGUUCGUCCGUCGCCGGUGUGCCGUCCGUGUGCUCGUAUUUGCUCGGUCUUAGAGGCAAGUUGGGACUGAUUUCCACCCCUUGCAUGUGUGGUUGAAUUUUUGGAUGUUUAGAGGUUAGAAAAUCGAAGUACAUGAGGUUUGUUCUUGGAGAUGCAUGCUGUUUUCGUAUGAACCGCCUGACCCAGAAUCUUGUGAGAGCUUGCAUGCAUGUUUUGAGUUCGAUUUUGAUUUUUAUCUCUUCAUGAAAGUUGUAGCCAACAUCUUAGAAUAUAACAUACUAAAAUUUGGUGCAAAAUUAUGGAGAUUUAAGGGGUCAAACUCUCAUCCUACGGAGAUGCUAGAUCUGGAAUUUUUUCGCAUGAACCGCCUGACCCAGAAUCUUGUGAGAGCUUGCAUGCAUGUUUUGAAUUCGAUUUUUACUUUGAUCUCUUCAUGAAAGUUAUAUCCAACAUCUUAAACUAUAACAUACUAAAAUUUGGUACAAAAUGAUGGAGAUUUUAGGGGUCAAACACUCAUCCUACGGAGACACCAGAUCUGGAACGAUUUCACUGACCUUUCCGUGGAUUUGUGGUUGCAUGUUGAUUUUUACUAAGAAUAUCUUUUCGACUUCUUCAUGAAACUUGUAGAGAACAUCUUGAAUUUUAACAUACUCAAAUUUGAAGCAAAAUGAACAAGUGGAGCCUAGUGAAUCAACUUACUCUUGAAAACCGUAGAUCUGGAGACGCGGUAUAGGUUACCCGAGACUUCAUGGACCCGAAUGAUGACUCUACUCUGGAAUUUUGACUUAUAUCCCUUCAUGAAAGUUUUAUGGGACCUCUUGAAGUAAAACAUAUCCAAAUUUCAGAGGAAACGAAGAAAAAUAGGUAGGUGAAAACUCAGUAUUUCGGAGAAGCAUGCACUGGACGUUUCGGUGUUAGAUCCAGAAGCUUCGUGUGACUGUAGAAAAUAAUCUAAAAAUAAUUUGUCUUAGAUGUCUUCAUGAAAAAUAUACUUUAGUGUCUUGGCUAUAACCUGGUAGAAUUUCAUAAUUUUCGAAGGUCGUUUGGAUAUUUUAAUCAAAUUAUUUCGGAAACUGUGCAUUCUGUUUCUAUCCGAAAUUACAUGCUGUAUUUGUGUGAAUUAUAAUUUUGUGUGGAAUUUGAUUGGCCUUGUGUUUUUCAUGAAAUUAUUACCCUAUUGUCUUGUCUAUCACUAGCCUUAAUUUCAUGAUUUUUGAGAAGCAUAUGGAUAUUUAAUUUAAAUAUUUUCUAAAAAUGGUACAUGCUGGAAUUUUGUAAACUUUGAAAAGGCAUGAGAUAUGGACCAUUUUAUAUUGCAUGGACUCCAUGAAUUGUAUUGUGAUGGAUGAUGGUGUCUAGCUACAUGCAUGAUAAUGAUUUGAGAUGCAUGUAUGAAUUCAAUGAUGAAUAUGAUCUUGAUUGCCAUCACAUCACAUGCCAUGUUAUAAUUGAACUAUAAUUGAAGAUGUGAAUUGAGAUAAGUGAGAAGGCCGUCGGAGGUGUGAGCCAACGAUUCCCCGGGAGUGUCGGGAUGCCCGGUGGUAUACGUUACGUAAUUCCAGGGGAGGCCUGGUGGUAUGUCGGUACGUAAUUCCGGAAGGCAGGGGAAACCAUUUUCAUGGCGAGCCCUGGAGAUUCCCCAGGAGUGUCGGGAUGCCCGGUGGUAUACGGUACGUGAUUCCAAGGGAGGCCUGGUGGUAUGUCGGUACAUAAUUCCGGAAGCCCUGGAGGUUUGUGCCCAGGGGGAUGCCUCGUGAUGCUAGUUGGAUGCGAGAUGCCUNNNNNNNNNNNNNNNNNNNNNNNNNNNNNNNNNNNNNNNNNNNNNNNNNNNNNNNNNNNNNNNNNNNNNNNNNNNNNNNNNNNNNNNNNNNNNNNNNNNNNNNNNNNNNNNNNNNNNNNNNNNNNNNNNNNNNNNNNNNNNNNNNNNNNNNNNNNNNNNNNNNNNNNNNNNNNNNNNNNNNNNNNNNNNNNNNNNNNNNNNNNNNNNNNNNNNNNNNNNNNNNNNNNNNNNNNNNNNNNNNNNNNNNNNNNNNNNNNNNNNNNNNNNNNNNNNNNNNNNNNNNNNNNNNNNNNNNNNNNNNNNNNNNNNNNNNNNNNNNNNNNNNNNNNNNNNNNNNNNNNNNNNNNNNNNNNNNNNNNNNNNNNNNNNNNNNNNNNNNNNNNNNNNNNNNNNNNNNNNNNNNNNNNNNNNNNNNNNNNNNNNNNNNNNNNNNNNNNNNNNNNNNNNNNNNNNNNNNNNNNNNNNNNNNNNNNNNNNNNNNNNNNNNNNNNNNNNNNNNNNNNNNNNNNNNNNNNNNNNNNNNNNNNNNNNNNNNNNNNNNNNNNNNNNNNNNNNNNNNNNNNNNNNNNNNNNNNNNNNNNNNNNNNNNNNNNNNNNNNNNNNNNNNNNNNNNNNNNNNNNNNNNNNNNNNNNNNNNNNNNNNNNNNNNNNNNNNNNNNNNNNNNNNNNNNNNNNNNNNNNNNNNNNNNNNNNNNNNNNNNNNNNNNNNNNNNNNNNNNNNNNNNNNNNNNNNNNNNNNNNNNNNNNNNNNNNNNNNNNNNNNNNNNNNNNNNNNNNNNNNNNNNNNNNNNNNNNNNNNNNNNNNNNNNNNNNNNNNNNNNNNNNNNNNNNNNNNNNNNNNNNNNNNNNNNNNNNNNNNNNNNNNNNNNNNNNNNNNNNNNNNNNNNNNNNNNNNNNNNNNNNNNNNNNNNNNNNNNNNNNNNNNNNNNNNNNNNNNNNNNNNNNNNNNNNNNNNNNNNNNNNNNNNNNNNNNNNNNNNNNNNNNNNNNNNNNNNNNNNNNNNNNNNNNNNNNNNNNNNNNNNNNNNNNNNNNNNNNNNNNNNNNNNNNNNNNNNNNNNNNNNNNNNNNNNNNNNNNNNNNNNNNNNNNNNNNNNNNNNNNNNNNNNNNNNNNNNNNNNNNNNNNNNNNNNNNNNNNNNNNNNNNNNNNNNNNNNNNNNNNNNNNNNNNNNNNNNNNNNNNNNNNNNNNNNNNNNNNNNNNNNNNNNNNNNNNNNNNNNNNNNNNNNNNNNNNNNNNNNNNNNNNNNNNNNNNNNNNNNNNNNNNNNNNNNNNNNNNNNNNNNNNNNNNNNNNNNNNNNNNNNNNNNNNNNNNNNNNNNNNNNNNNNNNNNNNNNNNNNNNNNNNNNNNNNNNNNNNNNNNNNNNNNNNNNNNNNNNNNNNNNNNNNNNNNNNNNNNNNNNNNNNNNNNNNNNNNNNNNNNNNNNNNNNNNNNNNNNNNNNNNNNNNNNNNNNNNNNNNNNNNNNNNNNNNNNNNNNNNNNNNNNNNNNNNNNNNNNNNNNNNNNNNNNNNNNNNNNNNNNNNNNNNNNNNNNNNNNNNNNNNNNNNNNNNNNNNNNNNNNNNNNNNNNNNNNNNNNNNNNNNNNNNNNNNNNNNNNNNNNNNNNNNNNNNNNNNNNNNNNNNNNNNNNNNNNNNNNNNNNNNNNNNNNNNNNNNNNNNNNNNNNNNNNNNNNNNNNNNNNNNNNNNNNNNNNNNNNNNNNNNNNNNNNNNNNNNNNNNNNNNNNNNNNNNNNNNNNNNNNNNNNNNNNNNNNNNNNNNNNNNNNNNNNNNNNNNNNNNNNNNNNNNNNNNNNNNNNNNNNNNNNNNNNNNNNNNNNNNNNNNNNNNNNNNNNNNNNNNNNNNNNNNNNNNNNNNNNNNNNNNNNNNNNNNNNNNNNNNNNNNNNNNNNNNNNNNNNNNNNNNNNNNNNNNNNNNNNNNNNNNNNNNNNNNNNNNNNNNNNNNNNNNNNNNNNNNNNNNNNNNNNNNNNNNNNNNNNNNNNNNNNNNNNNNNNNNNNNNNNNNNNNNNNNNNNNNNNNNNNNNNNNNNNNNNNNNNNNNNNNNNNNNNNNNNNNNNNNNNNNNNNNNNNNNNNNNNNNNNNNNNNNNNNNNNNNNNNNNNNNNNNNNNNNNNNNNNNNNNNNNNNNNNNNNNNNNNNNNNNNNNNNNNNNNNNNNNNNNNNNNNNNNNNNNNNNNNNNNNNNNNNNNNNNNNNNNNNNNNNNNNNNNNNNNNNNNNNNNNNNNNNNNNNNNNNNNNNNNNNNNNNNNNNNNNNNNNNNNNNNNNNNNNNNNNNNNNNNNNNNNNNNNNNNNNNNNNNNNNNNNNNNNNNNNNNNNNNNNNNNNNNNNNNNNNNNNNNNNNNNNNNNNNNNNNNNNNNNNNNNNNNNNNNNNNNNNNNNNNNNNNNNNNNNNNNNNNNNNNNNNNNNNNNNNNNNNNNNNNNNNNNNNNNNNNNNNNNNNNNNNNNNNNNNNUGCAAGAACAAGAUGCAACUUUGGAUGAUGGUACAUCUUGUUGCAUCAACACUUGUAUGGGCUGGUGCAAGAAGAUGCACUAGCAACCCAAUUGGUGUAAGAACAAUGUGCAAGUCAAGUGACGUUUGAAACUAACCUAUUUUUUUUUUUAUAAAAAAAAAAAAAAACUUGUGCAAUACAAGUGAUCACUUUGUAAUCACAACUGGCACUUAAAUGAUUACUUUUAUAAAAACUUGGCACUCAAACGAUCACUCUUUACAACUUAUGGCACUAAAAUGGUCAAUCAUAAAUUUUCCACUAUCCCUUAAUUUUGCCAUGGUUUGCAGUUGCAGCAAACCAGCAAACCAGCAAACUAGCAAACUAGUAAACCAGCAAACCAUUACCAAAUUUAUGCAGCAAACCAUUAUAUGUGAAGCAAAAAUUAACCAAAAUAAACAUUGACAAUACACAAAUAAACAAUAAAACUUUUAAGUGCUCACAACUAAUGCAUUCCAAAAGCACAUUCCAUUUCGCCAUGGUUUGCAGUUGCAACAAACCAGCAAACCAUUACCAAAUAAAAAAUGCAGCAAAAACUAACCAAAACAAAUAUUAACAAUACACAACUAAACAAUAAAACUUUGAAGUGCUCACAACUAAUGCAUUCCAACUCCAACUUUACAUUUGUAUCAUAGAUUACAAAAACAAAACCUUCCGCUCCAUACAAAAAUUGCAACAAACCAAAAACACAUUUUACUUAUAAAUAAGCCAAUAGAAGUGCAUAUUGCACGUCUUCGACUAUGGUAGACAUACAAAUUUCUUCUCGUUACUCACUUCACAUUUGAAUAAACUACCCAAGAGAAUAAGAACACAAUCAAUGCUAGAUAAAAGGUUUUUUCAAUUUUCAGCCUUGAAACCUACCUCUUCAAAUGGUCGACCAGAGAUGUUGAACCCUUCAUUUGAGCUUGUAUUGAGUCGACAUCCUCCAACUCGUCCAUUAACAUAGGUGGAGGUUGAUUUCGGCCUUCAAGUAACUCCAAAAUCGCCUCUGUCACUCAAAUAGAGAAUUUGCUAUCAACCCAUUUAAAAUAUUUGCACUUUGAGCCUUCUCUAUAUCUGCCGCACCCAUGAAAUCUUCUCCCAAGAUUCAACUGAGUCCAAAAUGUUCUUCUCAGACUCGGUAACCCACAAUAACAGUAACACUCACCAUCUAAUUCAUUUUUUUUUAUAGGAAUGUGAGCUGUUGCUGAAGCUUCUGCCCUCCAUUUGCAAGAGCGAGCUGAUAACUUUGGGAGAAAAUCGAAGUAUGCACUCGAAUUGGUCGAAUUAGGGAUUUAGGGUUUUCAACUUUCAGUUCCAGUCGAAUUUUGGGAUUUAGGGUUUCUAAUUUAGGGGAAAAGACGCUAAACGGCGUCAUUUUGUUGUUUGUAUGCUGAUUGUACUCUCCGGCAAUCUACGUCGACUUCAAAAAUUAAUAAAAAACCGCCACGUCGGAUUUCUGACCAACCAAAUCGGCGUUGGCACUGAAAUGAUCGUUUUUCAAAAUUUUUGGCACUUAAGUGAUCUGAUGGAAAAUUUUGGCACCAAAGUGAGUAUCAUACAUAACUUAUGACACUAAUAGUGUACUUCUCCCCCUAGAUUUAGCGCUAGCCAUUAGCAUCUAUUCUCGCAAUAGGGUUCUCUGAGGAGGUUGUGAUAGAGGUCUUCAAAGGAUAAAGUCAACAUACAAUUUACCUAAUUAUGUAAAAUUUAGAUAAUGGAUUAAACGACUUGAGCCAUCGGAUCUAAGAGAAUACCACACUUAGCCCAAGCAAGUAUUUUAUGUGGCUAGUGCAUAUACUUCGUAAAAUUGAAGCAGGAUCAUAAGAUUUGGAGAACUCAUGUGGGAUCCAUCAUUUUCAAUAGUCCAAAUUGAAUUUAGGAUAUGAAAUUACACUUGUAAAAUAAUUUCUUUUUAUAGCGCAUGUGUGUCUAUAUAUAUAAGGUUCAAAUCAUUUUAGAUCUAUCAUGAAACAAAGUGCGGGAUAGAAUUUCCCCUUUUUAAUUGACUAGUCAUUCGAGCACAAGAAAAGGCCUUAUUUGCAUGAAAUUUCUUAGUCAUGAUCAUUAUCCACAUUUCCCUAGACCUGAUGUUCUAGACUAGAGUUAGGUAAGUCACAACAUGCACAUGUGGUUCAAUAAUAUCCUAUAUAAAACCAACUAAAAAAUGUAUAAUCUCAUCCUCAAAAUCUGUCAAAAGUUGCUCAUUGUCCGAGUCCUCUAGUCACAGCGACCGCUCCCCGCCCUCAUUAGAUCGAGUUAUUAUAGGUUCACCAGUUUUUGUAUGGUUCGUUCUCGGACCAUACACCUACCAGAGGGGGGUCUCACUUUAACAUUAUAAUUGUGACACCUUGAAUUUAACUCACUCGAGUCAACCAAAAUAACAAAAUAUUUAUUUUACUUAAGUCAUGUGAGUGCCAUGUUAUUAUCGUUUGCUCUUUGGCGUUUGUAUAGGCAGAUUUUUAGCAGUUUUAUUGACAAGAUGUUGAUGGUAGGUAAAUUCAUUACAUAGGUACAAAGUUGAGGUUUAUUUAAAGUAAAUAUGUCAAGAUACAAUUUAAGAUUUUUGGUGGGCUUUAUGUUUCAAGAUGAAAAAUGCACAGCCACUCUUGAAAUAGUUUGUUAUAAUAAAAAAGGUGUCUCCUAGUUAAGAAAACAUGUGAUUCUUGGUUAAGAGAAGAGGUAACUCUUGAUCAAAGAAGACAUGACUCUUGGUUAUGGAAAAGAGAUUAAUGUUUAUCUUAAAAUGAGGAUAUCGAUAGUUACAAACGAAAGUUAUUCUUGAAAUGAAGAGUGGUGAUAAUUGGGGAUGAGGUACCUAUUUUAAAGAGAUGCGUUGAUUGAUUAUUUGUGAAUAGAGACAAAUUCACAUAUUAUUUAUAAUAAUCAUAAUUGUUCAUAAAUGCUUCUUAUUCAAAACCCUCUCUUCUUCUCUUUUUAUAUACACAACUUUAACACAUUUAAGGUGCAAUUUCAAGAGAGAAUUGAGUAAUUGCUGAACUCAUUUCUUGCGGCUUUGGUAUAUAUCCUAGAGGUAUAUUUGUUCUAAAUCUAACAGUAAUAAUAAUGGUAGUAAAUAAUAUCUUAAGGAUAGUGAUCAUUAUUAUGCAUUAAAGUAUCAAGAAUCUACUACUACUUCUCUGUCUUCACUAGCAAUCAAAAUUCCUCCAACAAUCUUAAGGUAUUAUUAUUUUCAUAAAAAUGGAGAGAGCAGAAGUAUUGAGUGCCAAUAAUCUUGAAAGAUAAGUAUCAAUAAAAGUUUUGUUUUUGUUUAUAUAUUUGAGUCAUCUUCCUUGUUGCAUAUUGGAUCAUCUCAUGUUGAUUAUAGUGCUUUGAAAUUUAUGAAUAAAAGUGUUGUGAUAAUCUUGACAAGGAAAAGAUAAUGAAAGGAAGUGCCGAUGAAGAAUUCUCUAAACUUUGUCAAAUCAUCUAUAUUAAAUGUUUCGAUCUUACAUUAAUACUAGUGACAUUUGGAAAGCCUUGGAGACCAAAUAACAACAUUGACAAAUAAGGUACGAAUAGAAUUACUGCUUUGAAAUAUUUUGGAUUUGUCAUGAUUAAUGGAAAAUCAGUGUCUAAGCAAGUAGAUGAACUUUAAAUAUAUAUUGUCAUACUCAAAGACCUUAUGAUUGAAGUUUAUGAGCCUCCUUAAAUUGUUGCAAUUAUUUCAAAAUUGUCUUAAACUUGGAAUGACUAUUGAAAUGAACUUCUUCACACGAUUGAGAACCUGAUCAUGGAUAAUGUGAUAAACACAUUCAAAUUGAGGAAAGUACUUGAGAUCAUGAGGAUAGUUGUGUGAAAGAAGUUGUAAAUAAGGGGCAUUCUAUUGAGAACAAUAACAUGAGUAGAGACAAAGAAUGCAUCAAAACAAUGUCAUGAGAAAAUAUGAUUUGGUGGUAUCAUCAUUUGCAUAUAAGUAUAACAAUGCUUAUAAGUGUAUUUACUCAAAAUUUAGCAAAGAGUGUGGAGUUUAUAAUUUGCUUAUAUGUAGAUGAUAUUCUAAUUGUUGGUACAAGUAUGCUUGGCAUAAAUGAAACUAAAAGGUAUCCAUCUUCUCAGUUUUAAAUAAAAGAUAUGAGAGAAGUUGAUACAAUUUUAUGUAUCAAAGUGUUUAAUGAUAGUGAGGGUUAUGCUUUAAGUCAGUGCCACUAUGAAGGGAAAAUCAUUCAAAGAUAUCAUCAUUUGAGAAUUAAAGAUUCAAAUAUAUCGAUUAAAUUGAUGGAAAAUACUAGACAACAUUUUACACAAUUAGAUAUGCCAAUGCAAUUGGAAGUAGGGUGUAUGUUAUGUAUUGCACUAGAACGGUGCAUUGAAUGGAUAUAGCUUUUAUUGUGUGUAAAUUGUCCAGAUUUACUUAUAAUCCUAGUACAGUGCAUUGAAAUGCUAUAAGUAGAAUUUUUUGUUAUUAAAAAAAAAUGCAUUAUGGUCUAUUUUAUGAAAGACAACUAGUAGUAUUAGAAGGAUAUGCAGAUGCUAGUUGGAUAAUUAGCACAAUUGAUAAUAAGUUAACAUCCGAAUGGGUUUUUAAGCUUGCAAAUGGUAUAGUCUCUUGGGCAUCAAAGAAGCAAACAUGUAUAGCCCAUUCAAUGAUGGACUAUGAAUUUAUAUCACUAUCGGUGGCUAGUAAAGAGGCUGAAUGGCUGCGGAAUUUGCUAUUGGAUAUAGAGUUGUUGCCACAACCAAUUGCAACCAUACCUUUAUAUUGUGAUAGUGAGGUAAUUAUGUCUAGGGCAUAUAAUAAAAUAUACAAUCGAAAAUCUAGACGUAUUAGUUUGUGACGUAAGUAUGUUCGACGAUUAAUUACUAAUAGAGUUAUUUUAUCAAUUUAUGUUCAUACAAAUGAUAACUUGGUUGAUCCAUGCACUAAGAGAUUCUUAAGAGGUUUAAUAAGCAGUAUUGCCAAGGCAAUGGGUUUUAGAUCAAUUGAUAAUAGUCAAAUAUAGUGGAAACCCAACUUUAUAAUUUUCAACAAAAUUAUUAAAGUUAAAUGAGUGACAACAAGCUAUUAUAACUUGACGGUAAUCAAGUACUGGGGCACAAGGUUAGUACUCAUGAAAAGUUAGGAGGAUGAGUGUAAGAAAACACUCUUAAUGAACUUCAAGGUUUUAGCAAGGCAAUGUUAAGGUAAUAAAUGUAGGAACUUAUAUGAACAUAAGAAAUGAUGCCAUUUCUAACAAAAGUCGGAUGGACUUUUGUAAAUGUUCAUAAAUGUAAGAGGGAGCACAAGGCCAUAAAAGUGUUUAUGCAUAAGAAAUUUCUAACCAAAUAUGUAUAAAUUCAUAUGUGUGAUAAUUUGAUUAAUAAGUAGAAUCAUGGUUCAAAAUUUUAUCUACCACUAAUUUCGUUAUUGAAAUUAUUGACACUAAUUGAAGGAUAAAAUCUUAACAUAUACUUGUAUGUAUGAAUUUAUGCAAAUUAGUGUAAAUAACAAAUUAAGUGGGGGAUUAUUGAAAUAGUUUAUUAUCAUAAGAGAUAUGUCUCUUGGUCAAGAGAAUACGUGACCCUUGAUUAAAAGAAGAUGUAACUAUUAAUAAAAGAAAACGUGACUCUUGGUUAUGAAAAGAGAUUACUCUUCGUUUGAAAAGGAGGUUAUCCGUAAUUAUGAAAGAAAACUAUUCUUAAAAUGAAGAGUGGUGAUAAUUGAGGAUAAAGUACCUAUUCCUAAGAGAUAUGUUGAUUGAUUAUAUAUGAAUAUAGAUAAAUUUACAUAUUAUUUAUAAUAACCACAACUGUUCAUUAAUGCUUCUUUUUUAUAAUUUUCUUUUCUUCUUUUUUUAUAUACGCAACUUUAACACAUUUAAGGUGAAAUUACAAAAAAUAAUUGAGUAAAUGCUGAACUCAUUUUUCUAAGAUUUUGAUAUAUAUCUUGGAGUUAUAUUUAUUCUAAACUCAACAGUGAUAAUGAUAGCAGUAAAUAAUAUCUUAAAGAUAAUAAACGACAUCACAUAUCAAAUUUCCCCAACACGGAAGGCACCGGUAGACUCAACUCAAGCCGUCGUCGCGAUCGCAUCCCAUGGAAAAUGACUUGUCUCCCUAUGCCCCGCCACAUUGCAAGGUCUCGCUGAAAGUGAACCUUGACCAAACAACAGUCGAGGAAUCAACCGUCGUCGUAUACUGAUUUGGCUAUAGAAGCAACGACACUCAAGUUCUUGUUUCCUACGUACUGUCUGAAGAAGCAAUGACACUUUGGACUCGAGUUCUGGCUUCCUACAUAAACCCGAUCAAAAGCCCCAGAAGAGCGGUCUUCUUCCUCCUCCUGUAAUCUCAAGCCACCCACUUCCGCUUUCACAUUCUAUUCCGAGCGGCCUCUCAUGGCGGGCGAAGGCAAAAUCACAUGUCUCUUCAUCUUUUUCCUCUGUCUCCGCCCAUCUUCGGAGGCACAAACGUGGGUCAAGUCCGGUUAUUUAUACACUGGCAGCGAAAUCCAGAUCUCAGACAUCGUUUCCUCUUUUUUCUCUCACCUUAUAUGCGCUUUUGCUUACAUUGACUCUUCGACCUAUCAGCUCUCUGUCAACUCCUCCAUCGAGCAAUUCUUCUCCACCUUCACGAGCAGCGUGAAACGCAAGAAUCCUUCGAUCACCAUGAUGGGAGAACAGUAACAAUUCGAACAAUAUCGAAUCAACGCAACGAAAUAAAAUAAUCUCCCCUAUUGUGUAAACUUAAUAGGAAUCGAUAUAGUUGAGUAAAAUAAAUACCAAGUAUGCAAAUACAAGACGAUUUUUUUACGUGGAAAACCUCCUCGAUAUGAGGAUAUCAAAAACCAUGGGACUGGAGUCCACCCGAAAUUCUUCACUAUCAACAAAAUUGGGUGAACAAUGUUCUUCUCUAGCAAAUACUAGAGGUACAUAGCAACAAAGAUCUUAAGAACAUAAUUCUUGGCAAUACACAUGAAUUUCACAAGAGAUCAAUGAUAAAUCUGACCAAAAACACAGGUUUUGAUCAAUCCACGAAAAAGCUGAUGUAUGGAGCUUCAAAUGAAAAUCAAACUAUUCAGAUUCGGGAAAAUUGCACCACGAACAUACUGACAAAAUUUCAGCUCAAUCGGAUCACGAAUUGACCUCCGAUGCCAGCUUUAUGUAAAUCAGAUAUUGCCCCAACCCCCAAAUUUUAUGCUUUCUCUUUUUCUCUUGUUAUUAUUUCCUUUUGCGGCUACUACUUUAUAAAGAUAGUGAGAAACCCUAUUUCUCUAUAUAACUUAUCAUAUAGGCUUAAGUCCUUUUGGGCUUGCAACUCAUUGGGCUUCCUUCACAUAAGAGUGAACCCAGCUAACAAAUAUCUCCAUCACGACAAUGUGGAGGGAUUCACCAUCCCUGCUAUCAAUUGGCAAUGUUCAAGCUUCUCUCUUGGUAGAGUCUUCGUCAUCAUAUCAGAGCCAUUAUGAUCCGUAUGAAUUUUCUCAAGUUCCAACAACUUUUCAUCUAGAACAUCUCUUAUCCAAUGAUAUCUAACAUCAAUAUGUUUCGAUCUAGAAUGAAAAGAUGAAUUUUUACCAAGAUGAAUUGUGCUUUGAUUAUCACAAAAUAGCACAUACCUCUUUUGCUUGAACCCAAGUUCUUUUAAGAACUUCUUCAUCCAUAGCAUCUCUUUAUUAGCUUCAGUCGUUGCAAUAAAUUUAGCUUCGGUUGUAGAAAGUGCAACACACUUUUGCAAUCUUGACUUCCAUGACACAACUCCACCCGCAAAAGAAAUCAAAUAACCAAAAGUAGAUUUACGAGUAUCAAUAUCUCCUGCCAAGUUGGAAUCUGUGUAUCCAACUAACUCAAGUUUCCGGUCCUGAAACUGAGUUUCAAAUUUGAAGUUCCCCGAAAAUACCUCAUAAUCCACUUUACUACAUUCCAAUGUUCUCUGUUUGGAUUUGACAAAUAGCGACUAACAACGCCAACUGCAUGCACCAAGUCUAGGCGUGUACAUACCAUCACAUAUAUUAAGCUUCCUAUAGCUGAGGCAUAUGGAACACUUUCCAUAUCUUUCUUCUCUUUAUCAGUCGUAGGACUUUGCUUCAUAUUUAACUUAAAGUGGACAACAAGAGGAGUACUAAUCACUUUAGUCUUGUCCAUGUAAAAUUUCUGAAGUAUCUUCUCAAUAUAUUUCUCUUGCGACAAAAACAACUUCUUAGCAUCUCUAUCUCGGGUAAUUCUAAUGCCAAGAAUCUGCUUUGCCAAGCCCAAGUCUUUCAUGGCAGAAGACUUGCUCAACUGUUCCUUCAAUAACUCAAUUCUUGAAGCAUUCCUAUCAACAAUCAACAUAUCAUUAACAUAAAGUAAGAGAAUAAUAAAGUCAUCAUCAUAAAAAUUUUGGACAAACACACAAUUAUCCGAGGAAGUCUUCUUAUAGCCCUCUUAUGUUAUAACUAACGCAAACUUUUUAUACCACUGCCUCGGUGCUUGUUUUAGGCCAUAGAGACUUUUCUUCAAUUUGCACACAUAAUUCUCUUUCCCUUUCACUUUAAAACCCUCAGGUUGUUCCAUGUAUAUCUCUUCCUCCAAGUCACCAUGUAGGAAGGCUGUUUUAACAUCCAUUUGCUCAAUUUCCAAAUCUAGGGUAGCUGCCAAGCCUAAUACCACACGCAUAGAAGACAUUUUCACUACCGGAAAAAAUAUAUCAUCAAAAUCAAUAUCCUUUCUCUGAUCGAAUCCCUUAACAACCAAUCUAGCUUUGUAUCGUGGUUGUGAAGUAUGUUCAUCUUGCUUCAACCUAUAUACCCACUUGUUCUUCAAAGCUCUUUUACCUUUAGGUAACUUUACCAACUCAAAAGUAUGAUUAUCAUAAAGUAACUACAUUUCAUCUCGCAUAGCAUCAAACCAAUUGCUUUUGUACUAAUCUUCUAUUACUUCUGCAUAGCACUCUAGUUCACCUGCAUUAGUCAAUAAUACAUACUCAUCUUCAGAAUACCUGGUGGAAGGUCGUCGGUCUCUAAUGGAUCUCCGGACUGGAACAUCCAGUGGAACAUCUAAUUGAGCCUCUGGUUCAAGAAUAUUAUUAUAUGUUUCAACAUAUUCAGGAACAUGUGCGUUAUUUGGAACAUUGACUUCCUGCUGCUCUUCAUCAACCUGUGUAGGAAUAUUUGUAAGAGGAACUGAAUCCAAAUCAACCAAAUUAUCACUAACCUGUGGUGCUGAAAUCAUUUCUGCUUUCUCAAUAUCCUCUAUUGUUUGAUCUUCCAUAAACACAACGUCUCUGCUUCUUAUAAUUUUCUUUUCAACCAAAUCAUAAAAUUUGUAGCCAAGCAUAUCCUGUCCAUAACCAAUAAAUAUGCAUUGUCGUGUUUUCACAUCAAGUUUAGACCUCUCAUCUUUGGGAAUAUGCACAAAAGCUUUGCACCCAAAGACACACAAAUAAUCAUAAGAAACAUCUUUGCCUAUCCAAACUCUAUUAGAAACAUCAAACUCUAAAGGAAUGCAUGGAGUAAGAUUUAAUACAUGCACAACUGUACUUAAAGCCCCACCCCAAAAGGAUCUAGGUAGCUUUGAUUGUGAAAGUAAGCAUCUUACAUUUUCAAUUAGUGUUCUGUUCAUUCUCUCAGCUAAGCCAUUUAACUGAGGCAUCUUGGGAGGUGUCUUUUGAUGUCGAAUACCUUGUUGUCUACAAUAUUCAUCAAAAGGUCUAAUAUACUCUCCCCCAUUAUCAGUUCUGAUGCAUUUCAAUUUCUUUCCAGUUUGUCUCUCAACUGAAGCCUGAAAUUGCUUAAAAGCAUCUAAUACUUGAUCUUUAGUUUUCAAGGUAUGAAUCCAAAUUUUCCUUGAAAAAUCAUCUAUGAAGCUAACAAAAUAAAGAGAGACACCAAGUAUGAAUCCAAAUUUUCCUUGAAAAAUCAUCUAUGAAGCUAACAAAAUAAAGAGAGCCACCAAGUGAUUUUGUUUUCAUAGGACCGCAAACAUCAGAAUGCACUAAAUCUAGUAUACCUGACUUUCUUAAAGGAGGGGAGCUUUUAAAUGCAACUCUCUUCUGUUUUUCUGCUAAACAAUGAGCACACUUCUUUAGCACCGAACUUUUCAAUCUUGAAAGGAGCUUCUUCUUGGCCAAUAUUGACAAACCAUUCUCACUGAUGUGGCUGAGUCUCUUAUGCCAUAACUCAACUGCAUCUUCGCUAUCUACUGCAUUAAUUUUGUUUGUAGACAACUUUGCCUGCAUAAUGUACAACGAAGAAUAUUUUUCACCUCUAGUCACAACAAGAGAACCUUUGGUGAGCUUCCAUUGACCAUUACUGAAGGUGCUGCAAUACCUCUCAUCAUCCAACUUGCCUGUAGAAAUCAAAUUCAAGCGGAUAUCAGGUAUAUGUUUAACAUUAUUCAAUACUAACCUUGUGCCAUUACUGGUUUCUAGGCACACAUCACCGAUGCCUACAGCUUGAGCUAGACCAUUGUUUCUCAUCUUCACAGAUCUGAAGUCACCUAACUUGUAUGAUGUAAAGAAAUCCCUACGAGAUGUAGCAUGAAUGGAUAUACCACUAUCAAUUACCCAACUGGUCUCAUCACCAUAAAAAAUAAUGAGAAAGUCUUCUUUAAGUGCAACAGCAUGAUUGUUAUCAUUGUCAUUAUGACUUUUCUUCUCUUUACCUUUCUCCUUUUGUUUCUCCCUUUUUAAGGGGCGACAAAACCUCUGAAUAUGUCCCUUCUGAUGACAAUAAUGACACUCAACAUUAGCAAACUUAUUAUACUUACCUCUGCUUUUAUCUCAACUUUUAUCUCUAUUUCUCGGACCUCGAGACUCACUUAUUCCCCUUUUCUCGACAACCAAUGCAUCAGAAUGUGAAGAGGACAAUCUUUGUGUCUUCCUUCUCAUCUCUUUAUUUAAAAUACUACUCUUGGCUAAAUCCAUGGUAAUCGUACCAUCUGGGGCAGAAUUAGAUAAAGAUGUUCGGAACGUCUCCCAUGAGUCCGGCAAAGUACCAAGCAACCAUAGUGCUUGUAUCUCAUCAUCAAACUUGAUUCCCAUCUCAGCCAACUGAUUUAUAAUUCAUUGAAAAUAAUUUAAAUGAUCAGUCAAAUGAGUACCAUCUUGAUAUCUCAGAGCCAUCAUCUGUUUUAUCGAAUAUAACUUAUUAUUCCUAGUCUUUCAAACAUAUAAUUGUUCGAGCUUAUCCCAUAAACCGCGUGCUUGUGUUUCCUCAAUAAUAUGGUUCAAAACAUUAUCAUCCACCCACUGCCUAAUAUAACCACACACUUGACGAUGAAAUAUAGACCAUUCAGUAUCAGUUUUAUUCUUUGGUUUCUCCUCGGUAAAUACGGGUAAAUAAAAAUCUUUCACAUAUAAAAGGUCUUCCAUCUUCCAUUUCCUAAUAUGAUAAUUUGAACCAUUUAGUGUAAUCAUUCUACUCGUAUUUGUUUCCAUUGUUUAACACAAUGCAGAAAAAUCAAGCAAUAACCAGAUGCUCUGAUACCAUUCUAAUGGAAGAACAAUAACAAUUCGAACAAUAUCGAAUCAACACAGCAGAAUAAAAUAAUCUCUCCUCUUGUGUAAACCUAAUAGGAAUCGCUAUAGUAGAGUAAAAUAAAUACCAAGCAUGCGAACACAAGACGAUUUUUUUAUGUGGAAAACUUUCUCGAUGUGAGGAGAUCAAAAACCGCGGGACCGGAGUCCACCCGAAAUUCUUCACUAUCAACAUAAUUGGGUGAACAAUGUUCUUCUCUAGCAAAUACUAGAGGUACAUAGCAACAAAAACCUCAAGAACAUAAUUCUUGCCAAUACACAUGAAUUUAACAAGAGAUCAAGGAUAAAUCUGACAAAAAAAGCAGGUUUUCAUUAAUCCACGAAAAACCUGAUGUAUGGAGCUUCAAAAAAAAAUCAAACCGUUCAGAUUCGAGAAAAUUACGCCACGAACAUUCUGACAAAAUUUUAGCUCAAUCGGACCACAAAUCGACCUCCGAUGCCAGCUUUAUGUAAAUCAGAUAUUGCCCCAUCUCCCAAAUUUUCUGCUUUCUCUUUUUCUCUUGUUACUAUUUCUUUUUGCGGCUACCACUUUAUAAAGAUAGUGAAAAAUCCUAUUUCAUAUGGGCUCAAGCUCUUUUGGGCUUGCAACUGGGCUUCCUCCACAUAUGAGUGAACCCAGCUAACACACGACUCUGCUAUCAGUGUGGCAGCAGCGUGGGCAGGCCGAGAGGAUCCUUCAGCUUUCGUUUCGAUGCUCGGUGAGUCUUCUUCAAGAAGGUCCUUUAUCGAGUCUACCAUAGAAAAGGCAAGGCUUUAUGGGUUCAGUGGGGUUGAUCUCUGUGGGGUCUUGCCCAGUAGGAGCAUUAACAUGACCAAUUUGAGUGCCCUUUUGCGGGAGUAGAGAGAUGGAGUAGAUGCCGAAUCAAGAAAAUCUGGGAAACCUCCGUUGCUGCUAGUAACGGCUGUGUAUAGUCAACCCAUUUUUAACUCCGUGAGUUACCCACUUGACUCAAUUCAGAGAAAUUUGGACUGGGUUCACCUAAGUGCGUAUGAUUACCAUCUCCCCACCAGGGAAAGAUUUGCGCUCCCUCACGCAGCUUUAUUUGACCCAGCAAGCCAGAACUACACAGGCUUCUGCAUCACUUGGUUGCUGACUAGAGGAUUUCCCGCAAGAAAGCUGGUUCUGGGCUUGCCCUACCAUGGCUAUGCUUGGCAGCUCUAGGAUUCGAGCGCCAAUGCCAUUGGCCAUCCAUCAGUGGGGCCUGCUGUGACGGCGGAUGGGUCAUUUGGAUACAGGGCUAUAAAAUCUUAUGUCCGAGAUUUCGGUUAUGGAGCCAGUCCUGUUUAUAAUGGUACAUAUGUGGUGAAUCUUUUCAGAAAGGGAUCGGUAUGGAUCAAUUUCGAUGGGGUGGAGGCCAUCCGAGCCAAAGUAACUUAUGCCAAGGAAAAGGGGCUCCUUGGUUACAAUGUGUUUCAGGUCGGCAAUGAUCAGAAUUGGGUCCUUUCUCAGACGGGUUAGGAUUAAGUACCUCACAGGAAUUUCUGAAGGUUUUAAAAAAUUAUUGCAUUGAAAAUGUAGAACUAAAUGUAAUUCAAGGACUUAAUUGCCUUGUCAGCUCAAGAGGCCAGUGAAGAUCAGCAACACAGGCGAUGGUUCUGGCUUGCCAUGCUUAUUUCGAUUGCUAUAAUUGUUCUCCUUAUAUUUGGCCUGAUAUGCUACUUACAGAGGAGAACAUUGGAAUCAAAAGGUACGUUUUCUAAACUUUACUGGAGGUUGUGGGAAUCAGGAACAUUGAUUUAGGAAGAGUUAAAGUUGUAGAUACAAUUUCUUAAUUUUGGUUCUCGGGUAUUUCAGGUGUAAUCAGAGGAUUUAGUAGCCGAUUAAAGACUCUGGUGUGUAAAGGUGAAAGUCUUGAUAGUGGUACUCCCUAUCUGCAAACAUUCAGUUAUGCUACCCUCAAAGCAGCAAAUGAUGACUUCUCAAGUCAAAAUAAGCUUGGAGAGGGUGCAUUUGGACCUGUUUGCAAGGUAAGAUAUAUGAGGCCAUAAUUAAUGUAAUGAUUAUUAUUCUCUGUUUCAUUGCAAAUCCUAUGAAGUAUGUGUUGGGAGAACGAACCACGAUUGAGGGCCAGAUUUGGUCCUUUUGCUCUAUAACAUGCAUUUGUUGUUGUAUAAUGUGAGCAAGGAAAAUAGCUCACCCCCAAAUAUUUUUCUUAUUUCUUAUGCUCAAGAAUAUGUGGUCCUUCUCAUGUAUAGUCUGAUUUAUAAUUGAGAAAGUGAAGGUAAUGGGAACUUUUUGACCAAAAAAAAGAACUGGCAUCACAACACAACACAAUAAGCUUGAGAUUUUUAGUGAUGCAGCGUAGGUCUUCUUAAUUAUGGAUGCGAGCUUGUAAGUUUCAUCAUAGGAGGUUGGACUUGGAUGCCUUCUGCUCAAUUUUUUUUUUUCAUUUAUGUUCCUUGGGGUUAUGUGACAUAUGUUAUAGACAAAAGACUGGCUUCCAGCAUAAAUAGUGAAUAGUUUUGUUGAGUCUACCAUGUUCAAGUGGAAGUCAGUUGCCCUGUUCUGAACAUCGGCAUACCUGUUGCUCAGGGCAAGUUGCCCAAAGGACAGUACAUUGCAGUGAAGAGACUUUCGAAAACUUCAAACCAAGGGCUCGAGGAGUUCAAGAACGAAGUUAUGCUCACUGCCAGCCUGCAACAUGUCAACCUCGUUCGCCUUCUUGGAUUUUGUACCAACAGGGAAGAAAAGAUGCUGAUCUAUGAGUACAUGCCAAAUAAGAGCUUGGACUUUACCUAUUUGGUUCGACAUCUUUCAUGCUUCUUACGAUAGUCAUUGAUCAAAACCUGGGUUUUUUUAAGUGACAUCUAGUGUGAUACUCCAAAAAGCUUAGAUGGGUCCUCAGUUCCACUACAAGGGCUAGGGCAGGUGGACCCUUUUAAGCAUUUGGGCUACGCAAUGGUAUGCAAUGCUCUAAUUUCGCUUCCUGUUCUGAUAGUCUUUAGGUUUUGAUGAUGCAGAUCCAAUAAGGAAAUAUUCACUGGAUUGGGUGAAACGUGUUCAUAUCAUAGAAGGCAUUACACAGGGGCUUCUUUUUCUCCAAGAAUACUCGAAUUUCACAAUAAUUCAUCGAGACUUGAAAGCCAGCAAUGUUCUUCUGGAUGAUGAAAUGAACCCCAAGAUAUCAGAUUUUGUUUGGCGAGAAUAUUCAAGAAGGAUGACAUUGAAGCAAAUACCAGCCGAAUUGUCGGGACGUAGUAAGAGAGCUAACUAGGCCCUCCUAGUGUUACCUCAUAGGUAUUCUUCUGCUAAAAGCCUGCUGCUUAAAACCAAUUUUUGUUAUUGCAUACAGUGGGUAUGUUCCGCCAGAAUAUGUGAGGAAGGGCAUAUACUCGAUGAAGUACGACAUCUACAGCUUUGGGGUACUGCUGUUGCAAAUCAUCAGUGGUAGAAGGACCUCAUGUUACUACGGCCUGAAUGAAAAUCUGAAUCUUCUUGAUUAUGUAAGUAGAGAUUAUUUGUGAUUCCAAAAUUUUCUGGGCUCAAAUUUAGGAACAUGAAAUUUGACUUUUAACCAACUGGCGUUCUUAAUUUCAGGCAUAUGAGCAGUGGAAAGACGAUAAAUGCAUGGAGUUCAUUGACCCGUCUUUGGAUGACUCUUCAUCAUCCUGUAAGCUCUUGAGAUGCAUGCAAGUGGCUCUUCUAUGCGUGCAAGAGAAGCCUGGGGACAGGCCAUCCAUGUUGGAAGUCUAUUCAAUGCUCAAGAAUGAAUCUUCAGCCGUGAACUUCCCCAAGAAGCCUGCAUUUUCAAUUAACAAGGAUGAAGAUGAGGAUGGCAAGUGCUUGCUUAAGGAAGCAGUUCAUUCAGUCAAUGAUGCAUCAAUUUCUGAAUUGUUUCCUCGCUGAUUGUACAUUGCAUGUAUCCAGUGUUGUGAAUACUAAUACCAUAAAGAGAUUAUUUUGUUAACUUAUUUGGUUGCCUAGUAAUUCGUAUGUGCCAGUGGCAUUUUUUUUCCCCAAUUAAUUGUAAUAUUUUUUGACAUCUGUGUAUAUAUAUAUUUUUAAUCAUUUAGAGGCAGUUCAAGUUAGAAAUGAUCGAUACCUAAUCCGGUUCAAUUCCACCUGGGUACUGAGAAUCGGACCAGAGGAAUUGGUUUCUAGUUUCUAGAAUUGGGGACUGGACUGACCAGUCCGGUUCAGUUCCUGGAUGGUCUGAAGAAACUGGUCGCCUGCUCUGUUUAUUCCCAGCCUUUGCUUGAUCAUACCAUGAACUCAAGGCGUCGUUCUCACAAUCGGCUUGAAAAGACUUGAGAGUCAUGAGCAAAUCAGACCCCAAACCACACAAAUCCGGCAAUGUUCUUUCUUCCAUCUUAAUAUAGGUUUAAGUGAUGGGACGAUUCGGAGACUUUUGCCUACACAGCACACACCUAGACCUAGAAUCUAGCAAGUCUCGUGAAAAUGAACGGCGAGACACGGGAAAUGUAAUACGAAAAAAGGGCAAAAUACAGAUCAUUACCUUGAUGAGAAUCGAGAUGGAAGAAACAGAGCAAGAGAGGAGGCGAGAGUUGAGAUGAUACCGCGAGAAGGUGGCGUCAAGCUUGAGCAAAAGGGAUGCGACUAAGGCGAGAGAAGGCGACGCCGCGCCGCCAUUUGAGAGGGAAGGACUGAAGAACGAGGCAUCUCGUAAGCUGCGUGAGCUUAGACGAGAUUAUUGAUUAGGUUUUAAGAUUACACUCUUAACUUCACGGUACUAUUCUUCAAGAAAUUGAAAAAAAAAAUUGAAAAAAAUAUAAAUUGGUCCAAUCAAUGUGAUUUGGUUCCCACCAUGGAAUUGGAAACCAAAUAAAAAAUCACUAGUUCCAUAAAAUUGGAACAAGGAACUGGAUUAGUGUUGCCUAGAACCACCCGAAACUAGUCAAUUUGAUCCAAUCUAGACGUUACAGUUCGUUUGGUCCAUCUUGCUCAAUCCUAGUUCAAGUGUUCCUUCUUUUGUCUUGUAUCCUAUUAAGGGAGAAAUAUAUAUAUAUAUAUAUAUAUAUAUAUAUAUAUAUAUAUAUAUAUAUAUAAAGUUAUAAACCUAUUACAUCGGUAUCAAUUCGAUCCUCAAUUUUUUAAUUAGAUCAAUUUAAUUUUAAACAUUUUUACAUUAAUACAAAUUCAGUUCAUCCACCUAACUUAGGUUGGAAAUCAUUGAUGUGAACGUCAGUCAUUUUAUGUGAUGUGAUCAGUGUUAACGUAAAUAUUUUUAAAUAAUAUUUAACAACUUUUCGAAUUUUUUUUUAUGAUUUUUGUUUUUCUAUUAAUUUUUUUCUUUUUUCUCCUUUCAUUUUGGCUAACGAGGGCCAACAAACCCUCGCUAGCCGUUAGAUGGCUUAAAUUAAUAAAAAAAAUUGUUGACGUGGACAUCGACUAUCUUACGCAGCACAAUAAAUGCUAACAUGAACCUUUUUUUUUUUUUUGAAAAUUUAGUUGGAAUGAGGUGACUCUCAUGAUCCGGUCGUUGGGCUAGAGUGGGUUCGUGCUCCGUUAAAAAGAGUUUUAAAAAUAUAAAGUCAACUUACGAUUCUAGAAAAUGCCACAUGUAGCCCAAGCAAGUACUUUACGUGACUAGUACAUAUAUUACUUAAAAUUGAAUCGGGAUUGUUAGAUUUGGAGAACCCACAUGGGACCACCCUUUUUAAUGGUCCACACUGAAAUUAGAAUAUGAACUCACCCCCGCAAACUAAUUUCUCUUUGCAGCCCAUGUGUGUGUCUAUAUUUAUAUAAAGGUUCAAAUUACUUAGAUCUAUCGUGGCGACGGGGUGUGUGUGUGGAUUCAAGCCAGCAUGCCGGUCGAGCAGAUUGUGUUCGGCUUCCCCUUCUACGGGCAUGCAUUUGCCCUCACAGAUGCCAACGAUCACAGCUACUUCGCGCCUGUCACCAGGUCGGCGAUAUCCUCCAAUGGAAAUAUCAUGUACAAUCAAAUCACAACAUACAUAUCCCAAAAUGGCGCUACCAUGGUGUACAACUCUAUGGUGGUGUUUGCCUAUUGCUAUGUUGGGAUGACAUGGAUCAAUUACGAUAUUACACAAACUAUAUCUACCAACGUCGCGUACUCCAAGGGAAGAGGACUUAAAGGUUACUUUGCGUGACAUGUGGCUGGUGAUGACAAUUGGGUUCUCUCUCGAGCAAGUAAAUUUAUGAGAUUUAUGUUACAUAGCAUCAAUCAAUCAUGGAAAAAUUAUCCAAAAAAUUUCAAACUUAUUAUACUUUUGUCAAUUCCAUUAUAAACCGUUCAAUUUUAUUACUUAAGUCUUCAAUUUUUUAUGUUUUACCACUUGAAUCAAUUUGGUUAAUUUUAUUUGGCAAUUGCUGAUGUGGAUACCGACCAUUGUAUGUGACAUGAUUCAUAUGAUAUUGACAAUUUUUAAUAAUAUUUUAAUAUUUUAUCAAAUUAUUUACUAAUUUUUUUUUUAUUUUUUUCUCUAUUCUACUCUUCUCCUUCUUUUCUUCUUAUAUUUUUUCCUACUUAUCUCUUCCUUUUUUUAUUUUUAUUUAUUUUCUUUUCCCCUCCACUAGCAAUUGUCAACCCAGCCAUCAACGAGGCUUGAUGGUGGCUGACAAAGGGGAAAAUGGAAAGAGAAAGAAUUUAAAAAUAAAAAAGAAGAAGAGAAAAGAGAAAAAAAAAACCUAAAAAAUAUUAAAAUUUGUCUAUGUCAGCGCCGAUCAUGACAAGUAAGAAGGUCAACUUUCAUGUCAACAAUUUCUAGCAAAAAAAUGAUUGAAUUGACUCAAUUGGCAAAACGUAAAAUUAUUUAUGAUUUAAUUGAGAAAAUUGAAAGAUUUAUGAUUAAGUCAGCAAAAAUUUAAUAGAUUUAGGACAUUUUGGAAAUUUUGUAGUAUACAUUCUAUUUCCCAAGUUUAGCCCGAAGCCUAGCUACAUAUAGUAUAGUAAAUGUCUUUCAAACAUCAUCUUAUCAAGUCCGUAACUCCUUAAAAAAAAAAAAAAAAAAAAUCCCUGUGUUUAAAUCAAAUUUACACUGCAUGUUCAUCUAAGAUGGAAGGAGAUUCUUUUUAGAGAUAUUGCAAUUCACCAUAGUUAAUAUCAGAAUAGACUUAGUCAUUUGAGGAACAAUGUUUUUUUUUUUUUUUCCCAAUGAAGUACAAGAGUGUGAAGGAAAGGAAAAUCUUGCUAAGCUCUCUAUGUCCAAGGGAGAAUAAAUGGAUCUGGAUGUUUGACUUUUUAAAUAACGCACACACACACUUAUAUAUAAGUCAAGUCCGACCCCGUUUUAUUCAAUCUUAUAUUGAUUAGAUCAUUUUGCACGAAGAGGCAGUUUGCAUUGGGGAAGCAAAAAAGCCUAUCACGUCAACAAAUGGUCAAACUGAUAUUUAUUUUCAAAGAUGUCAGAGAUUUGGUUCCACUUCGUCGUACCCAUCCUUGCCUGUUUCCUCCCUGCAUGCUCUGACUAAAGAAAAAUGUCAAAACUUUUCCCGAUUAGCGGAUCAAAUUUAUCAGUCUAAUUCUAGUCUCCUUCAAUUUUCAACCUGUUGUUGCAAGCUUCAAGCUCGUGGUGACCUAGACGACGUCAGAGGAGACAUUAUUUACUUGUGUUAAUCGAAGUUUGGUCCACUAAUGUGAAGGAUUUAUGGCAUCCCAUCUCACAAUAAAAUGUACUCUUAGCGGAGGAACUAAAGCAAGAUCCAAUGAUGUAAUGGUAAACUUGUAUAAUUUUUAUUAUAUAAAAAGAAUAGAAAUACGUUUGGUAAAUUUGUAUAAUUUUUUUCGUUUCUUUUAAUUUUUUAAUAAUUUUAUUUUAUUUUUCCUUUUUUAUUUUUUCUUCCUUUUGGCCGGUUGCCAGCCUUGGCCAUGGCUAGCGACCAAUUGACAAGGGCCGACAGCCUCGCCCAGCCACGGCGAGGCUCGCCGGCUGGCGUGAGGUCGGCCUCAUUGGGGGCCGGCGACGCUCCGGCAAGGUUGCCGGCCCUCGACGGCCGGUCGCUGGAGUUGCCGGUCCUCGAUGGCCAGUCACCGACCAUGGCCGAAAUCGACGACCGACCAAAGAAAAAAGAAGAAUAAAAGAAGAAGAAAAGAAAUAGAAGGAAAAAAUAGAAGAGAGAAAAAUUAUUUCUCAGAAGUGCUAUUAGAAACAAGAAACAAGUUUUUCUUGUUUCUUAUUUCCGUUCCAAACCUGUUCCUGGGAACAAAAAAAUAGAUGUUUUGUUCUCCGGAACAAAAGUAUAAACAAACGUGUUUAUGUUCUUUUUUUAUUCCCUGGAACCAAAGAACAUAAUUUGUGUUUCGAGGAACAAAAAAAAAAACACAAACAGGCAGGCCCUUAAUGCAGCGUAGGUCUUCUUAAUGAUGUAUGAGAGCUUGUAAGUUUCAUCUUAGGAGGUUGGCGUCACACCCCAAUUCCACAAGGAUAGAAGCAUGACAUGACUGUCCUUUCUCCAAUUUCAACUUGGUAUUACAGCUUCAAGUUCGUGGUGACCUCGAUGACGUUAGAGGAGACAUUAUUUACUAAUGUUAAUCGGAAGCUUGCUCCAAUAAUGUGAUGGAUUUAUAGUAUUGCAUCUCACUGUAAAAUCUAUUCUUAGGCCAUGUUUGGUAACCAUCUUAUUUUCUUGUUUUUUGUUCUUUUGUUCCCUAGAAAACCGGAACAAAAAAAGAAUAGAAAUCCAUUUGAUAAUGUCAACUAAUUUUUCCAUUACCCGAAACAAAUUAGUAGCUAGGGAAUAGAUUUGGAACAAAACUAGAAUUAUAAAAAAAAAAACCUACAUCUUUGUUCCCAGGAACAAAAAGAGAAAUAUGGCCAUUUAAAAAAAGAUAAGCUCAUCGUAACCUAAUGUUCGUCUUUAUACAAUCAACACAAGGUCCAGUCUCCUAACCAGAUCCAAGUCCCCAUUUUUGGAAUAAAAAAAUAAAAUAUACAACAAUUAUGAGAUUUAGGAAAAAAGGUAGAAAUCAAAUUUUGAGUAGUUUUACUAGAUUAUAGUGUUAAUUAUAGUUUAGAAUUAGUUUAACAUAUAAAAAAAUGUGAAUCUUUUGAUGAAAAUUGGAUUCAAAAUUGAAUAAGCUUUUAGGGCUUUACUAUAUGGAUUUUUCAAUACCGUUUUCUUUUAGAGACAAUACUAGGUCAUGAAAGUUUGGUGACUCCGGUAUUCUUCUUUUAAGAUUCUAUUGGAGACAUCCUUUAAGAUCAUCUACAGUUUUGUUUUAAUAAAAAAUUAUAUGGCUUUGAACAAGUGUUUUGCAUUACAAUUUGUCUUGUGUUAUAGCAAUCAAAUAGUCUAUGCUCCAUGAAUUUUUGAUGUCAUUUGCUUGAAGAUUUGAUGAGUUUGUGCAAAUAAGCACACCAAAGAUCACUUCCAUCCUCAAUUGUUCCGCCAUUGUCCAUUUUAUCAAGCAACGUUGGCUCUUCUUCUUAUAGUUAAAAAAGUUUAAAAGGUAUAUGCACUUCUUUAUUAUAAUGCCCAAAGAUUUACUACCAACAUCCUCGCAUUAUGAAUUAUAAACAAGCGAGACUCUUUGUUGUCAUUUCCAACCAUUCAUCUUUGACUCACCAUUAUGUUAGAUUUUCUGAGAGCACUUUAGAAUAUUUUGGUCUAUUAAAUUCUUACAAAAGUCUAAUUUUAUUUAAACAUGAAUUUUUAGGUCUCCACGAACAUUUUUAUAAUUAAAUGAAUAAAAUUGAGAAUAUAAAUUUUUAGGGUUGUACCAAACACAUUUAUGUUUGUUUUCUAUUUUGAGAAAAAAAAAAUCAGUUACCAAAAGCAUUUUUAUAUUAAGAAUUCAGAGAAUAAAAAUAGAAAAACUAUUUCUAAAUACAAAUUAUUUCCGAAAACAAAAAUGUUAUCAAACGUACUCUUAUUGGAUGAGCUAAAGCAAGAUCCAAUGGAUUUAUACGAUCUAACAUUAACAUGGGUUUGAUAGUCAGCACAUAAACACAUUAAGAAUGCAAAGGAAAAUAAUGGAUUUCAAUAACCAAUAGAGUAAAAGGAUCUGAAAGGAAUGAGUUAGAAUGUUAUUAACAUGUAAACGGGGGGAAAAGCAAUGAAAAUAACGCGUAUAGAGAUGCAUAACAAGAUAGGCCUGAUCAUCGGUUGGAUGCGGUGAUACAUGACCCGUAUAUUUGGUCAAUCACAUUCAUUCCCAAAAGGGAAAAAAGCCAUAAAAAAAAUAUAAAUUAUACUUGACAUGACAUAUUUAAUCCAAACCAUUUUUUUUAACAUAAAAAACCCUAUACUAUUUUAACUGAGACAUAUUUAUCAUUUGUCAAUAUUUUGUUAAAUGAAUUUUCAGCCAAAAUAACGUGAUUUUAAUUUUACUUAAGUCAUGUGGACUACGAGCGAGCAUGGUUUCAAGGUAAAACCUGAAACCUAAGAAUUAGACUGGUGGGUUCAGGUUUCAGGAUCUAAAAUAUGCAGGGUAGGUUUCGAGUUGUAAAAAUUAAAUAUCUCAUUUUGACAGGUAGGUUCCAAGUUCUCAAUUAGCGAAACUUGAAACCUAGAACUUGGAACAAUUUUUUGUAUUUUUCUUGAUUUAUGUCUUUGCGCGAUCCUGCGAUAUCCUAUAAUGUUCGAUAAUAAGUGUAUAAUUUGGAACUACUAUAUGAGUUUUCAUUUUAUGAUUGAGAUUUUUACUUUUUUAGUAUUUGACUUUUUUUGAGUGUCUAAAUAUAAGUUAUUGCCAGUGAAUUGUAGUAGUAAGUAAUGGUUAUUAAAGAUGAUAAUUCACUAUAAUUGUUUAAUUGAUAAUAUAGGUGGAAUCUAAGCAGACUCUAGAAUUGAUUUUAACUUGUAACAUGGUAGAUUCCAAAUUUUUGGGUAUAUAAAGUAUGUUCUAGAUUCUAAAAAAAUACACAACCAGUAGGUUUUAGAUUUCAGGUUGAAUUUGUAUGGAAUUUAGAACCACUUACCCUUAAGAUAGGCACCAUUAAUGUUUAUUUUUUGACGUCUCUAUAGGUAGUUUUUAAUGGUUUUAUUGACAGAAUUUUGGAAAAAGGUAAAUGUAUCACAAAUUUAUAAUUUGAGAUUUUUGGUGUCAUAGAAAAAAAUUUAAACUAAAUAUGUCUGCAUAUAAUUUAAGAUUAUUAUUAUUUUUUUUAGCUUUUUACCUUUCCCAAAAUGAAAAGUCCACGGCCACGACCACGACCCGGGCGGAAGGCACCAGUAGACUCAAGAUAGCGUAGCGAUGGCAUCCCGCAAAAAAUGAGUCGUCUCUCCAUGCGCCACGUUGCAAGAAUUCGCCGAAAGUGAACCUUGACCAAACAACGGUCGAGGAAUCAACCGUCCUCGUACACUGAUCUGGCUGUAGAAGCGACGACACUCGAGUUCUUGUUUCCUACGUACUGUCUGAAGAAGCAAUGACACUUUGGACUCGAGUUCUAGCUUCCUACGUAAACCCGAUCAAAGGCCCCAGAAGAAAGGGCUUCUUCCUCCUCCCGUAAUCUCAAGCCACCCACUUCCGCUUUCACAUUCUGUUCCGAGCCGCCUCUCAUGGCGGGCGAAGGCAAAAUCGCCUGUCUCAUCAUCUUUUUCCUCUGUCUCCGCCCAUCUUCGGAGGCACAAACGUGGGUCAAGUCAGGUUACUUCUACGCCGGCAGCGAAAUCCCGAUCUCGGACAUCGAUUCCUCUUUGUUCUCUCACCUCAUAUGCGCUUUUGCUUACAUCGACUCUUCGACCUAUCAGCUCUCCGUCAACUCCUCCACCGAGCAAUUCUUCACCACCUUCACGAGCACCGUGAAACGCAAGAAUCCUUCGAUCACCACUCUGCUAUCAGUGUGGGCAGCAGCGUGGGCAGGCCGAGAGGAUCCUUCAGCUUUCGUUUCGAUGCUCAGUGAGUCUUCUUCAAGAAGGUCCUUUAUCGAGUCUACCAUAGAAAAGGCAAGGCUUUAUGGGUUCAGUGGGGUUGAUCUCUGUGGGGUCUUGCGCAGUAGGAGCAUUAACGUGACCAAUUUGAGUGCCCUUUUGCGGGAGUGGAGAGAUGGAGUAGAUGCCGAAUCAAGAAAAUCUGGGAAACCUCAGUUGCUGCUAGUAAUGGCUGUGUAUAGUCAACCCAUUUUUAACUCCGUGAGUUACCCAAUUGACUCAAUUCAGAGAAAUUUGGACUGGGUUCACCUAAGUGCGUAUGAUUACCAUCUCCCCACAAGGGAAAGAUUUGCGCUCCCUCACGCAGCUUUAUUUGACCCAGCAAGCCCGAAGAACACAGACUUCUGCAUCACUUGGUUGCUGACUAGAGGAUUUCCCGCAAGAAAGCUGGUUCUGGGCUUGCCCUACCAUGGCUAUGCUUGGCAGCUCGAGGAUUCGAGCGCCGAUGCCAUUGGCUAUCCAGCAGUGGGGCCUGCUGUGACGACGGAUGGGUCAUUUGGAUACAAGGCUAUAAAAUCUUAUAUCCGAGAUUUCGGUUAUGGAGCCAGUCCUGUUUAUAAUGGUACAUAUGUGGUGAAUCUUUUCAGAAAGGGAUCGGUAUGGAUCAAUUUCGAUGGUGUGGAGGCCAUCCGAGCCAAAGUAACUUAUGCCAAGGAAAAGGGGCUCCGUGGUUACAAUGUGUUUCAGGUCAACAAUGAUCAGAACUGGGCCCUUUCUCGGACAGGUUAGGAUUAAGUUAACCUCACAGGAAUUUCUGAAGGUUUUAAAAAAUUAUUGCAUUGAAAAUGUAGAACUAAACGUAAUUCAAGGACUUAAUUGCCUUGUCAGCUCAAGAUGCCAGUGAAGAUCAGCAACACAGGCGAUGGUUCUGGCUUGUUAUGCUUAUUUCGAUUGCUGUAAUUGUUCUCCUUGUAUUUGGCCUGAUAUGCUACUUACAGAGGAGAACAUUGAAAUCAAAAGGUACGUUUUCUAUACUUUACUGGAGGAUUACUGUAAUUUUGUGGGAAUCAGGAACAUUGACUUCGGAAGAAUUAAAGUUCUAGACACAUUUUCUUGAUGUUGGUUCGCAGGUAUUUCGGGUGUAAUAAAAGGAUUUAGUAGCCGAUUAAAGACUAUGGUGUGUAAAGGUGAAAGUCUUGAGAGUGGUACUCGUAGUCUGCGAACAUUUGGUUAUGCUACCCUCAAAGCAGCAACUGAUGACUUCUCAAGUGAAAAUAAGCUUGGAGAGGGUGGAUUUGGACCUGUUUACAAGGUAAAAUAUAUGAGGCCAUUCUUAAGCUAAAGAUUAUUAUUUUCUGUAUCAUUACAAAUCCCAGGAAGUACGUGUUGGGAGAACGAACCACGAUUGAGGGCCAGAUUUGGUCCUUUUGCUCUAUAACAUGCGUUCGUUGCUGCAUAAUGCAAGCAUGGAAAAUAACUCACCCCCAAAUGUUUUUCUUAUUUUUUACGCUCAAGAAUAUGUGGUCCUUCUCAUUUAUAGUCUGAUUUAUAAUUGAGAAAGUGAAGGUAAUGGGAACUUGCUACCCGUACUAUGAGAGCAAAUCUUUUCAUAUGUUAAGCAUAGGUAUGCCGGCUUUCUCUGUAGCAGCUGCCAGUUGGUUGGUUUGUACUUGCAGUUUCAAUCAUUGAAGCUACAUGCCUCUAAAAGCAGAAAGCUUGAGAUAUUUAGAGAUGCAGCGUAGGUCUUCUUAAUGAUGGAUGCAAGCUUGUAAGUUUCAUUAUAGGAGGUUGGACUUGGAUGCCUUCUGCUCAAGUUUUGUUUUUCAUUAAUGUUCCUUGGGGUUAUGUGACUUAUGUCAUAGACAAAACACUGUCUUCCAGCAUAAACACUGAAAAUUUUUGUUAGUCUACCAUGUUCAAGUGGAAGUCAGUUGCCCUGUUCUGACCAUCAGCGUACCUGUUGCUCAGGGCAAGUUGCCCAAAGGACAGUACAUUGCAGUGAAGAGACUUUCGAAAACUUCAAACCAAGGGCUCGAGGAGUUCAAGAACGAAGUUAUGCUCACCGCCAGCCUGCAACAUGUCAACCUCGUUCGCCUUAUUGGAUUUUGUACCAACAGGGAAGAAAAGAUGCUGAUCUAUGAGUACAUGCCAAAUAAGAGCUUGGACUUCUACCUAUUUGGUUUGACAUCUUCCUUGCUUCUUAAUAUUCAUUGAGCAAAACCUGGGUGUUUUUAAGUGACAUCUAGUGUGAUACUCCAAGAGGCUUAGAUGGGUCCCCGGUUCCGCUACAAUGGCUAGGGCAGCUAGACCCUUUUUAGCAUUUGGGGUACACAAUGGUUUGCAAUGCUCUAAUUUCGCUUCCAGUUCUGAUAGUCUUUAGGUUUUGAUGAUGCAGAUCCAAUAAGGAAAUAUUCGCUGGAUUGGGUGAAACGUGUUCAUAUCAUAGAAGGCAUUACACAGGGGCUUCUUUAUCUCCAAGAAUACUCGAAUUUCACAAUAAUUCAUCGAGACUUGAAAGCCAGCAAUGUUCUGCUGGAUGAUGAAAUGAACUCCAAGAUAUCAGAUUUUGGUUUGGCGAAAAUAUUCAAGAAGGAUGACAUUGAAGCAAAUACCAGCCGAAUUGUCGGGACAUAGUAAGAGAGCUAACUACGCCCUCCUAGUUUUACCUCAUAGGUAUUCUCCUGCUAAAAGUCUGCUGCUUAAAACCAAUUUUUGUUCUUGCGUACAGCGGGUAUGUUCCACCAGAAUAUGUGAGGAAGGGCAUAUACUCGAUGAAGUACGACGUCUACAGCUUUGGGGUACUGCUGUUGCAAAUCAUCAGUGGUAGAAGGACCUCAUGUUACUACGGCCUGAAUGAAAAUUUGAAUCUUCUCGAUUAUGUAAGUAGAUUAUGUAAGUAGAGAUUAUUUGUGAUUCCAAAAUUUUCUGGGCUCAAUUUUAGGAACAUGGAUUUUGACUUUUAACCAACUGGCGUUCUUAAUUUCAGGCAUAUGAGCAGUGGAAAGACGAUAAAUGCAUGGAGUUCGUUGACCCGUCUUUGGAUGACUCUUCAUCAUCCUGUAAGCUCUUGAGAUGCAUGCAAGUGGCUCUUCUAUGCGUGCAAGAGAAGCCUGGGGACAGGCCAUCCAUGUUGGAAGUCUAUUCAAUGCUCAAGAAUGAAUCCUCAGCUGUGAACUUCCCCAAGAAGCCUGCAUUUUCAAUUACCGAGGAUGAAGAUGAGGAUGGCAAGUGCUUGCCCAAGGAAGCAAUUCAUUCAGUCAAUGAUGUAUCAAUUUCUGAAUUGUUUCCUCGCUGAUUGUACAUUGCAUAAAUCCAAUACUGUGAAUACUAAUACCAUAGAGAGAAUCUUUUGUCAACUUAUUGGGUUGCCUAGUACUUCGUUUGUCCCAGUGGCAUUUUUUUUCCAAAUUAAUUGUAAUAUUUUUUGAAAAUUGUAUAUGUUUUUUACCAUUUAGAGGCAGUUCAAGUUAGAAGUUAGGAGGGAUUGAUUUCCGAUUCAGUUCGAUCCCACCUAGGAACCGAGAACCAGAUCAGAGGGAUUGGUUUUCAGUUUCUAGAAUCGAUUCAGUUCCCAAGCGGUCCAAUGGAACUGAUUGCUUGCUCCAUUUAUUCCCAGCCUUUGCCCGAUCACACCACGAACUCAAGGCGCCGUUCUCACAAUCGGCUUGAGAUGACUGAGUCACGGGCAAAUCAGACCCCAAACCGCACGCAUCCGGCAAUAUUCUUUCUUCUAUAUAUAGGUUGAAGUGAUUGGACGAUUCAGAGACUUUUGCCUUCAGAGAACACAACUAGACCUAGAAUCAAGCAAAAGUCUCGUGAAAAUGAACCGCGAGACACGGAAAACGCGACACAAAAGAGGGCAAAAUACAGAUCAUUACCUUGAUGAGGAUCGAGAUGCAAGAAACAGAGCAAGAAAGGCGGCGAGAGUCGAGACGAUACCGCGAGAGGGAGGCGUGAAGCUCGAGCGAAAGGGAUGUGACUUAGGCAAGAGAAGGUGCCGCCGCGCUGCCAUUUGAGAGUAGAACGAGAGGUACGAGAGGGAAAGAGACGAGGCGUGAGAAGCGAGAGAGAGAGAGAGAGAGAGAGAGAGAGAGAGAGAGAGGAGAUAGAGAGAGAGGGGCGGAGGCAGCUAGGCACGACUGUGACUUAGUCUGUGAAGAAUGACUGAAGAACGAGGCACCUCAGGAGCUGCGCAAGGUAAGACGAGAUUAUUGACUAGGGUUUGAGUUUACACUCUUAACUUCACAGUGCUGCUCUUUAAGAAAUUGACACACACACACGCACAUAUAUAUAUAUUGAUUCAAUUUGGGCGGUUCGGUUCUCAUCCUAGACUGAGAACUAGAGCACAGCUCCCUAGAAUUGUCCACAAUCCGCUAGUUUGGUCAAAUUUGGGUCGUCCUAGUUCGGUCAUCCAUCUUGCUCACUACUAGUUCAAGUGUUCCUUCUUUUGUCUAGUAAACUGUUAAGGGAAAAAUACUGAAAAAAGUAUUAAACAUAAUACGUUGGUAUCAAUUCAGUUAUAAAUUUUUCAAUGGAAUCAAUUUAGUCUUAAACAUUUUCACAUUAGUAUUAAUUCAAUUCAUUUGGCUAACAUAGGUUGGAAAUCGCUGACGUGAAUGCCAGUUGUUCUACGUAGUAUGAUUAGUGCUAACGUGAAUAUUUUUAAAUAAUAUUUUAACAAAAUUUUGAAUAUUUUUUUUAUAAUUUUUGUUUUUCUUUUGUUUUUCUAUUAAUUUUUUUGUGACAGCCUUAAUUUUCAGAUUUCGUUUUCGUUUUCGAUUAAAUAAAUUGGGUCUUUCGUCGAUGCGCCAAUAGUGUUAUUCUCUGAGCUGAUCACUCAUGAGAUAACUGAACUAUUUGGGAAAGUAAUUAAGGAAUCUAAAUGCAAUGGACUUAAGAAUUCGACCAGGAACCGAUUGCUUAACCAUGUUGAUCUGCAAUGGUCAUUCGUCAAAAAUCAAUCAGAGAUUGGAGAUAAGUCGAUUCGAUAGAGAUAUGUGAUUAGUGCAUGAGUGAUUCUACCUAAUUGCAAAAUUCUUGUCGAACGGCACUAAACCGAUUUUUCUGUCAUUUCUGUACUGGUAUCCGUAUUUGAAAUCUCGAGAUUUUCACGACAAUCAAGAGAAGAUGUACAUUGUGACACCUCCACCUUCUCCUCCUCAGAAAAAGCAAGCCCUCUCUCCAUUUUAUAAGCCAAUCCUCAAAUGGGCCAAGAAACAUUCUUACCCACUUGAAGUCACAGCGGAAGCACCACCCACUUCUUCUAUAGCUAUGUUCCAAGAUACUGAUUUUCCUCCUCUUGCCAAGGAAAACUCUAAACUCUCGUUCCCCGCCUCAUAAGAGUUUAUUGAUUCCCAUGGCAGAUAUCGCCAUGUUCCCAAGAUUCCUACUCCCACUGAUGUGGAUGAACAUGGACGACAAAAGAAGACUCUUGCUGCUGAAACUGUUCUAAAUUGGCAAUGAGAGACUCUGUUGGCACAAAACAACGCCUUCAAGGCAAUUGAUUCCAAAAUUGGAAAUGUGCAACAAGAUCUUCGAAGGUAUGGUGAAAGCACCAAAAAGAUACUCGCUGAGUUCCAGAAAAGGCUUCAUGCCUUGGAAUCAGGACAACAUCUUGGGUAUUAUUAUCUUGAAAGUCCAAAACCAGAGAUAGAAAAGCUCAAGAAGCAAAUCCAACUUCUUGAAGAAGGAAGAUUCCGACCCUUUGAUCCACUGGCACCUCCUGUUAGAACCGGGUAUGUACCCCCACAACCACAGACGUCUAUUUUUGCUAACAUCCCAGAAGAUCCCUACAGAAGGGAACCAGACAUGGCAGAAAUACGAAAUCGUCUCAAAGCCAUACAGAAGGGGAAAAAGAAAGAAAAAACACCACCUCUAGAAUCAAGUUCAAUCAUCAUAAGAGAAAAGCCAGAUCAGAUGAUGUUAUCAAAUCCAACAGACAUGGCAGAAAUACGAAUCUUUUCUAAAAGAUUUGAGUACUCAGGCACCUGAUCCUGUAAUCCAACAGCCUGCCAAAAAAACAGAUUCUAUUUCCCGCUGAACAAACUUCCCUUGAUACUGAAUCAGAUUUAGUAUCCCUUUUCCUCAUCUUCAUCCUUCUCAAUUCCUACAGUUGAUACCCUAUUGUGCCAGUAACUUCAGAAAUAUUCAUGGCUGACCCUCCAGAUGAUGAAAUGGAAUCAAAUUAUUCUGACCCAGACUAUGGUCAGACAAGCAAUCCUGCUAGAAACAAUUCUACCAGGCAUGUGUCCAUGGCAUCAAAACAAUUCUUCACCAUUGAUGAUAUUCCUUAUCCAAAAUGGCCAGAAAGACUUGAAGAAUUUCAUACUUGGUUGAAUACUCAUUCCAUUACCAACCAUGAUAUAAAUGAUGUCCUUUAUAACUUUGUUACGAGGUUUACAGGAAGCCUCAAACUCUGGUGGCAAUCACUUACAGAACAAGACCAGAUUAUGUUUCUGAUGUCGCCAAAUUUCAGCCAUGCCAUCACUCUCUUAUAUCAUGUCUUUGUGGGAAAACCAGGAGAUCUCAUAGAGAUAAAAAGAAGAGAAUUUUUCGAAAGAAAAUGCUGUUCUUAUAAAAAAAAAAAAAAGCAUAUCGAUAAGCAUUAUCGAAUGAUGCUUCAGCUCUUUUACCAAAUUGGAGCAGAUCCAAAUCUGAAGCAUGUCUUUCUCACAUCCAUCCCUAAAGAGCUAUCCCAGAUGGUUGAAAGGUCUUUCUUUGGAAAACAAAAGAGAGUACAAGAUAUUCCCUUGGGAGAAAUCCAACAAGAAAUCCAUCUGUGCCUUGAAGAAUUAUGCUUAAAACGCCAGAUGGUCCGUACCUACAUCACAGAUGACAAACGCCUCGAAUCGGCUUGUUCACACCAGAAGCUAAAGAUCAAAUGCUCAAAGCAAGACUGUGAUGGUACUUGUGGCCAAUAUUCCCGGAAGAAAAAGCACUACAAGAAGUAUUCGAUAAAGAAAUCCAAACAUGGAUCCAAGCAUUUCCGGAGAAAGAAGAAAUGGCGAUACCUAUGAAAAAGAAAGGAUCGCACAGGCCAUAAGAAAUCAAAUCGUUGCUACAUUUGCAACAAGAAGGGACAUUUUGCCAAAAAUUAUCCUCAAGCCAAAAAAGGUCAGAAUCAUCUAAUUCAUCAAAUUGAGAAUGAAACAGGUAUUUCUCUUGAAAAUGAUGAUGUUGAAUCUUUAUUCUCCGCUGAUGAAGAACCAUCUGACCAAACACUUUGUAUCAUUCCCUCUUACCAAACUUCUAGUGAGAUUGAGUCAGGCUCGGAAUCUGAAGACAUUUUUCACAUAUCCCCCACAUAUUCAGAACCAAAUCUUGAUAUAUUCUCAAGCCAAACUCACUGUCCGCAUUUCCCUGUAAAAAUUCUCACUUCAAAGUUUGCCAAACCUAUCAAUGUCAUUGCCCUCAUUGAUACCGGAGCAAGCUGCUCCAUUCUAGACACUAAAAUCCUACCUGAAGAAUAUUGGACUCCCCAUAUUCGAUAUUUCAACUCCGCCUCUGGAGAUACUUUCUCCACAAAUGUCAAGACCACUCCUGUGACUAUCCAGUUCUUUCCCCAGUGCUCCAUAAAUGCAAAAAUCUUUGGAUCAAACCUUCCCAAUAAAAACCUGAUAAUUGGGUGGGACAUCAUGACUCAAAUCUCUCAACUUCGCAUCAUUCCUGGAAAAUGUCUUAGAUAUAAAGAUCAGUUCUCCGAAUUCGUCAAUAUUCAGAGACUCUUUUCCAUUCAGAUGAGUCUGUUAGAUCCAAUCAUGCAAAGGCUGCUGGAAUCUUGUGCGGAAUCCCAUUCAGAAUUCGCUCAAAAAUGUUCUCAUCCCUUAUGGGAAAAUCCAGAAUUCUUUGUUCGUCUCCCUUUAAAAAAAAAUGAAAAUAUCAACCCAACAAAGGCGAGUCAUAUGGGAAUGAAGCCAGAACACUUGGCUUUAGCUCAAAGGGAAUGCUCAGAAUUAUUGCAACAGGGCCUUAUCGAAAUCUCCAAUUCUCAAUGGGCUUGUGAAGCCUUUUAUAUCAAUAAACGAGCUGAGCAAAACAGAGGAAAAAUAAGACUGGUGAUAAAUUAUCAACCUCUCAAUCUUUUUCUCCAAGAUGAUAAAUUCCAUUUACCGUCUAGAGAUUCUCUCUUUAGCGGACUAACCAAGGCCCAUAUCUAUUCCAAAUUCGACCUCAAAGUCGGAUUUUGGCAAUUGGGUAUCCAUCCUGAAGAUAGAUCCAAGACAGGAUUCUGUAUCCCGAACCAGCACUUCCAAUGGAAAGUUCUCCCUUUUGGCCUAAAGGUAGCACCAUCCCUGUUCCAAAAGGCCAUGUGCCGUAUUUUCCAACCAAUCCUGUCAAGUGCAGCCGUAUAUAUCAACGAUAUUCUGCUCUACAGUCCUGACGAGCAGUCACACUGUCAAUUCCUUGAGCAAUUUGCAGAAAUCGUGAGAAAACAUGGCAUUAUGCUUUCUCAAAGGAAAAUGAAUAUUGCCUAGAUAGAAAUUGAAUUUCUUGGCAUGCACCUCAACAAAGGAACAUACUAUCCAGGGCCACAUAUUGCUCAAGAAUUAUUGAAGUUUCCUGAAGAUAACUUCACUACAAAACAAGUUCAGCAAUUUCUUGGGAUAAUUAAUUAUCUCAGGGUUUUUGUCCCAAACAUUGCAAAGCUCCUGAUUCCUUUGCAAUCCACGCUGAAGAAGAAUUCCCCACCUUGGGGAAAAACCCAGACUAAAGUAGUCGCUGAACUUAAGGAGAUAAUGCAAAAUCUCCCACCAUUACAAAUACCAUCAACAGGAAGAAGAAUUCUUCAAACUGACGCCAGUGAUGAAUACUGGGCAGCAGUCCUGUUCGAAGAAAUCGAUGGUAAGAGACUCCUUUGUGCUCACAAAAGUGGAAAGUUUUCUCAGGCUGAAAUGCACUACCAUUCCACUUUCAAAGAAAUUUUAGCAGUAAAAAAUGGAAUCAAAAAAUUUGAGUUUCAUCUCAUAGGCCAUCACUUCUUGGUAGAAUUAGACAUGGCAUCUUUCCCUCAGAUGACCAAGUUUAAACAGAAGCAGAUUCCAAACUCUCAGUUGCUUCGAUGGGCUGAAUGGUUUUCAAAAUACUAUUUUGAAACCAAACACAUUCUUGGAAAAAAGAAUGUGCUCGCUGACUUUUUGUCAAGACCCAAGGCACCAGCUGAAAUCAACAUGUACAUCAAGAGGCAUGUUUUCCAUAUGCUCAAUCAUGGCGUGAAAUACAAGAUUGAGAAGAUCAAAGACUUGCAAAGCUGGAAAUAUCCCCAGGAGAUUAUUCAGCAAAUCCAGAACGACAGUCUUACUGAGAACUUGGAGAACCUCAUGUGGUAAUGCCACACAGACCUAUUCAGAUUCAAUGGAGGUUCGAUUCUUCAUCCUUUUGGAUUAAAUCUAAAUUAUCCUUUCAUUCAUCCUCUUAUAUGGAAGGAAGAUGAUUUCCCUGACCAGCUCAAGAUGUUGUUAUGGUACUUAACUAAUAAGUACUUAAUAGCCAUUGAAAUCCCAACCAGAAGAUUCAUCGCCAACCUCACAAGGAUAUUCUUACUCGGAAGAAACGUUGACAAGGAAUGUGAUAGAAAUCUUUUAGAUUUUCUAAAUUGGUUCUAUCAUCCUACAUGCUGGAAACAAGACUUAGAAAGAGAACUGAGAACCAUGACACCAAAUCCUAAAGUCCACAUUAUUCUGUUUUUCAGACAUCCAUGGAAUUUCUGUAGAAAUAAUGGUAGUAUUCUCGAUGCUCCACUUGAAAUAGGAACCACAUCCUAUAAACCUCACUUGAAUAGUCGAGAUCUGUUAGAUUUUGUGAAAACGAGUACCGAGAACUUCAGAGAAUCCUAUGCCAGGAAAACAAAACCAUUCCUAAAGAUGUCUGGAAUAAUGCACCCACUACGUGGGAUCAUUAUGACCUAGCACCAGAAGCUAGCGAAGCACUCAGGCAAUACAGACAAGCUACAUCGUCCCAAGAGCAUGAAAUGACAAGCGAAGAUGACAUUGUCCAGUCUACUCAAAACCCCUACGCACGCUUUGGAGGUCCUCUGUCCCAGAAUCCCUAUGAUCAAGGAACUUCGUCCUCGUUUCAAGACAUGGACACAUCCUUUUACGCACAGCCAUCCAAUUGGCCUCAGCCAAGCAUUCCUGCUAGAACCACAAGUGAAAAUACAAACUGGGCAGAAGAUCCCAUUGGGCUCAUGAAGCAUCCUCAUCUCAAAGGCUGAACCAAAUCCUUUCACCUCAAGACCUUGAAGCCCUUCAGUAGAAAUAUGAAGCACAUCUCCUAGAAGAUAGUUCCGAUGACUCAGUAUGUAGCUACAAUGCCCGUGACGGACGAGACCGAUGAGUCCGUACAAUUUCAUUGUAGCAAAAUCACUGUUCACUUUUACUGUAGCACAAGGCUAGGGAAGAUACUGUUCACAGUACAGUUACUGUUCAUAGUGCGCUAAUAAUUCCCUCCCGGAAGUUUUCGGUGCCUCUGUUUGUAUCUGGACCCGUGAGCUUGGUCCCUGUGUGUGUCCUUGUAACCUCUUAUUGCCUAUAUAAGGCAAGGGGUGUGUAAUGUUUCGGGCAGAGUCCCCUAAAGUAAAGUGUGUGCUUUGUGAAAAUCUCUCCAUGGCUUUCUAAAUUCCUCUUCUUCUCCAGCCUGGUAGGAUCCUCCGAGAAAUGCAGCUUGGGUAGAUUAGAAACGUCUCCAUCCUGGCAUCUCUGGGUGUCUCUAGGCUCUGAACUAAAGGGCAAGUGGUUUUCUGCUAAAAAGCUGUCCCUGUAGGGCUUGAAUGGGUUGUUCGCCCACUGUGGGAUGCAUAAAUUGAUCAUGGGUCAAUUGCACCAAAAAUUCCUAAAAGUUACCCGGUAGACUAGGUCACGCUAAAAUCGCGUCGGAUUGAAAUUAUCCGCGAAUUUGAACCUGAUUUCAUAAAUUGAAAGUUCUGUCGUGUCACGAUUCAUUUUAGGAAUGUCAACUCAUCCUUCAAAAAAAUUUCGGAGAUUUCGGGAUUUUUACGGAAAAUUGAUUCGGACGUUGCGGAAAAAUAACGGAAAUUCGGAUGGGCUAAGUUGAAGGAAAUUUGGACUUCCAAGCCGAGCAUUUGGGUGUUGAGGGCUUGCAUAAAAUUGUAUAGGAUUUUUCUUCAACAAAAUCGGACCUCAAAUUGGAGAAAUCGGAGAGGAAAUUGAAGCGUAUAUGGUGAAAUUCGUAUGCCAUUUUGGAGGCCGUAUUUUUGGUAUUAAUUUGAGCUAUUUAUGGAUUUAAUUUGCUAGAAAGAAAUAGGGGGAUAAGCCAUUAAUUAAGUGGAUAAUUUGUGUACUUUGUUUUCCCUUUUUCUUUGUUCCAAUCCCCUGGUCGAGCAAGCCAGCUGCUUCCCACCGUCGCCACUCCUUUUUCAUUUCUUUUGGUGCAAUUCCUUCCACGUCAAUCCACUCUUUCCCCUGCGUCUUCAUCUCCAUUUAUCCUCUGCAACCGAAGCCUUUUCCCCCCACCGAAUUCCCAUCUGCCCUCUCUCCUCACGCCACCGAAGCCACUCACCCCCACCAUCCUUGCCUUCUUGCCGAGUCAAUUGCCACACUCAGCGACCGCCAGCUGCCACGUUGAAGCCCAUCUUCCUCCAAGCCCACCGAAGACCCAAGGCCCACGCGUCCAGCAGCACCGAAGCAGGCCAUCCCCUUCGGUCUUCACGCCUGCAGCUCGUUCUUCUCCAAUUUGCUGCUUCACCGCCCACGAUUCCACCGAAGCUGCUCUCCCCAUCUCACGCCAUCGAAGCUUGUCCACCGAGCAGCUCCUUCGGCGUCCAUCUUCUCCAGCUGGCGUUGAUCCCGCAGUCCACCUCAGCUUGGGAAAAUUCAGCCCAACAGCCCAAGCAAGAUCAGCCGUGAAUUUCCAGCCCAGUUCGGUCUUUUCUUCAGCCCACAAGCCAGUGGAGUUCAGCCCAGUGAAUUUCGGCCCACUUGAAGCCCAGCCGCAGCAAGCCCAGUUCAGUUUUUCAGCCUUGGGUCCAGCCCAUUCAAGGCCUAUUCAGUCCAUUUGAAGUCCAGCCCAAAUCAAUAACAAAUCUCAAUUUGGGCUGAGAUUUGUUGGGCCAAUUUUAGGCCCGAUCCAAGCCCAUUGACGCCACCGCAAACUUGAGUUUCAGCUGCCGUCACACCGUCGUCGCAGUGAACCGGUUUCAGCAAUAAACCGAUGAGUUUAUGCACUAAACUCUUCUUAGUAGGCUAAUGACGUUUAAGGGGUGUUUAGUUCAAUUUAAUUAGGAAUUAGGUGGUUAGUUAAAUUAAAUUAGUGAUUUGAUUAUGCAAUUAUGCAUGUUAGGUGGUUAUAUUAGAUUAAGUGAGGCCUAGCUAGAAGGGUUCGGGAAUUUUCCGGGCCCGUUUCGGUGUUUAAUUUAAUGAUUUUGGCCUAGGUUGGUAUUUUUAGAAUUCAAAUUGAAUUAUUUAAUUAAUUUUUAAAAUUAAUUAAUUAUUAAUUAUUUUUCCGAAAAUUAGACUGGGAUAGUCGGUGACCGAAAUUUCGUGCUGAUUGUAAAUUUGAGUAUUUAAUCCAAAGAAUUUGUGAAUUUCCAAUAUUAUUUAGAAAACCUCGGGUGUAGGAUUUUGACACUGAAAAUAAUUUUAUAUAUUAUAUAAAAUAGUUGGAUUUUAAAUUGGGAGAUAUCAAUUUUUUUUUAUUCAAGUUGACCGUGUACUCACACACAACUAUUUUACUAUGUAUUUCUAAUACAAAGAAAAAGGCCAGGUUCACCAUUGUAAUUUAGGUAUUUGAGUGCAAUGCACGGUACCCUGAGCCAUAAUUGAGUGAUCGUGUGUUGGUUAAGAAAACCCAUCCUAGGUUGUUACAGGGUAACAGGAAGCCGGUCGUAGUAGAUUCUAGACCCUAUGCUCCUUCGGGAAAGUCGUCUAAUGGAGACAUGCUGUGCUCAAUGGAGUGAGACGAUGCCUGGCUAUGCCAAAAGACCACCGAACUGAGAGUAAGCCGUGCCAUAUGUCGAGAUCAAACUAGGAAUACAUGAUAAAUUGAGUUGAAUGUGUCGAAUUAUGAGACAAAAUUGUGUGGCGCGGUAUAGAACGUGUCAUAACGAUUUGGCCCUAUAAUCAGGACCCAUCUGCUGAUUUGAGAAUCAAGUGUAGCAUUCCAGUUGUUGGAGCUUAUUUACUACUCAUACUUUUGUGACUGCCUGAGAUGUAAAUUGUACGGACCUGCAGGGUGGAUCUAAGAUGAGGUAAGUCCCUAUAAUUGUGUGAUUGAGUGGUUAGGACACCUAUGGGCGUAUUUCCCUCCUAAUCGGGGUUUAGAGCAUGAACUCACUGAGAUUUAUAUCUCACCCCAUCGUUGGCCAAUUUUUCAAGAUAGUCGAGUGGAGGAACUGGAGUUGAGAGGAGGUGAUCUGAAGUGUAAGUUAGUUAGGACCGCUUCUUUUUGGAAAGCCAGUCUUUAUAGUCUUUUGGUCGUAGACCUUGUGCAUGACUUAGUGUGUAUAUAAAUGUGUGUUUUGUUUGUGAAUUUGUUGUCCUGCUUUUCUACCCCGAGAUGAUUACUGUUAGGGGAUUUAUUUUCGCUUCCGCAUGUGCAAUAAGACAAAAAGGGUCAAUGACUCGCCCUGAGAAAUUGCAAAAUAUUAUCAACCAGAGAGGGAUGGGCACGUGCUCGGGGUUCGGGGCGUGACAUUUUUUCUCCUUUCAUUUUGGCUGGCAUCGAUUGACUUAAAUUGAUUGAAAAUUGUUGACAUAGACGCUAACCAUUUUACGUAGCAUAAUAGACAUAACAUAAAUUCUUAUUUUUUAAUUUAGUCAAAAUGACUUGGUGACUCGCAUGAUCUGAUCGUUGAGAUGUAGUGGGUUCAUGCUCCAAUAAAAAAAGUUUUUGAAAGAUAAAGUCAACAUACGAUUUUAGAGAAUAGCACAUGUACCCCAAGCAAGUAUUUUACGUGGCUAGUACAUAUAUUACUUAAAAUUGAAUCGGGAUUGUCAGGUUUGGAGAACCCACAUGGGAGCCACCCUUUUCAAUGGUCCAAACUAAAUUUAGAAUAUGAACUCACCCCCGUAAACUAAUUUCUCUUUGCAGCCCAUGUGUGUAUACAUAUAUAAAGGUUCGAAUCACUUAGAUCUAUCGUGAAAGAGAGUGCGGGAAAGAAUUUCCUUCUUAAUGGACUCGGUCAUUCGAGCACAAGAAAAGACCUUAUUCGCAUGAAAGUGCUUAGUCACGAUCAUUAUCCUCAUUUCCCUAAACCUGAUGUUCUAAACUAGAGUUAGGUAAGGUCAAAACUCUAGAAUUAAUACGAAACUUAAGCUACAACAUGCGCAUGUGGUCCAAUAAAUCCUAUUUAAAGCCAACUAAAAAAUGUCUAGUCUCAUCCUAUAAGCUUGUCAGGAGAUGCUCCUUAUUCGAGCAUUCCAGUCAUAGCAAACACUCUCCACCCUUGUCAGACCGAAUUGUUACAGGCUCAUAAGCUUCCGCAUGGUUCAUCUCCUAACCACACACCUAUUGGAAGAGGUCUUGCUUUGACAUUAUAAUUGUGACACCCUAAAGUUAAUUCACUUGAGAUAUUGUUGUUGGUUUAUGCAUGUAAAUGGAUGUGAAAAAUGUCUUUCCAAUUUGUUAUAUUAAAGAGAAAGUGUUCAUACAGCAACCAUAAUGAUUUGAAGAACCUAAUAAGAUCAGUUGUGUUUAUUAACUCGAGAAAUCUCUUUAUGGACUCAAGCAAGUUCCCAAGAGCCUGGCAUGAAAGGUUGUAUACUUUUCUUGUUGAAAAAUAUUUUGAAUAAGAAAAAGUUGAUACAACUUCAUUAUGCAAAAGAAAGAUCAUAUUCAGCUUUUAGAUAUAUAUUGAUGAUAUCAUCUUUGGAUCUAUUAAUAAGUUAUUUGCAAAGAAUUUGCUAAUAUCAUGCAAAACAAGUUUGAAAUAAGGACGAUGGGGAAACUAAACUUCUUUCUUGAACUACGACUCAAACAAACCAAAGUUUUUUUUUUUUUUUUUUUUGGUAAAAGGUAAGUAGUAAAAACAAACCAAAGUUGGCACUUUCACAUUUCAAGAAAAGAAACGCUUGAGAAUUAGUGAAGAAUUUUGGGAUGGAAACAUGAGAAUUGAUACACCAUUGCCUUCAUCAACCAAAUUUGACAAGGAUGAGAAAUGUAAGUUUGUCAAUCCUAAGCUAUAUAAGAGAAUGAUAGGAUCAUUAUUGUACUUGAUAGCAUUUAGAACUGAUAUUUUGUUUUGCUUAUGUAUGUUCGCUCGUUUCUAAUCUAAUCUUAAGGAAUUGCAUUUGACUGUUGUACAGGGUAUCUUAACAACUCAUAGUUCACAAAAUUGACAAAAAGAGCACCUCUGGCAAUUCUCAAAUAAUGAAUUGCUGCUCGUUUUGUGAUUUUCAAAGAAGUGAAAUUCAAUAACCCUUGCAAUUGCUGAAGCUGAGUAUGUGGCUCUAGAUAGCUGCUGUAACUUUUGCAAAUGAAGCAGCAACUAAGGAAUUUUGGUGAGGAACAAUCGAACAUAUGCAUUAUGUGUGAUAGCACCAACGUGAUUAAUUUGACUGAGAAUCCAAUCAUGCAUUUGAGGGCUAAGCAUAUUUCAAUCCGUCAAUGUAUAUAGCUUUUAUUUCUAUUUACACUACUGACAUCUACAUAUUACGUAUGCUGUAGCUCCUCAAUCCACUCGAAUUUCUCAGUCAUGCUAUCGUCGAUCCGAAAUACGUCUAAUGUCAUCAGCCAUCAGAGCUUCAAGUCUGUGUAAGAAUAUGAACAAAGGGAAUCCGACAGAAGAGAUUCAAGAUUGCAUAUCCAAUGCCGUCCAAUACCUCGAAAGCGUACAAAUGACAGAUGAAUCAUGGUACAUAUGCUCAUCUUCUCUUAUGGUUAAUCAGCAUGGAUAAUUCAAGACAAGCAGGCAAGAUGACCCGAGCAUACGUGCAGGUAUGAACAACGGGAAGUUUGUUUUACACAUUCCACGAGGUUUGCGCUCGCGGCACUUGCAGCCGCCGGCAAAAAGCUACGAGAAUCAUGCUGCUACUCGAAAAGGCGAAGCUUUUCUCCUUUGGACACAACCAGAGGAUGGUGAUGGGGGGAGAGCUACCUUUCUGUCGGCACAAGUUUGUAGGUCUCGAUCAAUCAUUUUGAGUCACGUUGCUAACAAGAACCGAGAUACCCUUUUUAGCAAAAUUGCUCCUUCGACUCCUGGCACAGUCUCCAUAGAGAAACGAUACGUGUCCCGUAUCAUAGACACUUGCCAUUAUUUGCUCAACCAAGAGGAUAAUCUAACGGACGAUGAUGCGCCGUCAGCUCCGGCGUUGACCAAGAAAAUCGAACGAACUCUUCACAAAUUAACGUGCGAAACUUGCAUGUUACAUCAAAACACACGGGAUCGUGUUGAUCGAAUCUUACACGUAAGCGGACCGAAUGGAGUAGCGAUCUGGUUUUUUGCAUUCAUUAACGUUGACUUCCACUUCGGCGAGUUCUGUCUAACCAUUUCGCUAUUUACCUUGUGGGCUGCUGCAUCUUGCGGUUCCUUUAAUUAUCAUCGCUUUCCGCGCCUGAAGGACGGUUGACCAUUGAAAAAUUAACUAAUAUAACUCAGUUCCACACUCAUCAUAGACGACAAAUUUGACUACCAUUUUCGGAUCGCUUUAUUUCGGCCACCUAAUUUUGUGAAUUUCUUGUGAGACUCGCAUGAUAUGAUGGUGGGGAUGGUCAGCUCCAUUAGCAUCAUAGUUGACAAAUUUCACUGCCAUUUUUAGACUCUUUCAUCUCGCUCACUUAAUCACGUGAAUUUCGCAUGAACUUGCAUGAUCUGAUGGUUCGGAUGGAGUGAGUUCACAUGCAUUUGGUGCAUGCAAUGCUCCUUCCGUUAGAAAGAGUCUUGGAAAGGAAAAAUCAACAUACGAGUCUGCCCCAUUAUGUAAUAUUAGAUAUUGGAUUGGACUGUUUGAACCAUCAAAUCUAAAGAAUACCACAUGUAGCCAAGCAAGUAUUUUAUAGGCUAGUACAUACAUUAAUUAUAAUUGAACUGGGAUAGUCAAAUUUGGAGGAGCCUUAUGGGACUUACCAUUUUCAAUCGUCCAAAUUCAAUAUAGAAUAUGAACUAACACUCAUACAUUAAUUUCACUUUGCAGCCCAUGUGUGUAUAUAUAUAAUGGUUCAAAUCACAUAUUUAAAGAGAACAAUUUCACUAAAAGAAUAAAAUAAAAAGGAAAGAAAAAGAAAACAGUAAGUAAGUAAAUAAAUAAAUAAAAACUACCUAAUUUUCCCUUUUCCUUCCAAGCUUCGUGUUCGUGGCAAGUCACCAAAGCAGAGGAUCGGAGGUCCGGCAGGGGACACGAAACUUAAGCCACAGCCUGUGCAUAGAGUCCAACAAAUCCUCUAUAAAACCAGCUCAAACAUGUACAACCUCCUCCACAUUACUCAUCAAAAAUGGCUUCCAGCAACAAUCAUAUCCUUCUCUUUCUCUUCUUCUCCUUUCUGUCUCUCCUCCAAAUUAACUCAUGCAUGGCCCAAAACGUCAAAGGAGGCUAUUGGUUCCCGAACAGCGGCAUCACAGCCUCCAACAUCAAUUCGACCCUCUUCACUCAUCUCUUCUGCGCGUUCGCUGACCUCGAUGCAUCGACAAACCAGGUAGUCAUAUCGUCGACGAACGCCCAGACUUUCGCAGCCUUCACUAGUGACGUCCAGCAGAAGAACCCAUCGGUCGAAACCCUCCUGUCCAUUGGCGGUGGCAGCUCGAAUGCGACUGCCUUUGCGGCCAUGGCGAGCCAGUCUAGCUCCCGAAAGAGUUUCAUCGAUUCCUCCAUAGCCCUCGCUCGGUCCAACGGCUUUCAUGGCCUUGAUCUUGAUUGGGAAUACCCGGACACUGAUGAGAAGAUGACCAACUUGGGGUUGCUCCUCCAGGAGUGGCGGACCAUGGCGGCUGCUGAGGCGGCCAGCUCGGGCAAGGAUGCUUUGCUUUUGUCGGCGGCAGUCUAUUACUCGCCGCACUACUGGUCCCAUGCGGAUUAUCCUGUGGCUGCCAUGGCGGCGAGCUUGGAUUGGAUCAAUGCAAUGUCCUAUGAUUUCUUUGGACCCGGUUGGUCCUCCACCACAGGACCACUUGCUGCUCUCUAUGAUCCAGGUAGGGUGGCAACUUUGACUUGUUUUUUUGGGUAAUAAACUUUAACUAUUCUGAGGCACAACGGAGUUUUCUUAAUUUUUUGUAUCGUGACUUUGAAUUUUGUUACCUCAAUGUCAAAAGAAUCACAGCAUGGUCUCCCAUUCAAAGCAUACUGUGUCAUUCCACGAGUAAUUAACAUGAACAUUUUUGUUCAUUUAAUAUCCUUCACUUGUGCUUAUCAAACUCGCAAUUUUCUUGAUAUAUGCUGCAUCUGAAAUCAUCGGUCCUUUUUAAUUUCAGGGAACGGCAUAAGUGGAGACAUCGGGGUGAGAGCAUGGAUUCAGGCCGGCAUGCCAGCGGAGCAAAUUGUGCUCGGCUUCCCCUUCUAUGGGCACGCAUUCGUCCUCUCAAAUGCCAACGAUCACAGCUACUUCGCACCCUUCACUGGGCCGGCAAUAUCCUCCGAUGGGACAAUCGUGUACAAUAAUAUCAAGAAAUACAUAUCCCAAAACAGCGCGACCACGGUAUACAACUCCACGGUUGUGUCCGCCUACUGCUAUUCCGGGACAACAUGGAUCAGCUACGAUGAUACACAAACCAUCUCUACCAAGGUCGUGUACGCCGGGGAAAAAGGACUUAAAGGUUACUUUGCAUGGCACGUUGCUGGUGAUGACGACUGGGUUCUCUCUCAAACAGGUGAAUUUACGAGAUUCGUGCUAUACACCAUAUGCAAAGUCUAGCCCUAAUCACAGUUACAUAGAGUAUAAUCAACCGAACCUAAGCGAAAAUCUAAUAAUGUUCUUGUCUUUUUAGAUCAAAUCUAAUAAUGUUCUUGUCUUUUUAGAUCAAAUCUAAUAAUGUUCUUGUCUUUUUAGAUCAAACUUGUAUUACAUACUUUGUCAUUUAGGGAAAAAUAUUUUCUUUGUUUUCUUUAAUGAAGUACAAGAGCGCGAAGGAAAAAGCAAUAUCUACCUAACCUCUCUGUGAACAAGGGAUAGUAAUGGAUAUAGAUGUUAAGCUCUAAAAAUAAGUGCAUGCUUCAGACCGACGCCAUUUUAUUUAAUUUAUAUUGGUCACGUGGCUUAGAUCAUUUUCUCCGAAGAGAUGGUUGCAUUAGUGAAGCCAAAAGUCUAUUACGUCAAUACAUGGUCAACUCAGUAUUUGUUUUCAAAACUUUCCAAGAUUCGGUUCUACUUCGUCGUAUCCAUUCGUUAUUUACUCUCUUCAUGCUGUCGUUGGAGAUGAAGUCAAACUUUCUAGAUUAGUUGACCAAUUUAUUUAUCACAGCCUAAUUCUAAUUCCUUCCAAUUUUCAACUUCUUGUUGCAGCUUCAGAUGCGUGGUGACUUAGACGACGUCAGAGGAGACAUUUUCUACAGAUACUGAUUGAAGUUCAGACCAAUAAUGUAAUGGAAUUAUAGUCUCCAUCCCACAAUGUCAUGUAUUCCUUAGAGAACAAUAAAGCAAAGAUUCUUUUCUUUUUCCCCCCUUCUUUUGUUCUUCUCAUCUUAUAAGACGAAACGAUGUGGUAACUUGAGAGGAUCGAUCAAAUGUCAAAUAUGCUCUUAAAAAUCGUGUAAGAAAAAGUAGUAGUAAGGGUACGCUUUACAAAAUACAGGUUUUAUUCCUUAGAAAAGGAGAUGAGAACGGAGAUUACCACUGGAGUAGAGAUAAACAUUCCUCCUGGAAUGCUCAGUUUGUACGAAUGCUGAUUUCAAAAGGUGUACUGAUUGGGAUGAGAAAGAGGCGGAUCUAUUGUCUCCUACUUUAAUCUCAUCUAUAAUCUCCGCGGACGAAACGAAACGGCGAUGUGUAGACGUUUCAUUUUGUAUUUACCCGGCCACCUCUCCUCUCUCUUCCAUCCUCUACCCAGACCCACACCCCAUCUGCCGCAGCCUCCAUCCUGCCGUUGCCAUCGUCGACAAUCACUAUCAUAUUGCCAUCGCUAUGCUCAAUGACAGAGUUUCCUCCCUUCGUUUUCGUCUCUAUGACCGUCCCUCUCUCUCUCUCUCUCUCUCUCUCUCUCUCUCUCUCUCUCUCUCUCACACACACACACACACACACACACAAACACACACACACUUAUGCGUAAACUCAACACCGCUAUCAAGCUAAUGGCCGAUUGGUCGAGCUUAAUAUGGCGUCAAGCUCGCCCUAGAUCGUAAUUGUAACUCUAAAAGGAGCUUUAGACUUGAUCAUGGUUUUGACUGUUAGUAGAAAAAAUGUGUUUAAAAUGGAAAGGAAAAUAAUGUAUCAAAAUAAUCAGCACGGAAAACAGAAAAUGAUUUGAGAAGAAUGAUUGUUUAGAGUGCGUUUGGUAAUAUUUUUAUUUUUGAAAAUAAUUUCUGUUGAGAAAUAACUUUUUUUCAUUUUUAUUUCCUAGACGAAUUUCUAAAUAGAAUAACUUGUUUGUUACAAUUCUCAAAUUUUUUAAAGACAUGCAAAUUUUUUAUAUUUUAAUAAUUUCCUAAGAUUAUACUAAUGUUUUUGAAGUUUUUCUUUUCUUUUUUUUCCUCCCUUCUUCCUCCUCUAGUCGAUUGUCGAGCCUCGGCUGUGACAUCCGCAAUUUUGACCUAUGAGAAAUGGCCAUGGAAUCAAUGCGCCGAUAAUGGGGAUUGGCCAUGGACCAAUCUAAGGAUUGAUCAUGAACCGAUCGACCUAAUCAAGAGGACUACUAAAGGAUCAGCCAUGGCUUGAUUGAAGGAUUGACCAUGGGCUGAUCAAGGGAUCGGCAGUGCGUUGAUCCACUAAUCACGCAAGUUGACUCGAGCUAUUUGGCUGUGGAUCAAUCGCUCAACCAUAAGGGUUGGUCAUGGAUUGUAACAACCCUAACUCCAUCUCUAGAGUUUUGAGCAGUUGGGGUUAUUUUUGUGAGGUCCUAGACUUGUCGCCGUCCUAAUUCUUUUUAUCUUGUAAAUAAACACAUGUGGAAAUGUGAACAAACAAACUUCCCAAACAAAUAAUAGUUGCAAGACUAGGACAUAUAUCACACAGAAUAUAUUACUUUAUAUUACAACAGUACAUUUACAAGCUCUUCUUUCCUUUUUGUAUCACCCUAUAAGUUUUCACAUAUGACAAGGGAAUUCCUAUCUCCUCUAGCUUGACUGUAGUUCUCAAAACUGACAUAAGCCUAAAAGAUAGUAGAGUGAGUUGGGGAACUUAAUAAGUAAAAUUCCUAAUUCUCUACUAGAAAAACAUCAUAUUAUCGAAGUCUAGUAAGUACAACACUUGCAAACAGUGUUGAUGACGGAUCAAUAGUGGCAUGCCUUGACUAAAUACAUGAUGUCCAUAUAAAACUACCAUCAACUUAAAAAUGAGCACAUCAACGCAUUAUACUCAUGCAUAUACCGGCAUGCAUAAAAUGAUUCUUUUACCAUCAUCCCGACUCGACCAAGUCCUCCUAAUUCGAUUGAGCCUUCUUAGGGCUAACUUUCCAAGACUUCUUGGUUCAAGAUCCAAGCAUCUUGACUUAACUAGGGUGUCCCGUUUAAUGAAGGAGGUAUCGUGUUAAUGCUAUCUGGUGACAAAUGUUUCUUCCUCUUCAAGUGCACACAUAAGUGCGUCACACAUGCUGAUUCUUAUCUUUUCUUUUUAGCCGACUUGUACAUGAUCCGAAGGCGUGCUCACUCAUUCGUGUGUGCCAUAAAUCAUUUUAUUGCACUAUAUAACAUGUUGGGAAUGAUCCUUAAUUUGUGACUUGAAUCGAUCACUCAGCGCUGAUCGCCGCAUUGGAUAAGGCUUGGAAACGACAUACCUCAAUGUUGACCUAAGACCUUGAGACUUUGUUAUACCUUACUUCGUGAAGAUCCUAAGUUUGACAUAUCUUGGCUUCGACCCGAUAUGAAUAUACUUCAUGCUGUGAAUGACUCUUGGUUUGUGGCUUGAUUCAAACAUCAAGCACAAAGUCUUCACAUCAAUCAAGACAUAAAAUCGGCACUCUUUAAUACCUUACUAAGACCUUGUGUCACACCCCAAUCCUCGAGUGUGUGCCCAUCCCUCACUAAUCGAUUAAAUGUAACGUUCUAGGACGAGUCACCGACCCAUUCAUUUUAAUGCGCAUACGGAAGCAACAAUAUAAAUCCCCAUACAACAAUCAGAUGGGAUAGAAAAGUAUGACCAAUUUUUCAAACCAAAACAAACCUUUUAUAAACAACCAGGUUUAUUUACAAGACCAGACCAUUUACAAAAAGGUUGACUCAUUCCAAAUGGAACUGUCCUAUGACCUACUAAUCAGACAUAUUCGCCGAUUCUUCGAUCUCCACCUUCCCAGACUUCGUGGCUUUCGGUCCUCCACUAACACAAUCUAAGGACCUGAAAAUGGUUAUACAAUAACCAAUGAGACAAUGUCUCAGCAAAUUCAACCCUCUAAGACUCGAUUAGGAAGCUAAUAUGCCAUAAGGGCUGGCUAUGCACAACACGGGUCAGAGGAUUUACCUUGGUGUCAGAUUCCACCUACAAUUCAACACAGUUUGAAUAGGCACCCAAUCAAUCACCACAAAUCAAAACAUUGAUCAAUCGACCUAGUCGAUUACAUGUCAUCACGACCCUUUCUUGGUCGACUCAUCUCAUACUAUCUAUAAAGUCCACUUAUAUCAGGACUGCUUAUUGCUAAGCUGAUAAAUAGAUAGUAUAGCUUGCUUUUGAGAUGAUUUGGUACACUGCUCUCUGUUAAGCUGCCCUCUGCUAAGCUGCCAUAUUGCCCGUAGGCUGAUAUAGUAUACCGACAUUACUCAAUCUAAGCUGAUAAGAUAUAUUGCUCUCUACUAAGCUGUCAUAUCGCCCGUAGGUUGAUAUAGUACACCGAUAUACUGCUCUCUGCUAACUUGACAUAUCGCUCGUGUGUUGAUAUAGUAUACCCUUCCAAACAUGCAUCAAAAUCAAUCUUUUUAUCAUUCCCAAUAAAAAUAGCCGUGUGUAGGUACACAGUUGGGCUUAGCCAAAAUACAAUAAUUUUGCUUUAGAACAUCCCACCAGUUUCAAUAGCCUAUAAACACAUUUUUGGCGCUGUAAACCGGCGCUCGGUAAUUUUUCAGUUAAUUACCAAAAUUUAUUAAUUUAGGAAAUAAAUCCUAAAAUCACAAUUAAAUCAAUUCAGGACAAAUUAAAGCUCGAAUAAAUAAACAGACUGCACCACAGUAAUUAGCAUAAAAUUUCGGUCAUCGACUAUCCUGAUCUAAUUUCUGGAAAUAAAUAAUUAAAUAAUUAAUUACGAAAAUUAAUUAUUAAAUAGCAAUAAAUCCAACUUAGGCCCAUAAUGCCUAAUUGGACGCCGAAACGGACCCGGAAAAUUCUCGAGACUCGUUCAAUAAAUACUAUAGUCUAUUUACUUGCUAAUUGCACUAACUAACUGUUGGAGAAAACUUCCUUAUUUGUUUUGAAGUUGACAAAACGUUUCCAUCAGUCUAGUCUAAAAGACUUGCAAACUCUGUCGUCAAAAUCUGAAGACCUCUAGACUCAAGAUUUAAAGUCUGCCCUCAUUGACAGUUUCCAGACCGAAGAAAGGAAGUAUUAUCCGUUGAAGAAGACUUAUCCAGAUGCGGGUAUAUCUUUAAGGAUUUGGUUUGUGCGGUUGAAGAAGAUCUCACGACUAGAGAUUGCAUCUCGAGAUCUAUUAUUCGUAUUGAAAUUAAUUCGAGUAUGUUAGAUUCGUUGAUUGGCGAAGUAUACUUGGAAGAUUUUACUUAAGGAAACCUAGAUCCUGAUUGUAUGGGCGAGCAACAUUGGUGGGCUAUCAUCACAUUCCUUAAAUAACUUAAGAUCUUCCUAAUUGAUUCUAUCCAACGGGUUGAUUGGAAGAACUCCUUUGGAAGAUGCCAACGGUUAUAAAGGCAUGAAGGAGUAUAUAAGGAGGAUGCUCAAGUUAUUCGAAUGUGUGCGUGAAAGAAAAAUUCCAAAGUCUAAAGCUUUCAAUUCUUCAUUAUUUCAACUAUUGAAGCUUUUCUUGUAUUCAAAAAAGAGAUUAAAUACUUGUGAGACCUUGAGAAAAAGUGUAGUAGAGUCUCUACACUGUGAAAUCAAGGACGUGAGGCUGUAAAAUCUCUUUUGAUUCAUAGUGGAAUCCAGCCGGUGGGCUGUUAGUGCGGGAGAGUGGACGUAGGCUUGGUCUAAGCUGAACCACUAUAAACUUUGUGUCUCAAUUCUCUUUCCCUUAUCACCUUACUUUAAAAUUGCAACUUUAUACUUCUGCCUUUAGUUCUUUACACCUUCAGCUUAUUACGCUUAAAAAUUAAUUUUGUUAAAAGAUUCACAAAAAUUUCUUUGAUCACCUAUUCACACCCUUCUAGGUGUUCAUACUAGCUAUAUCAAUUGUUAUCAAAGCGAGUGUGCUCAUUUGUUUGAAGUGUUUUUACUUCUGAGUUAAAGAUCCAUGGCUAGUAUGUUGGCUCCAAGUUUGGUUGUGGGCUAAAGCAACACCAGACCACCUUAUUUCGAUGGAAAUAAAUACAACAUAUGGAUAAACAAGAUAAAGACAUUCCUAAGAUUGAAAGACCCUCUAGAAUAGAAUGUGGUAGAAAAAGGAAUCAUUCCUAAAACUACAUCAGUCUCAGAGAGGGGAAAAGAAGUUGCAGUGGCUAGCGAGAUGACUCAAGAAGAAAUAACUAAGAGACAAGCCCUUGAUGCAUAAGCAAUUUACUCUUUAUAUUGUGCAUUGUCUCCUACUGAGUAUAACAGAAUAUCUUCCUGUGAAACAGCCAAAGAAGUCUAGGACAGGUUGCACAUUACCUAUGAAGGAAUUGAUCGAGUAAAAGAGACAAGGAUCAAUAUUAUAUUCGGACAGUAUGAAGCCUUCAAGAUGAAGCCAGGAUAAUCUAUUACUGACAUGUUUCGUCGUUUUACAGAAAUUGUAAAUGGUCUAGAAUAUCAUGGAGAACCAAUCUCAGGACACAUGAAGGUUAACAAGUUGCUGCGUGGACUCUCUAAAGACUGGAAUCACGUAAAGACCUCGAUAAGGGAAACACAAAGGAUCAUGCCACUUUAUGUAAACGAAUUUGUUGGCACACUUCAAUCCUAUGAAGUGGAGCAAAUCAAUGAAGAAGAAGAUCUCAAAGGUAAGAAAUCAAUUGCUUUGAGAUCUAAUGAUGAUUUUAAUAUUACAAACUUUGAAGAUGACAUGGAUGAUGAAGAGAUAGCCCUUAUGAUAAAAAGGUUCAGGAAACUGAACAAAAAGGGAAAAAGAUUCAAUUGGAAGAAACAAAGCACUCAAAAGUUUCAAAACAAAUCAACUGAGGAUGAUGAAUCCAAUAAAGAUAUGAUCUGUUUUGAAUGCAAGAAAAAUAGACACAUCAGACCCAACUGUCCCAUGUUGAAGAAAAAGAAAGGAAAAGCUGAGAAAUACAGGAAGGCUCUCAAGGCAGAGACAUGGAAUGAUACUGAAUGUGAAGAAAUUGACGAAGAUUAUGCCAAUAUAUGUCUAAUGGCAAAAUCAGAAUCAGACUCAAACUCCGAAAUAGAUACAGACUCAGACUCAGAUAGUAAAAUUGAGGUAAGUAAUUUUAAAAUCCCUACUAAAGUCUCUAAAUAUAUUGAUGAACUGUGUCUUAGUCUCAAAACUUCUCUCAAGAGGAUUUCCGAGUUACAAAGGGAGAAUUUUGCACUGAAACAACAAGAAAUUUUAUGGAAAGAAAAGUUUGAAAAUUUAGAUAAAAGCUUUGUUACAUUAAAAGAAAAUGCAGACUCUCUUUCCAAAGAAAAUAAGUUUUUGAAAAAUGAAAUUUCAAAUAUUUCAAAGAGAUUUUCUAUAGGAUCUGAGAAAUUGUAAAAGAUUCUUUCAGUAUAAAAACCUUACUUUAACAAAUCAGGUUUGGGAAUGACUUAUGAAAUUAUUCCUCUAAUUGAUUUUCCAAAAGUAAAAGAAAGAAUUAAAUAAAGGCCUACAAAAACUUUUUACAUAAAUCAUUUUUAAAAAGUUUUUGUAAAACCUGUUAGUCGAAGUGCUCUCAAAUAUUCUAAGUGCAAUAGCUCUAAACACUUUGAAAAAGAAUGUCCUAUGGCUUGGAGACUUGUUAAGAAGGAAUGGGUAAAUACUGCUUAUGGCACUAACUCAUCUGGACCCAAGAAAAUGUGGGUACCAAAGAAAGCUUGAGUUUCUUUUUUAAUUACAGGUCACUAUCAAGAAAAAUGUCAAAUGGUAUUUGGAUAGUGGCUGUUCAAGGCAUAUGACUGGAGACUCAAGUUGUUUUAUAAAGCUUAUGCAACUUAAUGAUGGAAAAGUCUCUUUUGGUGGAAACGGCAAAGAAAAAAUUGUUGGAUGUGGAACAGUAAAAAUUGGAAGUUUCACAAUCAAUAACGUUUCCUUAAUAGAAUGACUCAAUUACAACUUGCUGAGUAUCAGCUAAUUGUGCGACAGUGGAUUCGAGAUCAACUUUCAAGAAGGAAUAUGUUCGAGAACUAGUAAAGAUCUUUCACAAUCUUUUACUGGACAAAGACAUGGGAACAUCUAUCUUCUGGAUAUAAAACCAGAUAAGUCUCAAUAUCUAAUUUCAAUACAAGAUAAAGCAAACCUUUGGCAUUGAAAGCUUGGGUAUGUCAAUAUGAAGCAGAUUGCCAAGAUCUCUUCUAAGAAUCUUGUUCGAGGGCUGCCCAACUUGAAGUUUCAAAAGUCUGACUUAUGCACACCAUGUGCAUUGGGAAAACAUGUUAGAAGUUCUUUUAAACCAUUGAAUUAGGUUUCUACUAAUCACGUUUUGCAGCUUCUGCAUAUGGAUUUCUAGGACCAACUAGAACUAGAAGCAUAGGCGAAAAGAGAUACUGUCUAGUAAUUGUUGAUGACUACUCACGAUUCACCUGGGUUUACUUUCUAGCAAGUAAGUCCGAAGCUUUUUCUUACUUUUCAAAGUUUGUUAAGAAAGUUCAGAACGAGAAAUGAUAUGCUAUUUCAAGCAUACAGACUGACCAUGGAGGUGAGUUUGAAAAUCAAGACUUUGCUAAAUUCUGUGAUGAAUCUAGUUUUCAGCAUAUGUUCUCCUCUCCAUACACUCCAGAACAGAAUGGAGUUGUGGAAAUGAAAAAUAGAUCGUUGCAAGAAAUGACUAGAACACUUUUAAUAGAAAGUAAUAUUUCUUUUCGUUUUUGGGCUGAAGCAAUUUUUACAGCAUGUUAUAUCGUUAACAGAGUUUUCUUAAGGCCUAUUCUGGAGAAAACUUCCUAUGAGUUCUUCAAAGGAAAGAAGCCAAUUGUUUCCUACUUUCAUGUGUUUGGUUGCAAAUGUUUUGUAUUGAAAAAUGCAAAUGAUCAAAUCGAUAAGUUUGAAGAAAAAUCAGACGAAUGAAUCUUCCUUGGAUAUUCAACCUCCAACAAAAAGCUUACAGAGCAUACAACAAGAAGACUCAAUCUGUGGAAGAAUCGAUGAAUGUUAAAUUUCAGGAUCUUAUACAAAAUCAAUCGAUCCAGACUCAACCUAAAGAAUCUGAACUUGUUCCAGACUCUAUAAAGUCUAACUCCCCAGAAGCAGCUCAGACUUUUGAAGGUUAACAACGAACGGAUGUUGAAGAAUCAACUGAAGAAAAAGUUCAGCAGUUUAUCAGACCAACCAGCAACUGGAAGCACAAGUCCAGUCAUCCCAAAGAACUCAUCAUUGGUGACAUUGAUGAAGGGAUUCAUACAAGAUCUAAAAGACAUGAAGAGUCUAGCGGUGUGGCUUUUAUUUCUGAAAUAGAACCCAAAAGUAUAGAAUAAGCUUUAACUGAUGAAAGCUGGAUUGAAGCUAUACAAGAAGAGCUCAGGCAGUUCAGUAUUAAUGAUGUUUGGGAAUUAACUCCUAACCCAAAAGGUAAAUCUAUUAUUGGAGCUAAAUGGGUUUUAAAGAAUAAGAUGGAUGAAAAAGGAAAAGUUGUAAGGAACAAAGCAAGACUCAUGGCCAAAGGAUAUACGCAAGAAUAAGUGAUAGACUAUGAUGAGAUUUACGCACCAGUAGUAAGGUUAGAAGUAAUUAGAUUAUUACUUGCUUUUGCUUGUUAUAAGAAUUUCAAGUUAUUCCAAAUGAAUGUCAAAAGUGCAUUUCUGAAUGGAUUUAUCUAAGAAGAAGUCUAUGUGGAACAAUCUCCCGGUUUCAAAGACCCAAAGAGACUAGACUCAGUAUUUAGACUAAAAAAUGCUCUCUAUGGUUUAAAACAAGCACCUCGAGCUUGGUAUGACAGGUUAAAAAAGUUUUUAAUGAAAAAUGGUUUUGUCAAAGGAAAAAUGGAUACUACAUUGUUUAAUAAAAGGGAAGGUAAAAACUUUUUACUUGUUCAAAUUUAUGUUGAUGAUAUUGUAUUCGAAUCAUCUAAUGAAAACAUGUGCAAGAAAUUUUAUAAGCCUAUGCAGGAUGAAUUUGAGAUGAGCAUGAUGGAUGAAUUAUCCUUCUUUCUCGGAUUACAAGUAAAACAAUUGAAGAAAUGAAUCUUCAUUCAUCAAGAGAAAUAUAUAAAAGAACUUAUUAAAAAGUUUGGAUUGGAGAAUUGCAAAAAGACUGAGAUACCAAUGUCUAGUUCUUCGAAUUUGGAUAAAGAUGAAGAAGGAAAGAAAGUUGAUCAAAACUUUAUAGGAGUAUUAUUAGUUCACUUCUUUAUCUUACUACUUCUAGACCUAACAUUUUGUUCAAUGUUUGUAUUUGUGCUAGAUUUCAAUCUGAUCCAAAAGAGUCUCAUCUAAGCGCCGCAAAACGCAUCAUCAAAUACAUUGCAACUACUUCAAAUAUGGGUCUAUGGUAUCCUAAAGAAUGAGACUUUACCCUCCUUGGGUAUCCAAACGCAGACUUAGCAGGUUGCCGAGUGGAUAGAAAGAGCACAUCUAGUACAUGCCAAGUGCUGGGAAACAGGUUGGUAUCUUGGUUCUCAAGAAAGCAAAGCAUUGUAGCUCUUUCAACAGCAUAAGCAGAAUAUGUGGCUCUUGGAAGUUGUUGCUCUCAAAUCCUAUGGGUAAAACAAUAACUGAGAGACUUUGGAAUUAAAGAUUCGUGUACCAAGAUCAAAUGUGACAACACCAGUGCAAUUAAACUCACAAGGAAUCCAAUUCUUCAUUCAAGAGCAAAACAUAUAGAAAUUCGAUAUCACUUUAUUAGAGAUCAUGUUCAAAAUGGAGAAGUUAUGAUUCAAUUCAUUGACUCAAAGAAUCAACUGGCGGACAUAUUUACAAAGCCUAUUUGAGUCUAUUCGCACCAGAUUGAACAUCACAUCUCUUAUCCAGUAAAGUCUGGACGUGCUCAAGACUCAAAGAUAAAGUCUGAAGAUAUUCAGACUCAAAAGACCAAGAGUUACGACUGUAAGUUGCUCUUUUUUCAAUAUUUUAAACUUGAAAAGGUACGGUUAUUUAUUAAUUGCUAAUUGAAAUUAUCUUUCCAAGUUUCUCUUUUUCAAAAAGGAAGUUAUCAAUUUUGAAAAGACAGUUUUUUUCAAAAAGGGAAGUUAUUCAUUUUUAAAAAGGUAUUUUUAUUUUCCUUUUACGAUGUUUUGUUUACCUCGCUUCACUUGCUUUAUAUACUGCCAAGACUCGUCUUCUUCGUUUUUACAUGGAAACCCUAUGAUACAAAAUUCAUAUUUGCUUUCACUUUCACUCUUGAUCUGUUAAAAAAAUUUCACCUUUUUUCAAGCAAGUUUGUGAAUUCCUACAUUGGAAGAGACAAUGUCUUCGAGAAAAUCAUCAAGGAUUACAAGCAAGGGACCAUGACAUAUGCCCAAGGGUCCUACCCACUUCGACUUGACUGAAGAAGAAGUUCCUACUCGUCAACAGCAACAAAAUCAGCAACAACCUUCUCAGCAGCGUCAAACUCCACCACCGACUCAUCUAGAAGAAGUUUUGGAAGAAGCGGAACCUAUAAGAACGUUAACUCCUAAAGUCACUUUCAAACUCUAUUCUAAUCUAAAAAGAGGAGGAACUCCUAUGACAUUGAUUGAUGAAUACUUGAAAUAGAGGGGGUAUAAGAACGAGACUCUAUUUUUGCGUGACAUGGAAAAGAUGGGUAUCGGCGAAAAGGGUUUGGCUGAAAAAGCCUUUGCUAAUUUUCCUAGUGAUCCACGAAUGGGGACUGCUGAUCAACCUCAAGGACUGGAUGAUGAUGAAAGAAUGUUCAGCCUAGAAUGGGAGUGGCUGAAAAUAUUACUGAUGGUUCUAAUCUGUUCAGAUCAAAGAACCACUAAAGGGUUUAUUUGAAUCUGCUGAAGAGAGGGGUUAUGCACCCAAGGACUGUUGAUUUUGAUUCCUUGAUUUAGUGAAAAUAAAUCUGCGAAAGAAGUUUGCUGCCCUACAGUUGGAGCACUUUUGUUCUAAAUCCACUACUACUUAUACUGAACUCACUGCAUACUUUUAUUCGAAUUUAUCGUUUGUGGAUGCAAAUAGCUUCUCUUUUACUGUGAGAGACAAGGUGUUUUUGGUGGAUAUGGAUACUUUGGCUGAUCUAAUUGGGGUGGAAAGAGGAUGUUUCCGACCAUUUAGUGUACCUCUUGCUCAUGCUACUCAGUCAUUGGUGAAAGACAAGGAUGCUGAAGGCAAGAUAUCCUAUUCUAGGAUGAAUGCUAGAGGUGUUAAAUGGGUCCACAAACCCAUUUAUAGAACCAUCUUUACUUAAAUGGGUCGUUAAUGGGUCGGCCUUAUUUCUCAAGACACUCGUUAGUGGGUUUUAAAAAUAGAAGGACUAAAUUACGUGGGUCUUAAAUGGGUCUAUUUUGUACCCAUUUAAGACCCAUUCCCCAACCCAUGAACCAGUAGGCAGUCCAGUAACCCACGAAUACGAUUCCUUUUCGCUUUCGAUUCGCCACCAGUGCGCCACCUCCACCAUCGCCCGUCGCCGCUCGCCGCCGCCCAUCGUCACCUCGUCGCCUCGUCGCCGCUCGCCACCGCCCAUCAUCACCUCAUCGUCGCUCGCCAUCGCCCCGCCGCCGCCCAUCAUCGCCUUGUCGCCACGAUCAGUCUCGCGGAUCAGCUGGACUAAAACCCUAAAAGCAGCACUCGUCUGCUCGUCGCGAACGACUCGCGGAACCAUCAUCGGAGGAUAGAGCCGCUUGGUUCAGGUAAUCCGUCUGAACACGCAUUCGUGGAUUUCAUUUAUGUUGAGCUAUCGUCGUUGAAGAGGGUGUGCAGGUAUAUAGAUGUUCUUGAUCGCGGUCUGCCUCGUGGGUUUAUGACUAGGGAGCGUUUAACUGAAAUGAUAUUUGGGUUUUGCGGGAAUCUGGAUUUGGAACAGAGCAUGGUUUAAGAGCAUUGCUGAUUAGCUAACCUUUGUGCUUAUGUUUUAUGGACAUUGUGUUUCAUGGUCGGUAUGGUAGAAAGAGAAGAUGGGUUUGUUGGGUAGGAGGACAAAAUGAUGCUGCCUACGUUUUGCCCAAUUUUAUUGAGAUAAUCUCGAGGUAGCCUUAGCGAGCAAUGCUUAGAGAUAUUGAGCAGUGUUUCUCGCUUCUGACUUGGCUUCCAUGAGUUUUGGUGUUGGACAACCAUUUGUUAUUUUAAUGAUCUGAACUUUUGUUCAUUUUCUUGAGUGGUAUUGUGCACCUAUGUCUUUAUUAUGUUUUGUGCUCUCUAAAGAAGGUGAGGAUGAAUUUGAUGACUGCUGCUUUUUUCAUUGGUCAGAUUCUUUGAUAGAUGCUAGAGACCUGGGUUUUUCAUUAACAUCCAUGUUCCAUGUAUGAAUUCAUUCUUUACCCUUUAUGUUAAAUUCAUAACAUGCAAUCCUGAACCUGUUCUAAUUUAUGUUUUCUCCAACUAAUUAGUUGACAUGUCAAGAGAUAACGAGGAUCAAGAAGAAUAUUCAACUACAGAACAAUUCGAGAGACGUAGAGUUGCAUGCUUAGUUCGUGAGGAUGAGGAAGAUAACUCUACUUGCUCUAAGCGUUCAAGAAAAUGCACUUCGAUUGUAUGGUCUGAAUUGAAAAGUUCACAGAUGGUGAUGGCAUGAAGAAGGCUAAAUGUAAGUGGUGCGAAGUAACUUAUACGGCUAGCCAUGGGACAAAAAACUUGUUGCGUCAUUUAGAUACUUGUCCCAACCGAGAGGUUAACGUUGAUGGUUCUGUAGUACAAUUUGACCAAGGUGUGUUUAGAGAUAUGCUAGCAAGAGCGAUAAUCAAACACAAUUAUACAUACUCUUUUGUGGAGCAUGAGGCUACUAAAGAGUUGUUUAGUUACCUCAACCCUAAUGUGAAGCACAUUUCAAGGCUUACAGCAAGAAGUGAUGUGGUGAACGUUUAUGAAAAAGAGAAGGGAAUUUUGAAAUCCAAAUUAUUGUCUCUUUCGAGCCGAAUAUGUUUGACUUCUGACCUAUGGACUUCUGUUACUACGGAUCAUUAUAUGACUGUCACUGCUCAUUAUAUUGAUGAGGAUUGGGAAUUGCAUUCAAAAGUCUUGUGUUUCUCCUAUGUGCCACCUCCAUAUAGUGGUCCCAUACUUUUAGAAAAAUUGCUGACUUUAUUAAGAGAAUGGGGUAUUGAGAGAAAGAUUUUCAGCAUUACUUUAGAUAAUGCAUCAUACAAUGACAGUAUGGUUGAUAUUUGGAAAAAUACACCUUCUGUGAGAUCCUCUUUGUUAUGUGAUGGACAGUUUUUUCAUGUGCGUUGUGGUGCACAUGUUUUGAAUCUUAUUGUACAGGAAGGUUUAAAGGUUAUUGAUGGAUCCUUACAUAAUAUUAGAGAAGCUGUCAAGUAUGUGAGGGCUACACAAGGGAGGAGAGUAAAAUUCGCCGAAUGUAUAUCACAGUCGUGCUUAAAGACCAGUAAAAAGGUACGCCAAGAUGUGGCUACAAGAUGGAAUUCUACAUACCUAAUGCUUGAGGGUGCCAUUUUAUUUGAAUGUGCAUUUUCACAUUUGAAGUUAAUUGACCAUAACUUUGCCACAUGUCCAUCUUCUGAAGAUUGGGUUAGAGGAAAGAAAAUUGCUUUCUUGUUGAAACCCUUUUAUGAUAUUUCUACUCUAUUCUCUGGAGUCAGAUAUCCCACGGCGAAUUUAUAUUUUUAUGGAGUAUGGCAGAUUCAGCUUCGUUUAAUACAAGCAAGGAAUACUGAGGAUGAGGCUAUUAGUUCUAUGGCUAAGGCAAUGCUCAAAAAAUUUGAAAAAUAUUGGAAGUGUUAUAGUGUUGUCUUAUCAUUUGCUGUUAUAUUAGAUCCUCGUUAUAAGUUACACUUGUUAGAGUUUUGUUACUCAAAGUUGGACAUGGAUGAUCAUGUGGAAUUUGUACGGGGCAUUCGAGAAAAACUCUAUACACUUUUUGAUGAAUAUGUGACCGAUGAUCGUUUUACUUCUUCAACUAGUCGAGGUAACAUAUCAGUUGAGGGCAUCGAUGAGAGCACUGGGGAUGACAUUGAUGAGUAUGAUGCAUUUGAGAGUGAACACUUUGGAUCACAAUCUGUUAAGUCACAAUUGGAUUUGUAUUUGGAGGAGAAUAGGCUUGAUAGAAAGAAGUUCCCAGAUCUCAAUGUCCUUGAUUAUUGGAAGACUCAUUCUCAUCGGUAUCCCGAGUUAUCCCUCAUGGCACGUGAUAUAUUGAGCAUUCCUAUCACUACCGUUGCCUCAGAAUCAGCCUUCAGCAUUGGAGGACGCAUUUUAAAUAAAUGGCGUAGCUCCCUUUCCCCUGAAAGCGUAGAGGCUGAGUUGUGCACUAGAAAUUGGUUAUUUGGAGUUCCGCUUGAGGAAGAUUUAGAUGAGGAGUCUCUCAUCAUUGACUUUCAAGACUAUUUGCAUUAGGUACUUUUUUUCAUCUCAUUCUUUUUGUUUGCUCAUGUGAUUUAAUACACUUGUCUUCAUAAUGAUGUAUUCUUGGUAUACUUUGUGGUGCUACAACUUCUAAUCAAAGUUGAUGCUUUUCCUUUUCAGGUUCUAGACUAGUUGUUGGGUCAUAAUGACUCUAAAUUUUUUUCUCAAUUGCACACUAGAUUAUAUUUCUCAGUUGUGGUGCCUAUUGGCUGUGCUCCCUAUACUGGUUGAGCUCAGUCAGGAUAGCUCCAGUUUUGACAAAUGGAGUUUUUUUUUUUUGUAAGUUUGUUAGGGUGAUCUACUAUCAGCUCAAGUAUGGACUUCAAAAGGACUCUGCAGACAAUAGGAGUACAGAGCUGGGAACCUCAGCACUAUUGGAUGAUUCAUGGUUUUCUACCGAUAGCUUUUUGCAUCAACUUUGCAAGGUAAUGGGAUAAGGUGAUAAUCAUCAUGUAGUUUUAACUACUUUUCCAUGUUGUGUUUAAAUAUAUUAUACCUACAAUUGUAUUGAGUCUGUAAAUUCAUGUUGACUCCUUAUGGGUUCAUGAGACUGAGCUGUCUUAUCAGUUGUCUUCUGACUAAAUUGAGUCAUUUGUUAAUCCAAAUUCAUGUUUAAAACUUGUGACAGCUUAUUUUGUUUCCCAAUUUUAGGAUUUCUUUUCAUUGGUGCUAGUUGCCCCAGUUGUUGAUGGAGAACUUCUAUCUUGGGUUGGUUUUCUGAGCCUUGGCAUUAUCUGCCAUUUGCCAUUGCACUUCUAAUGACGAUAGACAAGAAUUGCGAUUUCUUUUAAAAUGCAAUGAAAUGAUAUUAUUGUUGUGGAGAUCACUUGGUGAUAAAUUUGCAAUUACGUCUUAUUUAAUUGCUUCUUCUCCUGCUUCUCAUGGGAGUUGAACCAUCGAACUGGCUUCAGCUAUUUACAGUGGUGACUUUGCCCUAACUGUAAUUACACGUUUCUCUGUGGCCUUGGGGAGAAGCUCGUUGAAAGAAACUUGUUGAGUUCUGUGCGUCCUAUCUAGCAUUUGUAGAUCUCAAUUUGCAUAUUUGCUAGUCACUUACCCUUAUUUAAAUGGAUAUGAAGGAAUUACUUAGAGUGGGGUUGUUUGGCUUUGUAGACAAGGAAAUUCAAGGAACUACUUGAGAAUACUUUUGGGUGGGAGUUCCAGCAAAAUAGUGCUGUUGAUGGAGUGUAUUUCGAUGAAGAUGAUGAAGUAAGCCUCUCUCUCUCUCUCUCUCUCUCUCUCUCUCUCUCUCUCUCUCUCUCUCUCUCUCGAUAUGUGACUAAGAUUUCCUUGCUCUCUUUGCUUUUGCAGUUUGCUCCAACCAUUGAAAUGAUCGAUGACCAACAUCUGUAGUGUGGCUGUGACAGCAUGAACAUGUGCUUCAGUCUUCUGCUCUACUUCAUAAUGAAGCAUGGCGUUACAUCGAGGGGGAACUUGCAGUGAAUCGUCUCUCUAAUCAAGUUUACGAAUUUGUUAUGCUCUCGAAACCUUACCAGUUCAAGAUCAGUCCUAUGCCCUGCAAAUAGAAGCAUGUGGUUAAACCCCUGGUUCUCUUUUUCUCUUUGUAAAAGAAUGACUGGCUAUAGGAUAGGAUUUGACAGAUCGAGUCGGUAAUGGUUGAGGAAAGUGCUGUGUGACAUCUUAGAAGCUCCUGAAGACAUUUUUUUGUGGAAGUCAUGUAUAUUUGCAUUAGAUAGUUUGCCCUAGAUUUGAUGCACCAGUUGAAACAUAUGUUCUAGAGUCAUACUGCAAGGAGUCCGAGACUAUGGGCCAAAUCAUGUGUUGAAGCUGCAGCAAUUUAAUGGUAGUACAGUUACAAUAUCGCCUUUGACGGCCCAAGAAGCGAAAGCACUGACAUUUUGUUAUGGAUUUGAUGAACAAUCCGUAUCAAGUUAAUUCAGCAAUGAACUUUUCUAACUCAUGCCUUCAUUCCUUGGAAUGAAUGUAAGCAUAAGCAAAUUGCAUCAUAGAUUGUUAUCUACACGGGAAAUUGGAGGCGGUAGCAAAUCAUUUGGGCUUAAUUUCGCUAUUGACGUUGGUGAUCAAUGUGUCGUCAAUUGUAUUUGUGUCGAAGUUGAUUGAUUUUGAGACGUUUAAUACCUCCAAUUCAUAAAAUAGGUUGGCCAGCAAACCUUUGGAUUGAGAAGAAAAAAAGGAAAAGAAAGAAAAAGAAAAAAAGAAAUUUUUUUUUUUUGAAAAAGUAUAAAAAAUUGAAAAAAUAUUGAUUAGAUUUGUAUUGUUUGGAAGUAUUUUAGUAAUAUAACAUUUAAAAAAAACAUAAGAAUAAUUUUUCCUAAAUUUGGUUAAAUAUGAAAAUAUUUUAUUAAAUGGGUGUUAAAUGGGUCGGGUCGGGUAUGGGUCGGGUAUGGGUCGGGUCGGGUAUGGGUCGAAAAAUUUGCAUUAGGCAUAAAUGGGUCAUAAAUGGGUUAAUGGGUCAAUUUGGGUCGGACCAUUAAUGACCCGACCCAAACCUGACCCGACCCGACCCACCCAUUUAACACCUAUAAUGAAUGCCACCAACAUCUUGUUACACAAAAUUAUGAUCAACUGCAUUAGGCUAAAGUUGACAUCCAAGACCGAUGUGUCUCGGUCUGAAGCGAAACUGAUGCAUGCUAUCAAUUUUGGAUCAAAUUUUCUCUACCUCACACUAUUAUGUUCCAUAUGUAUAGAAAAGUUGUGAAAGAUAAGAGACAACUCCCUUAUUAUGCUCUUAUCACGCGUCUUUUUAGACAUUUUAAAAUUCACAUCCCUGCUCCAUUAAGUUUGUCAACAAUUUCUCUAAUGGUGAUUGAAUUCAAAAUGGUCAAAAAGAUGCGCUUGCAAGAGUUAAGUAAGGUAUUGGAACGUGUGGAAGAGAAGUCUCCUCUAAAAGCAAAAUAAGACUCUGCUACAGCAAAAAGGAAAGGUAAGGAGCCCAUGGCUACUCUUGUGAAGAGAAAAAGAACUCUCAUCUUGCAGGAUGAAGAGGAUGAGGAUGAGGAUGAGAUGACUCUUUCAGCCUUACGUAAUUUGAAGAGUUUUGUUAGUUUUGAAGUAGCAGAGCCAGCAGAAGAAAGAGAAGAGAUAAAGAAGGAAGAGGAUGAACAAAGGAAGAUGGAGGAAGAAAGAAGAGAAGAAGAAGAAGAAGAAGAAGAAGAAGAAAGAAGGAGAACAAGAUCAGGGUCAAGAAGACUCUUUCGAGCCAACAUUGGCUGUUUCCCUGUCAAGUGAUUAUGAGAUGGCAGGAACUGCUGACUUUCAUCACUUUGAAGCUAAAGUUGAACAAGAAAAAAACUUACCUACUCCACUUGAAGGCAACAAAAUAGGGAGAGCUAUUGGACCAAAAGGUAUUUCUUCACCUUUAUUUGCUAGUGAUGUAAGUCGUUUUGCAACAGACCUAGACGAUGUUUAUGCCUCACAUUAUCUAGAAGACAGUCGCGGUGAUCAAUCUGCUAAAGUUCCAUCCAUUCUCAAAAUCCCUGGAAUUUACUCAGCCGGUCUUAGUUCUGCAUCAGCUCAAACAGCGGACUUUUCGAGACUGCUAGAAAUUCUUUUAAACGUCAAGAAACAACAAUAUGCUCUGGGAUAUGAGAUGCAAGAUCUCAAGAAUGCUUUUAAGGCCACUUCAGUGUCUCUACACGACCAGUUACAAGCUCUGAAGACUCAAGUUCAGUCUACUAUGCAAGGUGAAGAUUUUUAGUCACUAAAGCAGAAUUUUGAAUGGCUUGAGAGGACAGUGCAUUCUAUGGGAGAAUUCGAACUUGUUUACCUUCCCAAAAAACCAUGAUUUUGACUCAUUUUUCAACCAACUUUUUUUCAUUUUUCCUCCACUUUUUGCUAUUGACAAAAAGUGGGAGAGGUUUUAUGCAGAUUUGAUGUUUUUUUUUAUUACUAUUUUGGACUUUAUCCUUUGUCUGGUGUGAUUAUGACUUGGACUAGUUUGAACUGACAAUGCUUGCAAGUAACUUAAGCUAUGUUAUUGAUAACGAUGGUUGCUCUUACAGGACUAACUUAUUUUCUGUGGUUGCAGAAUUGCUACUGUCCUCACCCUAAUCCAAUUAUCCUUUAUAAGAAAUCUUGAUUUGCUUAAGUGUUGUUUUGCAGGGCAAUGUGUCCAAAUCUGCAGGAAAGUUUUGUCACCAUCAAAAAGAGGGAGAUUGUUCGAGAAAACUUCCUUAUCUGUUUUGAAGUUGACAAAAUGUUUCCAUCAGUCUAGUCUAAAGACUUGCAGACUCUAUCGUCAAAGUCUGAAGACCUCCAGACUCAAGAUUUAAAGUCUGCCCUCAUUGAUAGUUUCCAGACCGACGAAAUGAAGUAUUAUCCAUUGAAGAAGACUUAUCCAGAUGCGAGUAUAUCUUUAAGGAUUUGGUUUGUGCAGUUGAAGAAGAUCUCACAGCUGGAGAUUGCACCUCGAGAUCUAUUAUUCGUAUUGAAAUUAAUUCGAGUAUGUUAGAUCCGUUGAUUGGCAAAAUAUACUUUGAAUGUUCUACUUAUGGAAACCUAGAUCCUGAUUAUAUGAGCGAGCAGGAUUGGUAGGCUAUCAUCACAUUCUUUAAAUAACUUGAGAUCUUCCUAAUUGAUUAUGUCGAACGGGUUGAUUGGAAGAACUCCUUUGGAAUGUGUCAACGGUUAUAAAGAUGUGAAGGAGUAUAUAAGAAGGAUGCUCAAGUUAUUCGAGUGUGUGCGUGAAAGAAAAAUUCCAAAGUCUGAAGCUUUCAGUUCUUCAUUAUUUCAACUGUUGAAGCUUUUCUUGUAUUCAAAAGAGAUAUUAAAUACUUGUAAGACCUUGAGGAAGUGUAAUAGAGUCUCUACACUAUGAAAUCAAGGACGUGAGACUGUAAAAUCUCUUUUGAUUCAUAGUGGAAUCCAGCCGGUGGGCUGUUAGUGCGGAAGAGUGGACAUAGGCUUGGUCUAAGCCAAACUACUAUAAACUUUAUGUCUUAAUUCUCUUUCCCUUAUCUCCUUACUUUAAAAUUGCAACUUUAUACUUCUUCCUUUAGUUUUGUACACCUUCAGCUUAUUACGCUUAAAAAUUAAUUUUGUUAAAGAAUCACAAAAAUUUCUUUGAUCACCUAUUCACCCCCCCUCUAAGUGUUCGUACUAGCCCUAUCACUAAUCACCUAACAUGCAUCGAUAAAGUACUAAAUUAAUUAUUCUAAUCUAAUCUAUCCAUCUAAUCACACUUAAUUAAAUCUAAUUAACCCCUAAGCAUCAUUAGUCUAUUAAGAAAGGAUUAGUGAGUUAAACUCACUUAUUCGGCGAGCCAGUCGAUUCAAAUCGAUGGGGACGCAACGGGGCUUGAUUCUUCCUAAGGUGGGCCUAGCUUUCGGGGCCAGAAAUCAGCCAAAACGAGCCUACAAGCUGCUGGAAUACCCACUGCUUUGCUCUUUAUUUUGGGCUGCAAAAGAAGAAAACAAAGGCUGGUUCGGCUUCUGCUUCUGCUUCUGCUUCUGCUUGCUGGAUAGAGGAGAACCAACUGUUGAACGACAAGGAAACGGGUUGACUGGAGCUCCGGCGAGCAAGUGGUCAGCAAUCAGUGGCUCCCGGGGGUCAAGGGGGGCUUGAUGGUGGUUGGUAUGGGUGGAGGUAGGGUCGAAAUGGGGAGAAAACGGCUGAAAGUUGCGAAACAAUGUAGGCGGGUGGCUUCCAGAUGAUCCGGCAACCGGUUUCUUCUCGCCGGCGUAUAGGACGGCCGGCGGCUCUGUUUGGUGCGAGGUCGGGCUCCUUUGAACGAUUUGGAUGUGCUGAGAACAACGGUGGGUGGCAUGAAGGCUAAUUCGUUCGAGAAGAUCACUUUUCACUCGGAUCUUUAGCGAAAGGUCGACUGGAGCAGAAACUGGCAGAAGAGAAAACAGAGGAGGAAUAAGGUCCUGCGGUGGUUCCAGCGUACGUGCGACGGCCAAGGGGGAUGAGAUGGAGUUUUCUCUAGUUCUUUGAAGCUUCAAAAGUCACUCAACCAUGGAGAAAGCAAGUGGAUUGAGGAAGAAGAAAGCUGCUACAAGAAGGGGGCUACUUGGUCACAUAUUCUCCUCAUUUGUACCCUUGACCCUAUCCCCUUUGUAUGGCUGGAUUCCACCUGUAAUUUCCAGCCUUAAUUUCCUUCUAGAAGGCCUUUGAAAUGGUCCAUAAGUUGUGGUGGUGGGGGGCAUACGAAUUUUCCUCGGUUUCCUCUCCAUUGGUUACUUAAUCUUGCUUAAUUCCACAUAAUUCGGCCUCAAUAAAUUCAAUCGACACCUCACCGAUCCAAUUGGUAUUUUUCCUCACCAAUUGAUCCCACUUACUUCCCAAUUUCGUAAUAAAAAACGAUCCCCGACAAUUUAUGGACAAAAACGACCCUAUGAUGACUUUUUCUCAAAAAGUCUCGGGUUAUAGAAAAAAUCUUUUGAGACUAAGUCAAUGUUCCUAAAAUUUAUUCUAACACGACAAAACCUUAAAUUUCUAAAAUCGGAUUCAAAUUCAUGAUUAAUUUCAAUCCGAUGCGUUUUUUGCAUGACCUAGGUUACCGGGUAGCUUUCAUAACUUUUUAGUGCAAAUAACCCGUGGUCGAUUUUUUUUCGAGCCACAAUGGGCCCCUUCGACACAUUAGCGAUUUUUGGUUGUCGUGAAAAUCCUGAGGUUUUGAAUACAUACACAUGGUACCAACAUGACAAAAAAAAUCAAACUAGCACCGAUCGAUGAGAAUUUUGCAAUUUAGUGGGAUCGCCCACAUUUAACCACUCAUCUUAGUCGAACCGACCUACUCUGAUCUCUAAUCGAUUUACGUCUGUGCCAUAAUGAUAUCGACAAAUGAACACGGUUGAGCAGCCAAUUCCUAAUCGAAUCCUCAGAUUUAUUUGCCUUAAAAUCCUUAAUGGCUUCCCCAUAUAGUCUAGUUAUCUCAUGAGUGGCUAUCUUAGAGAAAAGCACUAUAGUCGCGUUGAUGAAAGGCCCGACUUAUCUAAUUGAAAUCAGAAUCUGAAAUUUAGAAUGUCAUACCUUGUGACUUAGGUGAUCCUCGUAUCGAUUAAGACUUAGAACUAGCCGCUUCAAUGUCGAUCCAAGAUCAUGCGGCCUUCGGCGAUCCUCGCAUCGAAUGAGACUUGGAACUGGCAUGCUUUGAUACCAAUCCAAGGCCUCGUGGCCUUGAGUGAUCUUGCCCUUGUUGGACCUAACCCAAGCGAACCUUGACCUUAUUCCAAGCGUGAACAUUUCAAACACACAUUCAAGCACCAACAUGAGAAAACCAAACUAAGGAUCUUACAUCUACCAUGGCUUGAAUGGGUGAGCACCUAACCAAACUGUUGACAACUAAAUUUUGCCGUUUUAUUUAAGACUUAAUAGCAUUAAAGGUUAGGAAUUAGUCAAAAAAUUUAUUAUGAAAAAAUAAUUAAAAAUUAUUUAUUUAAAAAAAAAAAGUCAGGUCAGGCUGGACCCGGCCCGCCUACCUUCAUUUUCUUUUCCCUUGCGGCCCAGCCUUCUUACCCCGCGGCCUAGCCUCCUCCCCCUGUUGGCUCGGCCCGCACCCCAUCAUCCCCCUUCAGCUGGUCUUCGCUGCAGGACCUGCAAAAACAGAAAACAGAGCAACAAAAGGAGCAUCGAUGAAGGAGCAGGCGGAUCGGGAUGGCAGGUGGCUAGCUUGAUCCACGGGUCGGGAUCAACCUGGUUAGCAGCUGGCAUGGUAGGACGAUGACCUGUAGAAGGAAAAUGGAAUAAGAGGGGGGAGCACGAAAUAGAGAAAAAAAACACAGAGGGAGAGUAAAGAGAGAGAGGGAGAGGGAGAGAGAUCGAGAGGAGCAGGAGCCUCCGGGCCACCACCACCAUCACUGACAAGCCACCCAAUUGACGUUGUUCGCCGCCGUCUUCCCUGGAACCCAGAUCUGAAGUGGACGGAGAAAGAGGAGGAACAUAGCACGGGCAACACAGAUAGCGAGAGGGAGAGAGUGACAGGAGGGGGCCACCGGCCUCCUCAUGCCACCGCCGUUCCACUUGAGUCAGCCGUCGUCCCACCAGCCGCUAGAAGUCCUCCUCGCCUGCAAGCUCGCACCAUCGCUUCACCUGCGAUCUCGUGUCACCACUGUGCCAGCGUCGCCUAAUGCUAGCAAUCAAGCCAUCGUCUCUGCCAGGCAGUAGCCCGCCCUUGCCUCUACUCAUCUGCUAGUCUCUGCCGUGACCUGCAGCUGCCGAGCUUCUGCUCGCCGCCUCCAAACACCACCAUCGCGAUGCCCGACCGCUUCUAUCACUAACCGCUCACCACUUCAAAAUGCCGACGCCUGCUGCCGCCACGACCCAACGCCUCCGUCCUUGCGCGUCUACCCGAGUACCAGAUCCUGAGUCCCUGCGACACCGCCUUUGUUCCUGUCGCUGUAGCACCUGUGUCGCGCAAAAACCGUCGUGCCAGCUCGCCCAAGCAUCGUCACCCCUCGCUACCUGCCACCAUCGCCGCUGUCAAUGUAGAGCCCCUAGAGAAGAAGGUUAGAAGCUGGGUCAAAGCUAGGUUGGAUCCGGGUAAGGUUUUCUUAGGAAUCGAGUCACGAUUUAGGAGCUGGGUUGAGUGCAAAUCAAGGUCGAGUUUAGGCUUGUGGGCCGAUUUAGGUCGCGGACCUGCGUGGGUUCAUUUUCUGCGUGGGGGGAAGUAGAGAUUGGGCCCAAUCCAGCUGCAUGAAGGCCCCACCAAGGUUGGUUAGGCCUUAUAUUUUGGGCCGGCCGAUCGGCCCGACCCCUUGUCAGGCCGAACCCGGGCAGGUCUGACCGACUCGCCUCAAUCGAGUCAAACCGAACUAGACCCGGUCUGGACAAGAAAAAAUUAUUUAAAUAUUUGUUUCUAAAAAAAAUUAGAAAAUUCAAAAAUUCAAAAAAAUUUAAAAUUUAAAAAAUGAUGGGGUUUGGUUAGAAAUUGUUAUAUUUUUCCUUCUUAGUGUAAUUAGGCUUUUACUUGCUCGUAUUUUGAUUAUAUCGUAUGUUUAAUUUGCAUAUCUAAUUAUGUUUAAUUGCACGUGUUUAAUUUUACCGCAAUUAGGAUCUUGGUAGCUAUGAUUGUUACUUUAAUGAUUAUGCACCUGCAUGAUCACCUCAUAUGUUAGUGGAUAUGUAUAAAAUCAAUUCAAACUGCUUGACAAAAAUUCUUUCUUUUAAAAUGAACAAGAUUAUGUACCGAAAUGGUGCUAAUUGGUUAAUUAGUGUAAUAAAGUCUCCAACCCUAGAUUCUCUGGUUAAUUAGAUACUCCCAUACCUCACUUGGUUUCUAGCCGACCCCAAUAGGUUAGUAGCGACUCCUUUUUGUGAAAUUCCUAAAAAUAUCACAAUGUCAUGUAAGGUAUGGUUUUGGGAGAGCUCGUGCCUAAUCAUGAGCAAUCAUGGGCUAUAGGCCCAACCUUUAGGCAAUACCCUUAAAUCUGUUCCCUCCCCCCGAAGGGUAAGUCGCGACAGCUUGGCGACUCCGCUAGGGACUUGGUUUUAAACCUUAGAGGACUUAGGCCAAAAUUAAUCUUGUUUAAAAAUAUUUUUGUUUGGCAGUGAGGAUUCCAAGUAUGCCCCUAAAAUUAAAAAUGUUAAAUGUUCUUGUAGAAUGAGAGAUAUAAGGAGAAGUGUUUGCUCACCUUUGUCUUGUAGGGAGGUGUAGGAAUGUAUGGUUUAUUUUUUUAUGUACGAAGUGUUGUUUGCCUAUAAAUUGUUGUGCAUGUAUCCUUUGCAUUGCACUACACCCUAGCACACACAAACUGUCGCCGAACCUAAGCCGCAUAUGAUUUCUUAGGAUGGUGUUGAGGUGGAUACCACUCCGACUAUAACCAUGUAGUACGAGUCACCCAUCUCAACCCCGAAAUUUCUUUCUUGAUGUCAAAGGUCCCAACCCUGGUCUGCAACCGCGUGACACGGGUCAGUUCUUUGAUGAAGUCCGAGUCAUGGGUAACACGACCUAGCCGCGAUCUUAUUGGUUCAGUCCGAUGAUCCUAUGGCUUCAUUUUGAGCUGGAUAGAGUAAAAAUCGAACCACAUCCCAUAUGUAUGUCUAUGUAAUUGAAAAAAAAAAAAAAGAGACAAAGGUCGGCACCCAUUGUAAGUAUCAUUUUCCUUUUUAUUUGUUCAUUUUGUAUUGAACUUCCAUUUUGAAAUUCAUGGACAUCAAUUGAUUGCCCUCGAUGCUAUAGGCUUAUAAUUGAAAAAAUUAGCAAUCACUUUUGAUAAGUGAACAUUGAAUGCAAGUUCUAAACACUUUGAUUUGGCCUCGUUGAACACAUGGUUUUGUUUAAAUUUCUAGUUAUGGGCUCGAAAUCAUUUUGAAAAAAAAAACAAAAACAAAAACGAACUUUCAAGUUGUGAAUUUAUAUUGGGGCACAAAAAUUGAAAUUGCUUUUUUUUUUGUCAAAUUCUCUCAUUCUCACAUUUUGGGACUAAAAUGCAAAUCAUUUUGUGUACAAAUUUCUCAAAAUAGAAGUCACUUCAUUUUUCUAGGAGUAAAAUCACAAAUCAAUCUUUCAAAAAUCAAUGACACUUUUGCAUACAAAACUUUUGGAAUAAAAGUGGACAUUUGAUUGAUGACCGUGGAUUGAUUAUUUUAAUGAUGUUGUAUCUUAUGAUAAAAUCUUAGCGAAAUACUAAACCUCCGUAAUAAGGACUGUGGGGCAUGUAUUGUCGCCUCGAUUUUAUUGUAAGAAGCGACCUCAUUGAGAUAUCAUUUUCUCUCAUUCACGUACUGCACGAUGCUACUUGACAUUCUCGUGGUGACCACAUAAAAAAGUGAAUUCUAGAGCUAGGACAAGAGUUGAUUUUUACUUUCAUCUAUACAAGAGUUUCUUGUAUUUUAUCAUUGUAUUUAUUCUUGUUAAGAAUCUUGUUUUCCAUUUUGGGUUUUGAUUGUUAAUCCAAUUGAUACUUUCAUAAAUCAUGCGACUCAUUUUUUUUUAUGAUGGAAUUCAAUUUCGUGAAAAUCACCCAAAAAAAAAACACACAAAAAAAAAACGAAUUCGGAAGUGUUUCAAGCGAAUCUUUACGUCUACCUUCCAAAAUGAAUGACCAUAAAGCUUUGCUUAAGACCCUCUCUUCGCAUGGUCUCUUUCUUGGGUAGAAUGAGGAGUUUAUUUGAGAUCGGCAUCAGCCCUUCUAAAAGAUAAAAUUGUAGGCUCAUGGAACUUGAGGAGUAAGGAUGCGUUGAGGCAUCGUUAGCGCCAAUUUUCCAUAGAGGUGGAACGAAGUUGAAUUUUGUUCUGGGAAGUUUCGUUAUUCGCAAAUACCUUAGGUGCCAAAAUAGCCCAUCGAUCUCGUUCACUUUGCAUAAUGAGACGAAUGAAGGGAGUUGCCAAGUAUCCAAAAGGGCGAAUUUGAAUGAAGAGUAAACUGUAUCGAUUCCAAUUAUCCAUCUCUGAUACCAUUUCUAACAUGAUUUUCUUUUCAUUGUCAAUGAGACAUCAACAGUACCAAAUUUUGUAACGUUCCAACAAACACGAUGGAGCAUUAUUGAGUCAUGUUUAUCUUAAACAAAUAAAUAUUCAAAUGAUGAAACAGAGGAGCAAUAUUAUCCCUUCCUCCAUGAGAGAUACCUUGGGGAUGUUGAUCACUCGACUUUGAAAAUGAUGUAUCUCGUUCCUAAACUUGAUUAUCUUCAACAUAAAAAAUGACAUGUCAUUUUCCUUGGUACAAGACAAACUUCAACAAAACAAAGGUUUGUCAAAUGAAGAGUGGGAGAAUAACGUUUGAUUUGGAGAAAAAUCUCUCCUUCCCCCACCAAUGAAGUGUGCUAGAACAAUAUUGUCAAAUUCAUCAAGAAAGAAUGUAUCGUUCCUCAAUUGAACCUAAUUAAGUAUGAAGAUAACCCGUUUCAUCUCCUCUUCUUAUAGGGUGAUAAAUGAAAAAAAAAAAAAAGUUGUACCUUGAUCGUAGAAGCAACGCCUUCUACCAAGGAAUCAGGAAAACAUCAAACACUUAAAGGCAAAUGCAAGGAAAGGGUAUUGUCAAGUUACCAAAUAUCCAUGAAGGUGAAUCCAAGAAAUGUUAGCGCCCGAAGGAUGAAAGUGAAUGAAGGGUAAUAAUGUAUCGUUUCCAACAUUUCAAUCCCUAAAGAUUUUUGCACUAACAUAUUAUUUCACAUUCAUUCUUGGGUUACCAAGUCACCAUGACGCAAGUAAGUACCCUUCUUCUCAAUUUUUUUAAAGAGAAAAAGAAAAAAAAAAUGGAGAAUUUCCAUUACAAAAAAAAAAAAAAAACUUUGGCACUUUCUUAGAGACAAGCACAAAAAUGAAUAAUUGAACAAAACUUUCUAUAAAAAAUUUUAGCAUCAUUUUUAUCUCAAAAUAGAGACGGUAACAAUACUUCGAUUGAGGCUGGGACGGGAGCCAAUUUGCCUUGGAUGGAAUCUAUCUGCUUUGAGAGUUGUUGAAGCACAUUGAAGAUUUGCUUCAUUUCACUUUCCAUAAUCUCAACACGGCUUGGUACAUUUUCUUCGGCCAUUCUAGCUUUUGGAUUUGGUGAAUACGACUAUGAUGUGAUUACCUAUCAACACAGAAAAUGGAGAAAACGUAAAUGAGGGAAACACAUGAAAAACUGGCUCAUGGCAAGGGUCGAGUCAUUCUUAUUUAUUAACAGGAGAUUUAUACAAUGCUAAAAAGGGCUUUUUACACCAGUUAGAACGACCCUAGAUAUUCACAUUAGAAAUAUUCACAUCAAAGGUCCCGCUGCCCAUUUUUAUAUGUGAUGGGAAGCUCCAGUCUUGUGAAGCCUCUUGCUUCUUCGUACUAGCUUCGAUACGUGUCUCUUGCUUGUCUCCAAGCUCUUUUCAAGAGAUUUGAUUCGCCCUUGCAGGGUAAGUUUAUCAACUACAUCGGGGAUUACUGGUUGCAGCUCCUUGGGAAUUAUAUGGUUGAGGAUGUAGAAUACUGAUGCAUGAUGAACUUUUUCUUGUCCUUUUAACCUUCUGGGCACGACGAUCUUUUCAAUGUGACAUCUACUCCAUGCGUUCUGAAUUAUGCGAAUCUCCUCCAAGUAGUUGUAGUCUGUACGGGUGAAAAAGAUUCGGAACAAUCCUGAUUUGAGCGGUGGCGGGAUUUCUUGGAGGACCCUGUACUAACGAGCCACCCUAUAUGGAUAAUAUGAGGUAGCUCCAAAGAGGCCAAGCAACGGGAUGGGGUUGUAAUAAUUAAGCGCAAAGCGCGCCUCUCCUGCAAUGAACCAUUUAGCUCGCCAUAGGAAUGUCUCAGGGACCGGGUUUUUUAGCAAGUUAAUCCACCGAGAAUACUCUUCAUUGGGAGAAUAUUUUUCCAAGGUUUGAAACUUUUGUAAUGGGUGUUUAAACUCGUUGAUUUCAAAUAUUUGCAUGAGGUGCCCAAAUCCUUUGAUAUGGGAAAAGAACCACAUUUGUAAAAUUUCUGGAGCGGCCCUCAUGAUUUUUUUUCUUUUUUUUCUUUAAAACGAUUAAGGGAUAAAAACGUUUCGGCUAAAACCAUGUUCACAUAUCCUACUCCAAAAAUGACUUGAUUUAUCACCCAUGUGAUUGAAGGAUUUAUAGCAUUCUUUCGAUGGGGAAAGAUAAUAAAACCAAAGAAUGUUAAGAGGAAGAUCUUGGCUUUUUGGGUCAUUGAUUGUUUUUCAAAGCAUUCAGUUAAAGAUGAUAGCGGAAAAGCAUUGUUGUUGGCUUGAACAAUUUCUCUUGUCGAAUGAUUUUUUAGAAACCGUGAUAAACUAACCACAGGGUCAAUGCCGAUUGGUGGUUUGGCAAGCUCGCUUCCCAGGGGCAUUCCUAUGGCGAGACUGUACUCUUCUAAAGUCGGAGUCAGUUCAAAUUUGCCGAACAUGAAGGUGGAUGUUUCAGGGCACCAGAAAUGUGGUAGUGCUUGCAUGACCCCAGAGUGGAUAUUGAUUUGGAACAAUGGGAGGAGAUGACCGAUUCUUGCUUCGACGCACUCUUGGCCGAGCUGAUCUAACUGUUUCCACCAUCUGAGAAGCUCUCCCUUUGGGGUAGGAAUGAAUUGGAUAUCAAAUCUUCCCAUCGCAUAUAAGAAAGGGAAAUACACAACCUGACCCUAUUUUGCCAUAAGCUAGAAAAGACUGAGUAAAAGUAAAUAAAUCACUUUGCUUUUAAAGAAAAUGGCAAGCACAAAGACAUGCAGAUGAGACGUGUGAUUUCUAACUGAGAAGGUUUGGUGAGAUUAAAAGGAUAUCCACCCAUCGCAGUCUCGCGUUAGCAGCAUACCCUCCUAAUCUUGGCUAAGAAAUUCGGGGAAAAGAAAUGCAACCUCUACAUCGCAGUCUUGCGUUCGAGGUCGUAUCUUUCUUAACACCAUCCUAGAAAUCCUAUGGCGGCCCAGGUCCGGCGGUCGGGUUGUGUGUGCCAUGUGUAGUGUUUAAAAUAGUAAAGCAUGCACAACAGUUUAUCAUCACAAGAUAAUCUAUUUUAAGCAAAAUUAAAAUAAAUUUCUAAGCUUUUGACCUGCAUAAAGAAAAAACAUAAGUCAGUAAAGAAUUUAAACAAGACAAAAAAUGGCCUAAGUCCUCAAAAAUGGUCCCCAGCAGAGUCGCCAAGCUAUCGCGACCUCUUUUUUUCUAGCGUCCGCGAUCGGGUACAAGCGCCUUGUGGAGGCUAAUGGCUCGGCUGAAAUUAGUUAAGCCCGGACUCUCCUAAGUCCACCAAUUCACGACUUUAAUAGUUUAAAUUUUUAACCUGUAAAUUAAUUUUAAAACGGAGUCGCCACUAAUCGGUUUGGGGUGGGUCGAUUAGAAACCCAAGCGAAGUAUCGAGAGAAAUACUUGCUCCUACGCAACCAGAGAAAUUAGAAUCGGGGACUUGAUUACACUAGUUAAUCACCAAUGCCCUUUCGAUACCUAAUCUUGUUUAAACCCUGAGGUUUUUUGGAUGUUCGAGGGAUUUUCCAUGCAUUUUUGGGAGGAAAAACAUUUUUCGAGCGUUUUUCUAAUUUUUUUGACACAAAAGGGAUUUUUUUUUCUUGGACUUUUUUGGUAUUUUUGGAAAAAUACAAGUCUUUUUGGCUUUUUCUGAAUUUUUGGCUUUUUCAUGAAUUUUUGGCUUUUUUUUUGGCAUUUUUUGGAAAAUAUGGGAUAUUUUUUAUUUUUUUUCGAUUUUUCGGAAAAUAAAAUAUUUUUUUAUAUUUUUCAACAUUUUUGGAAAAUAAAUUAUUUUUGAUUUUUCUCAAAUUUUUUUGGAAAAUAAAACAUUUUUUAACAUUUUUAAAACAUUUUUCGGUUUUUUGGAAAUUAAAAUAUUUUUUAUUAUUUUUCCGAAAAUAAAUUAUUAUUAUUUUUGGAAAAUAUUUAUUUAUUAUUUAUUUAUUUAAAUAUCAUUUAAAAUAAAAUUUAAAAAGCCGACCCGAGUCGGAUCCGUGGGUUGGGUUUGACCCGAGCCGGCGACUCAGAUUUUUUUUGUCUUUUUUUUUUAUUAAUCGAAACGGCGUCGUGGCCGGGCGUUUGGGGACACCCGGCCCGGCCCGACGACCCGCUCCACGACCCAGCUCCCAACGGAAACCCUUCCCGACCCGGCUCCAGCUCGCAACCCGACUUUCGCCGCCCCCAGAUCUCGCGAAACCCUACCCAGUUCCGAGACCCGGAUCCGACUCGAUGACCCAGAAAAUCGCAAACCCUAGGGUUUGCGAAUCCACGGCACUAGGGGGGAACCGAGGUGUUUGGCGGCGACGGUGACUACGGCGGCGACGACGAAGGCGACAACGGCGACGGCGACGACGGCUAGGUUAACGGAAAACGGCUACAAUGAAUGGCAACGGUAAUGGCAAUGCUUUUUUUUUUUUUACCUUCUCUCGAACAGGGACGGCGAUGGCAACAAUGGCGGGAACUUAGGGCGCGUUUGGUAACGAUUUUGUUCCCAGGAGCUGAUUCUGACCAGAAAUGAUUAUUUUUUAUUCUGUUCCCGGGAACUAAUUCUGAGUAAAAAAACGUGUUUGGUAACUAUCCAAAAUUUUUUAUUCUGGAAUAGAAUUGCGUUUGAUACUGUGUUAAUUGAUUCUGUUCCAAAUUAAUUUAUUUUAAUUUUUAAAUAAUUUUUAAAUAAUUUUUUUACUUUUUUACUUUUUUCUUUUCUUUUUUCCUUUUUUUUUUUCUUUUUUGCCCUUUUUUCCUAUUCUUCUUCUUCAUAUGGCCGGUCGCCGGCCCUCGGCGAGGUCGGCCUUCGUCGGCCAAGCCUCGCUGGCAGCUGGGCGAGGCUCGCCUAGCCUCGCCGAGCCUUGCUGGUGGCCAGGCUGGCCUCGCCCAGCCUCGGCGAGGCCAGCUUGGCCACUGGCAGGGCUAGGCAAGCCUCGCCGGUGGCCAGGCAAGCUUCACCGGCAGCUGGGCAAAGCUCGCCCAGCCACCGGCGAGGCUCGCCCAGUCCCGCCGGUGGCCAGGCCGGCCACCGGUCGACGAAGGGGCUCGGUCGCCAGCCUCCGGCUUACCCACCAGUUCCGCUCGGCUGAACCAGUGUCCCAUCGAGCUUUCCAGCGAAGCUCGCUCAGCAUUAAUGGUGCCUGAGAUCUUAUCCCCUCCGGCCGACGUCGGCCUACUCUCCUCGACCGUAGGCCAUCCUUCGCGCGUCGGCUUCCCUCGCGCGCGUCAGUUGCAGCGGCGAAGGAGAGGGAAGAAAGAAGAAGAAGAGAGAAAAGGGCCGGGCCGAGGGGUGAAGAAGAGGAAAGUGGGCCUAAGGGCUGUGCGAAAGGAAAGGGGAGCUGGGCCUUGGCUGCUGCUUCUGUUUUCUUUUUGUUUUGUUUUUGCUCGUUUUCUUUUUAUUAUCUUAUUUAUCCGAAAAACAAAAUAAAAUAAAAUAAAAACUUAAUUAAUAAAAUAAAAUAAGCUUAAAUAAAAUUAAGGCGUCAACAAUGAGAUUUAGGAAAAAAAAAAUAGAAAUAAGAUUUUGAGUAGUUUUACUAGAUUAUAGUGUUAAUUUUAGUUUAGAAUUAGUUUAACCUAAAAAAAAUGCGAAUCUUUUGAUGAAAAUUGGAUUCAAAAUUGGAUAAGCUUCUAGGGCUUUACUAUAUGGAUUUUUAAAUACCAUUUUCUUUUAGAGACAAUACUAGGUCAUGAAAGUUUGGUGACUCCGGUAUUCUUCUUUUAAGAUUCUAUUGGAGACAUCCUUUAAGAUCAUCUACAAUUUUGUUUUAAUAGAAAAUUAGAUGGCUUUGAACAAAUGUUUUGCAUUACAAUUUGUCUUGUGUUAUAGCAGUCGAACAAUCUAUGCUCCAUGAAUUUUUUAUGUCAUUUGCUUGAAGAUUUGAUGAGUUUGUGCAAAUAAGCACACCAAAGAUCACUUCCAUCCUCAAUUGUUCCGCCAUUGCCCAUUUUAUCAAGCAACGUUGGCUCUUCUUCUUAUAGUUAAAAAGGUUUAAAAGGGCUAUCCAUUUAUUUAUUAUAAUGCCCAAAGAUUUACCAUCAACAUCCUCACAUUAUGAAUUAUAAACCAGCAGAACUCUUUGUUGUCAUUUCCAACCAUUCAUUUUUUAUUCAUUAUUAUGUUAGAUUUUCUAAGAGCAUUUUGGAAUAUUUUGGUCAAUUAAAUUCUUACAAAAGUCUAGUUUUAUUUAAACAUUAAUUUUUAGGUCUCCACUAACAUUUUUAUAAUUAAAUGAAAAACAUUGAGAAUAUAAAUUUUUAGGGUCGUACCAAACACAUUUAUGUUUGUUUUCUAGUCUGAGAAAAAAAAGUAUUCAGUUAUCAAAAGAAUUCUUAUAUUAAGAAACUUAUUCAGGGAAUAAAAAUGAAAACAAUUUUUUUCUAAAUAAAAAUUAUUUCCGAAAAUAAAAAUGUUAUCAAAUGCAUCCUUAUUGGAUGAGCUAAAGCAAGAUCCAAUGGAUUUAUACAAUCUAACAUUAACAUGGGCUUGAUAGUCAGCACGUAAACACAUUAAGAAUGCAAAGGAAAAGAAUGGAUUUCAAUAACCAAUAGAGUAAAAGGAUUUGAAAGGAAUGAGUUAGAAUGUUAUUGGAAUGUAAACGGGGGAAAAGCAAUGAAAAGAACGCGUAUAGAGAUGAAUUUCUUUAUAAAUGAAAAACUUUAAUAAUCCCUUCCGAUCUAUUCUCUCAAUUUUGACGAGAUUGUGAUUUUAGAAUAAUUUCUUUACCUCUUAGUCCAUCCAAUCGAACUAUAUGUUUGACAAAAUACUUCAAAUCAGGAAGCCGAACCGUCUGUCCAAUUGGUGCCCUAUUGAAAAAUUUUCUUAAGGAUGAGAUUACAAAACAAGAUAGGCCUGAUCAUCGGUUGGAUGCAGUGAUACAUGACCCGUAUAUUUGGUCAAUCACAUUCAUUCCCAAAAGGGAAAAAGCCAUAAAAAAAAAACUUUAAAUUAUACUCAACGUGACAUUUAUUCCGAACCCUUUUUUUUUUUUCUUGUAACAUAAAAAACCCUAAACUAUUUUAACUGAGGCAUAUAUAUCCUUUGUCAAUAUUUUGUUAAAUGAAUUUUCAGCCAAAAUAACGUGAUUUUUAUUUUACUUAAGUCAUGUGGACUAGGAGCGAACAUGGUUUCAAGGUAAAACCUGAAACCUGAGAACUAGACCGGUGGGAACUUAUCUAGUUCUAGGUUUCAAGAUCCAAAAUAUGCAAGGUAGGUUUCAAAUUGUAAAAAUUAAAGAUCUCAUUUUGAUAGGUAGGUUCCAAGUUCUCGAUUAGCGAAACUUCAAACCUAAAACCUGUAACCUAGAACUUGGAAUAAAUUUUUGUGUUUUCCUUGAUUUAUGUCUUUGCACAAUCUUACGAUGUCCUAUAACGUUCAAUGAUAAGUGUACAAUUUGGAACUACUAUAUAAUUUUUUAUUUUAUAAAUUAGACUUUUAUUUUAUUAAUACUUGACAUUUUUCAAAUGUCUAAAUAUAAGUUAGUGUCAAUAAAUUGUAGUAGCAAGUAAUGAUUAUUAAAUAUGAUAAUUCACUAUAAUCGUGUAAUUGAUAAUAUAGGUGGAAUUUGGGUGGACCCUAGAAUUGAUUUUAACCUAUAACAUGGUAGGUUCAAAAUUUCUGGGUAUGUAGAGUAUGUUCUAGAUUCUAAAAAAUACACAACUGGUAAGUUUUAGGUUUCAGGUGAAAUUUGCACGGAAUUUUGAAUCGCUCACUCUUAAGAUGGGCACUAUUAAUAUUUACUUUUUGACGUCUCUAUAGGUAGUUUUUAAUGGUUUUUUUGACAGAAUUUUGGAAAAAGGUAAAUGUAUCACAAAUUUACAAUUUGAGACUUUUGGUGUCAUAGAAAUUUUUUUUAACUUAAACUAAAUAUGUCUGCAUAUAAUUUAAGAUUAUUAUUGUUUUUUUAGCUUUUGACCUUUCCCAAAAUGAAAAGUCCACGGCCACGACCACGACCACGACCCGGGCGGAAGGCACCAGUAGACUCAAGACAGCGUAGCGAUGGCAUCCCGCAAAAAAUGAGUCGCUCUCCAUGCGCCACGUUGCAAGAAUUUCGCUGAAAGUGAACCUUGACCAGACAACGGUCGAUGAAUCAAUGUUGCAAGAAUUCGCUGACGACACUCGAGUUCUUGUUUCCGACGUACUGUCUGAAGAAGCAAUGACACUUGGACUUGAGUUCUGGUUUCCUAUGUAAACCCGAUUAAGGGCCCCAGAAGAGCGGUCUUCUUCCUCCUCCCGUAAUCUCAAGCCACCCACUUCCGCUUUCACAUUCUGUUCCGAGCCGUCUCUCAUGGCGGGCGAAGGCAAAAUCGCCUGUCUCUUCAUCUUUUUCCUCUGUCUCCGCCCAUCUUCGGAGGCACAAACGUGGGUCAAGUCCGGUUACUUCUACGCCGGCAACGAAAUCCCGGUCUCAGACAUCGAUUCCUCUUUGUUCUCUCACCUCAUAUGCGCUUUUGCUUACAUCGACUCUUCGACCUAUCAGCUCUCCGUCAACUCCUCCACUGAGCAAUUCUUCUCCACCUUCACGAGCACCGUGAAACGCAAGAACCCUUCGAUCACCACGCUGCUAUCAGUGUGGGCAGCAGCGUGGGCAGGCCGAGAGGAUCCUUCAGCUUUCGUUUCGAUGCUCGGUGAGUCUUUUUCAAGAAGGUCCUUUAUCGAAUCUACGAUAGGAAAGGCAAGGCUUUAUGGGUUCAGUGGGGUUGAUCUCUGUGGGGUCCUGCCCAGUAGGAGCAUUAACAUGACCAAUUUGAGUGCCCUUUUGCGGGAGUGGAGAGAUGCUGUAGAUGAGGAAUCAAGAAAAUCUGGGAAACCUCCGUUGCUGCUAGUAAUGGCCGUGUAUUGUCAACCCAUUUUUAACUCCGUGAGUUACCCACUUGACUCAAUUCAGAGAAAUUUGGAUUGGGUUCACCUAAAUGCGUAUGAUUACCAUCUCCCCACCAGGGAAAGAUUUGCGCUCCCUCACGCAGCUUUAUUUGACCCAGCAAGCCAGAACAACACAGACUUCUGCAUAACUUGGUUGCUGACUAGACGAUUUCCUGCAAGAAAGCUGGUUCUGGGCUUGCCCUACCAUGGCUAUGCUUGGCAGCUUC